UGAGAAGUUCUAAAGGACAGCAAUCAUCAAAUGUUAGAAAGAAGGUAAGGCCGGCCGCAUAAAAUGUUAGAAGGUAGGCCAGGCCGUUCUAAGCCCCAAUGGCAUGACACAGAACUCUAAAGCCAUAUCUGGUAAGAGAAGUGGUUUGAGGCUCGUCUCCCUGCUUCCGCAAUUCACACUUUCCUAUAUCAAUUCUAUAUAAGGUCGAAUGUGAAGAAAGAGGCUUUGGACAAUCGGUCGAAGAGAUCAGCCACCAAAGUGAGAGGAGACCCGAUUAUUCAUUCGAAUCUUGUUCUGUGCAUGAGAGUCCACACACAUGUGCUAAGAGCCAUCUUCCUUCUUUCUAGAGCUGCACAGGGCCGGUGCCUUGGAAGGCCUGCAUCUAGCAAGCAUUAUAGCACAACUGCUUCCGUCGAACAAGCGGAGAACAAGCAACUCCAUUGAGCCCCUAACGGAGUUUGUAAGUGGUAAAGAACAAGUACAGUUUUCGUCCAAGGAGCAGUCAUCGUAAGAUCCAACUCCACUUAUAAGUAGGUAGGUCAAGUCCGUAGGUAGGUCGAUAAUAUUAGGUAGGUCAAGUCCGUAGGUAGGUCGAUAAUAUUCUUUUCGUUUUUCUCUUUUGUUCGGUUCUCAACACAUAAGAGAGAUCAAAUCAGUAUCAACAUCUUCCACUAACAAAGAAAGGAUUUAUCCCAACUUGCUGUUGGUAGACAAAGAACUGCUAACCUACUUCAUUUCUAUCUAUCUAGUCAAUUCCUCCAGCCUACUAGAUCCCGAGCUAGUCAAUUCCUCCAGCCUACUAGAUCCCGAGAGUGAAUAGCAUAAUCAAUAAGGUUAUAUGAUUUAUCCGCAAGGGCGAAUCAAUGCAAUUAGACAGGAAGAAGGCUAGCUUGAAAACAGUAGCACUGGUAUAGGACUCAAAAGAAAGACCACUCUAUCUAGUAUAUAUUCUCGCCCACACAUAUCAAUGAAAUGAAUGGAACAGAGAAAGACGAGAGUGAAAGAGCGGGAUCACUAAUGAGUAUCUGGACAGACGCUCCUUGUGGGCCAAUUCUAUCUGUCUUUAUCAAACUAGCUAUGGAUCCGAUAGACAGAGGUAUUUAUAUAUUCUCCGAUAGACACAGAGGUAUUUAUAUAUGAAUAUAUACUUCCCCAUUAGUUUCAUUAAUACUUCCCCAUUUCUUAUUUCUCUAAUAAUGUCCAACUCUAUUCUGGCUUUUCCCUUCGUGAAUGACAUUGAGACUUGAUAAGAUAAAGAUCCAAGUGUCCGCGAAAAAUCAAGCAAGAUAGAUGGUAAGGUAAAAGAUAUAUGAAUCGAGAAAGGAUGUAUUGCAUGGUUAGGUAUAUCAUUUUCCACAAUGAGAUAUGGUAAUAGCUGAUCCACAUACAUUAUAGUAUGGAUGCCCAUGAUCAAAGAAGAAGGCAGGCGAAUCCGGUUCCGCUACUUGUGAUCAAAAGAAUGAACGUAUUAGAUCUUUCUAUGGGUCCAGUAAAGAAGGAAGAGAUAGGAAGGCAUCUUCUCUAGCCCCACACGUAGCGGUAAACUAAUCAGGUUCCAGUCCUCUAUCUAUCUUUCUUUGGUGCUCAUGGUAAGAAGGUGGAGCAUACAAUGAAUGGUCUUUCGUACCUGAAGUCGAUGCUACAUGCAAUAGUUGGCUUAAAGGGUUUCAAGUGUGGAUGCAAAGAAGGCUUUUGCAAGAUCGAAGAGAGCACCCAGACACCAUACUGUAGGUGGGGCAUUGAAAUGGUACAUAGGAACAGCUACCCGGAGUUGAUCUGAGUACCUUUGGCACCGAGGUUCGAAGGUGGAGUUCCCUCGCUUGCUGUGAGGAACAAGAUAAGAGAAGUGGGACAUUAGCACUUGAUCAUUAGCUCCUAGCAUGACAUGUACCGGUACAGGUUCGCCAUGCCAUAGGCCAGCCAGAAGGUUUCUCACUUUCAAUAGGGGAGAUGCAAGGUAGUGACUUCAUAGGAAGGAUGCAAGGUAAAGUAGUCCACUUCAUAUAGAGUUUCAGGAUCAAGUAGCAGGUCCGAUAGAGGAAAAAAGGUGGGAUGCUCUUCGCUCGUUCCAACCUACUUCCCCGAUGGGUCAAUUGCCAUUCUCUAUGUAAUACAAAUCCAUAGCCCUAUAAUUAUUCACCGCGGGCCUAGAUCCACUCAAUGCUUAGGUUUUCCCGGGGGUUAAGGGAGAAAGAAAAGAGAAACAAGCUAGAGUUUAGCUCGGCUCCAUAUCCAUCACUCGAUUCUAUUUCCAUUUAGGUGCUUGCACUGUUGUAAGAAUUUUCCAUAAUUGUCAUCGUUGCAUUUUGUACAUCUCAUUUCUUUUGGUUUGAGAAUUCCUGUCACUUUUUCCUUUACUUUAGAAUUAGACACUGUAAAUUGCCUUGUCUUGGAGAGAAGAGUUCAUAGCCUAUUGAAGUCUCGGCUUUUCCAUAAGCGGUAAUAAAAGAGAAACCAUAGAGAGGAGGUUUUAUAUCGACUUAUACUGUACUUACUUAUAGGAGGGCUUUACGAGACCAAGCAAUCUGACCAAAGGCGGAAUCACAAGAAUCGACAAAGAGCGGGUUUCUUAUAGACGCUUCGUGAUUGAUUUCCAUCCUCUUUGAUUUCUGUUCCGAUGGUAUAUCGACUCUGGGCUUUACCUCUUUGGGUUCUUCAUCUCGCAACGGGCUCCGACUACCGAAGCUAUUGGUGGUUAUGAAUAUAGAUCCGAACGAGGUGGUCUUAGUGAGACUCAAUCAACAGAAGCAUUACUGAUGUUCCUAGCGUUAUCCGUAAUAUGAGGUCCAUUGUAGUAGCGUUAUAUCUGUAAUACUCCAUUGUAGUAGCGUUAUCCGUAAUACUUUAGGGCUCGAUUGGACCCGAAACAACUCUCACUCGGUAAACUUUCACUGGGACGAUAUAUUGAUAUGAAACAAUCCAUUGAUGCUGCUCCCAGAACUUCCAUCCUACUCUAACUUCUGCAACCUUCAAACCUUCUACCCUUACUAUCGCUACAGGAAACUACUUUCUUUGACUUUUUCUCCUUCCUUUUGCUAUACUAGAGUUGACUACCUUUGAGAAAAACGAAUUGAGAAAUGCUACUCGAUCUAAAAAGUGGUUAAUAUGCUGGCUUUGGAUUGACUUCAAAUGAGGGUCUCUGGUCGAGGUGAUGGAUUAGAUACAACUUCCUUCACUGCUACCUAAAGUGAUGAGUCAACGUAAAUCAAUUCACUAGAUUGGCCAUCUUUUUCCUAUAGGGAGCUUGGCUUUCCACUAUUUCGCUCUGCCGAGCUUGAUAAGUUAGGUGUACAAUACCAGCCUAGUCUAAGUUAAGAGCCUAUGAGCUUUCUAUCUCCUUUUCUGACUCUGACUACCCGGGGCAGCUAGGAAGUACGAUGUUGACUACUAUACUUUAGCACCCAAAACUAUAAGCCUUAUCGGAACGCCCUGCCCUCACUUAUUUCAUUGACUCCAGCUAUCCACAUAUAUCAGAGAUGCAAAAUGGAGCAUUGCUUCCUGCUUCCAAAACGCAUAUCCAUCAUAGGCGCACUCCGCAACAACAAGAACUCACUUACGCGCGACGGCUUCUGCUAAUGCGCAAGAACGGAACGAAACAACAAGGAAAGCCCUUUAAGAAAACUAUGUACAACGCCUUAAAUGAACUACUACCAACGCACACCGGUAAUUUCAUCAUGGAAUUCGCUUCACCCUCUGCCUUACCUUUACCAGUAAACAAAUGAUUCAGUAUAUUCCCUUUCUUGUUGAAUUGAGUGUACCUAGCGUAUGAUAGAAUUUCGAAUAAAAGGCUUUCAGCACCUUGCUUGUAGAAUGAAAGAGAAAUAUGGGUCACAGUCGAAUUGAGUGCUCUCCCUUAAUAGAAGUACAGUAAACUCACCUCCCCUUGAAAACUCCGAUACUAACGCACCCCUUCAAUAGAGGAUUGACUCAUCCCUUGAAUAGAUGGAAGAAAAGAGUAUCAGCUGCCUUACCCUAUACAAAAGAGUAAGGAAUUAUUACAGUUAGCCCCUUGUUUGUUUGUUUACUUGCUUGCUAGUUUAUAGCGCUAUCCACAUCUCUGUCUGAUGAAAGUCACCUUACUGCUUUGCUUCAAAACUCACUUAUUACUUGUUGAACGAAUUAAGGCACUACACUUUCAUAAUGAAGCUGGGCACCCCGAAUUGCUUGUUUCAUUGGAAUAAGUCGCAUAUAAUGUAAGAGAUUCCAGAAUGUAGCUAUCAUAGCAUAGAAAAGGAGAAACUCUCACUUAUGACUUUGUAUGAUUAUUCAUUGAGUGUGCACCUUAUUAUAUAUGUAAUUGAUUAACAGAACUUGAAGACGAAGAAUACCUAGCUGACAUCGAGGUGCCAAACCCUUAUCAAUCUCCGGGUUGGUACAGGUGUCUGAGGGCAAGGGAAGGUUAGACGGUCAGACCCCAUUUUCUUUCCGGCUAACAAAAGAUCCGAAAGAGCGGGCACUCUCGCCUCGUAGGGAGGAAAUCAUUCUCCUACAAUCAAUCACCUAUAACUAACACCAGCUUGACCUUUGCCCCGCCAGUCAUCAAUUGGAAGCGCGCAAUGUGUAGUAGUAGGAGUCGUCUGAGUAGGAGGAAUAGUCGGAGUGGUAGGAGUCGUCGGUUCGUCUAUUCAAAGCAAGACGGGAGGAUCUCUCUCAAUAAAGGAAUUAGUGGAUGGAUUUCAUACCAAUGCAGGAAUUGGAUCAACAUUGAAUUGGUUUAGAGGGACCCUCAUAUCCAAAUAAUACAUAAUUGAUUAUAGGAACCCUUUCCCUAUAUACGUAAAGGCAGCCCAAUAUACUGUUAAAGAUGAGCACUUAACCAAUAUACUGUUAAAGAUGAGCACUUAUUAACUAAGAUACAGUUUCAGAUGCAGAUACAGUGAAAGAGAAGCAAGCACUAUAAGUAUACAAUACGAUGGAUUCACUUCACCCUUAACUAAAGCCAGGGCACGGCACCCUUAUCUAUGAUUCUUUUCCAAGCGGAGUUCAAUCUCUUUUGAAUAUUAAUAAGGAACACUUAUUCCAUAAUAAAGUCCAUUCAUUCACUCUAAACUAUCAUUGAAAGAGCAGUGCUCACAUUAUCUAAAUUAGAGAAUCCAAUUGGGUAACAACCUUAUAACUCAACAACUUACGUUAGCACAAACUAGCAACAAACUAAUACUAAUGCUUGCUAACGUGCAACUCAGACAAUUCACUACAGCGUAACAAACAAGCAAGGUUUCUGGUUUCUGAUGAUACUUUAUGCUUUUUUGAUUUGAGUCACUUUUUCUUUAUAAGUAAGUAACAAACAAUACAGCUUUCUCUUCUUCUGCCUGACCGACCCAACCUACGUAAUCUUCAUCUUUCCGGCCGGGAGAUAGCGGAAUUCAAGGUUAGCUGAACUUUCCAAUCGGACAAGGCUUUCGUGCUAGUAGGAGUCAGAUGCCCCUUAUUAUUGAGGUCUCCGGUGGACGUUCCCUUAGUUCCGCUCGCCGCUACUUUCUUUAGUCAAGCUGUGCAACUCGUGCUUUUGAUUCUUUAGUCAAGCUGUGCAACUCGUGCUUUUGAUAGGAAGUUGUUCUUCUGUGAAACUCUUACUUUUGUUGAUAGGAAGUUCCUCUUCUAAAGAUAUUCCUCUUGUGGUUAUGAUUUCAAAUACAUAUCAUACCUUCCUUCUAUAGGGUUCAGACUACCAGCCAAUGAUGGACCUGGGCCUACUACUGCCCAUUCUCAAAUGAAGUAUCAAAUCCAGUUACAAAAGUCAAACUACUUGUCUUCCCCCCCAAAGAGCAGUGGAAAUCAACCAAUGGGAAGCAGCAUACACUUAUGAGCAUGGUCCGCUCGUCUAAGGUUUCGAGACAAGAGUGGAGGAGACGUUUUCAAGUGUGCAUGUGCCAAUUUCGGGUUUGGUAAUGCUAAUAGCCGUUGUUGAUGAACCUCUUUCAAAGCCUCUUACUCUAUUCCAGUUAAUAAUCAUUCUUUCAGAUCUUUUCAUAAGCUUGGCAGAUAAGAGUCAUUGGGAAUAAUAUUCUAACCCUAGAAGCGAAAAGCUGUAAAGGCAGUCCUUCUUGUUUAGUUUGAUCAGGUCUUUCUUUGUCUUUGGCAAAGUUUAUAAAAGAGAGCCAAAUCGGAAUAGGACAGAAUUCAAGUGAAUCUUGCAAGGGCAAUCAUAGUUGUUAAAGCUAAUCUUGCAGGACAAUCAUAGUUGUUAAAGCUAAUCUUGCAAGGACAAUCAUAGUUGCCUGGGUGGGGGACUAGACUCAAAGCUCGGUUCCGACCAUUCCCGCUAAAGAAAAGCCAUUGCUGACGAAAACGAAAAGGGUAGGCGGUUGGACCUAGGACAUGUGUGGCAUAGCACAUUCGAGAAGGGCAAAGGGCUUUCUUACCAUUUGAAGCAAGUGCCUAAAGAGAUGGAUGAAAGUGACACUAUUGCUACUAUACCUCUUAUCAAAGAACUAACAUAUGCCCGAUGGAAUUGAGCUUCUGCUGUCCCUCCUCUACUCAUUUGAAUGAAAAGGGAUAAGCGCAUAGUAACCUGACUGAAACAAACUAUAGCAGAAUACUCAAUAGCAUUGGAAAAAGGGAUGACAGACGCUCUAUUUUAGUAAGAGUACAAGAAUGGAUACUUUCCACUCGGGACAGCACUAAAACUGUUGUACCUGAUUCUUUAUCAUGUCCCCUCGAUGACAAAAACUUGACUUGCUAGUUAGGGAGCGGCAAUGGCGUAACCCCAACUUACCUCAGAAUCGCUUGUGUGAUCUUGUUGGAGUAAGUGAGAGAGUUCAGUUACUUAUUUACUUGGUGCACUCAAUUCGUUUCUUGGUCAAAUGUCAAAAGGAGACCCCUCUUCCGGACCACGAUUGGAGAUUCCGUCCAGGCAUUGCACCUGCUCAACAUUAGGUGAAAGAAUGCCUUGCUGCAGAUUGAGUUGGCGCAGAAAGAAUAGGAUCAUAUAUCUUCUUCUACAAACUGAUUAUAGAAGGGUAGUAACUAAACUCCGAAACAACAAUAAGAUAAGUAUUAGCGCUUACGCUUAGUAUUGUUCGGGCUGCCUCUCUAUACGUUUUGAUUCUUUCCUUAGCGCUCUGGGGGGUGAAAUCCAUGCCAUGCCUUUAUUGAUACUUUCUUUCCUUCCCUGUACAAACAAGCGAAAGCGCCCGCAUCUUGACUAUAGGGCUAAUUGUGAAAGCACAGAUCAUGUUGGGCAGACCAAAUCCAAUUCCGGAAUCUAGUGAAUGUCGGUACCUAAAACAAGGAUAAAGAGAAGAUAAGAUAAGAUGGGCACCAUGAUCAAACUAGGAGAAAGAUAAGAUGGGCACCAUGAUCGACCUCUAUGGGAAGUUUCCUUAAGCCACUCCCCUCUUUCCCUGAAACCUUACCAAUGUGCCUCAUAGAAGAACCCUAACAGAUUACUCUCAAGAAUAUCAUAGAACUACCUUUACCUAAAGAAAAUCCAUAAUGUUGGCACCCCAAUACACAAACUGAUUGACCGGAAACCAAUUACGGCAAGUUGUGGGCAAGCCUAUAUACGUUUUCUUUAUUAUUGACCCGCACCCCAUACUAAACCAUCAUAAAGAGGCACUCAAUACUAUGGACUAAGAAAGGAAUGAUAUUUGUUAACUAAGCAGUAAUGAAAAGCCGGAGAUUUGGAAGUCUCAAAGACAAGGGCACCUGAGUAAGCUCUCUAAACAGUUUAGUUACUAUCCAAAUUGGAAUUAAUAGGAGAAAGGGAUAUUCAAAGGAACAAGAGCAAGCAACGAAAUAAUCCAGAAUAGAAUGAAAUGGAAUCUAGCACAAUAUAUAUGAUAGUAAAAACACAGCACUGCAACACACACUACUAAUCUAUCGCACAACGGCAAACAAACAUUAGCAUAAGGGCGAAGUAGAAACUGUAAUUACGGUUAACUUAUCUAACUGGGCCUCUGUCCUAAUGCCUAUGCCUCUGUUCUGAAUGUCAUUUGUGUAUUGGAUACCUAAGAAACUAACUGUUGACCUUUUUCUUUUCUUAUGAAUUUAGUGCAAAAGAAUAGAAGAAAGCGUUCAUCAUAUAUAUAGAGAAUAGAAGAAAGCGUUCAUCAUAUAGAGAAGAUAAUCAAGCGUUUUCAUCAUAUAGAGAAGGAUAAGAAAGCGUUUUCAUCAUAUAGAAUUUAGUGAACAAACUGCGCGGACUCCUCCAAAGCUUCACGCGAACUCAAUAAGCUGCCCCGCUCGAAUAAGCGUUAGCACCCCAGCAAGCACAAUAAGCCUAACACACAAGCAAACUAAGUUAGCGGAACUUCACUCCUAACUCUAAACUCACUGUUUACUCAACUGCUUCCUGCUUUUAUUCAAGUAAGGCGCACAACAUCUUUUUUCAUUGAACUAGUAGCUUUCAGUAAUUCCGUUUGCUCUUUCUCUCUUUCUUGCUGCUCCUUGAUUCCCUCUUAUUGUUCUUUCCCUUUUGACUUGGGCUUACUGGCAUCUGAUUCUCUAUACUUCCACCUAUUUACUCUAUACUUCCACCUAUUUACUCUAUACUUAACCCUACUAUUUCUAAAUAAGCAAACUGUCCGCAGCAUCCAUGGCAGAGGGCAAAUCCUUCCACCCUGCCUCCUUAGUUCCGUGCCAAUGAUUGUAGACCAGACGUUCAAUUGAAGAGCUGCUUGUCCUACUCGGGCAUAUUAUGGAUUUCAAGCAUUCAGGAACGGAAUUCUUUCACAUAUUCCCUAACCAUGCCAGUAUGCUUCAAUUUCUUGAGUUAGUCUCUUACAUACAUGCUUUCUUGCAAGGAAGGAACUUCUCCUUCUAUUCUUUCUUCAUAACUUCCCCCAUCUUUCAAUCUUAGGACGGACAGCAUAAGCAUCAUCCUCUAUAUCCGUCUUCUCCACCAGAGUUUGGCAUCCCCAGUGAGAGAUAUAUUGAUUGGAUUGUGACCUUUUCUCCCUCUGGAACACGAGCAUGAAGUACUCCCCCAUAUCCAAAAGGUUUAUCCAAGUGCUUGACAUACCGAGUGCCACUUAACGAUUUCGGGUCUGGGACAGCUGAAUCGAUAGCCUCUCCUCAAUCUCCCUCCUAUCUACCACCAAUAACCCUCCUAUCUACCACCAAUAAUAGAAUGAGACUUGUCUUCUUCCCAGGAUAUGCUAUCCGCGAUACCUUCUUUCGUCGAAACUAACAUCUGCUUAGACUUCGUAUCUAGAAAAGAAAGGGCUCUCGCGAUCAAGGACUUUUCGCUCCUUGGUUCAACGCUAAGUCGACUGAUGAUCAGGAAGUCUAUAGGGGCUGAAUCCUAUUAUCUUAUUUCGCGACUAUACCCCUAGGACAAAUAGCCUUCUUUAGUUUGUCUAAUUAGAGCGGUCAAGUCCGUCCGUCCCGGUUGGUUGGUUCGGUUGAGUUCUGACUCUUUCAUGGCGACAAUCCGUUUCAUCUCUCUAGUAAUCGACCAACGCAGAAUAAUAACCUUAAAGGAAACACCUAUGAAACCGAUCACUGGAAUACCUGUAACAGUACCAAUCAGCCAAGGAAGAAUCUUUCUAGUAGUCUCGGCCAUUUCCCCUACUUUCUUCCACAUUUGGUUCAUUCGGGUUUGAUUGUGUCAUAACUGCUAUAUAAUGAUCAAUUAGGUUUAUAGUUGGAUGAACAGCAUUGGUUAUAUUGACCCCAAUAAAGAAACGGUAGGUACAGCUAGUCCGUGAACAGUAAACCAUAGCACUGUUCCAAAUGGGAUAGAUUCCAUUUAUGGUUAUUGGGGACCGUAUUCCUUAUAUGUAUAUGAAUUCAAAAAGGAGAAAUGAAUCGAGUUGUUCCAAAGAAUCAGCCCGGUUAUCAAUGGAAUACCUUGUCGGCUAUCUGUUAAAUACUCUUUGGCCGAGGACUUCCAAACACGUCGUAAGCUAAAACCAAUACAGACGAAUAACCAACCCGCAAUGAAUAGGUAUGGAAGGUAUUCUCAUAUAUAGGUAUGGAAGGUAUUCUCAUAUAGAUCCGCAAUGAAUAGGUAUGGAAGGGUAUUCUCAUAUAUAGGUAUGGAAGGCCUCUAAUAUGGAUGAAUGACCCAGUAUCAAUACAGUUUCUAAUAUCAGCAAUAGAAUGUUAUCUCGUGCUUCCAGACAUUCUGAGCUCCACUUCAUUAUUGUACAUUCAAAAAGGGAAUCGAUUCCUUGAAAGAUGGGAUCAGUAAAUAGAGAACUACGGAUAUUGCAUCUUUGUGAGAUCGUCAAUUUAGUAUAGAAGGGUGUUUUAUUUAAAGUAUACCGAAUCAGUAUAGCUAUCCUUCCUCUGGCACAGCAACGCAGUCUCGAUCGGUACCGAAAUGCUACUACAUUCCUUUGUUGUUCCUUGUCUAUGCACAUAACUCUAUGUUAUUCAAUGGAUCAAUAGAAAAUGACUCCAAUUCAAUCUCAAGAGCCUUUGACUUUUCUUUUAGGAAAGAGAGCAAUCUCAUAAUCCUUAUUAAUAGCGAGGGAAAUCCUUAUUAAUAGCGAGGGAAGUCCUUAUUAAUAGCGAGGGAAGGUCGGUCAAUAAUAUAGGUAGUUUUGGGCUGUUCCAUUCUUUUGAUUUCAUGUUAUGGGUUGGUCUACGAAUUCCAUUAUUAGAUACUAGCCUUAAGACUAAGGACCCUGAAUGAGUAUAUACUUGUUUCAUAAAGGAAGCAGUAACCCAGUUUGCCAUAUUCGUGAUGCAACCGUUAUUGUAUUAGAUCCAAAACAAAGGUUCUUUCUUGACCGAACUAUAAGUAUGGAACUCUAUUAUAUGGAAAGACAGAAUAUGGAAUUUAGCGAAGUAGAAAGUAUCGUUUUGAAACCAACCUGUUGACUUUUUCUUGAAUGAAUUACGCCGUCCCUACGGUUCCUCUCCCUCCUACCCUUUGAAGAAUCGUUCAACUCAUUAUCAAUUUAUGGAAUCUAUAGUGUUCUGUAUCGAAAGCACACUCGCUGGUAGUUCUCAAUGUUUAUCCGAACAUAACAGUUUUCAGAGUAUAGGCGAAACUCCGCUUCCGGGAGUAUAGUCUCCCCAGAAAUAAGAAUGAGUGAAAUGCCAAGCACUUUGCAAAGAAGCAUGCGAUCAACUAUCUGCGUACGAAUUAUGACCCUUCGGGAGAUUUUUCAUCUGGCUUGCAUGAGAGGGAGGAAAUCGGUUUGGUAUCAAAACAAACACACUUUCCUAUUAUUGGAUACUUGAUAAGCUCUCUCAAUCUUGGGAAUCUAUCUCAAUGCAGUUCAACAUCAAUUCUUUCUCACCCGCCUCGCGUAAGCACAAUGCCUUUCGCCCUUUGUUUGUUGCUUCUGGAACUACACUCGUAUUCAGCAGAUCCUUAAUCUUGGGUCAGGAAUUGCUUCUCAAUAGGGAACCCACGUGAUGGUCUGGUAUCUCCCAAUCCGCUUCCCGGUUGCCCAGGUUCGUCAAAAGGGAAAAGUCGCUUGGGACAGUAAGUGUCUUAGGGCCCAAAUGAAGAAUGCAUUGAUCCAGGGCAGGGGGCGCCUCCCGAAAUAAUCAACUGACUCUUCAAUCAAGUCGCUAAAGAUUCUCUAUCUUCCUGCUUUUCAAGACCCGAUAGGUCAAAUCAAAAGCACAAUGGGAAGUGCGAUAUAGCCUUGCUUAUGCUUUUCAAGACCCGAUAAGUAGAAUCAAGAGCACAAUGGGAAGUGUGAUAUAGCCUUGGAAACAAAUGGUACCACGGAGAGAGAUGUCAGAUUCCAUUCCAUAUGUGAUUGAUGUCGUAUUGAUGAGGCAGAGUUGAGCUAGUGAACAAGUCGUUGGCGUUGUGCUUACUUUGUUUCGGGGCUACCCUAGCGCUUGCUUCUUUUUGAUUAAAGUCAAAACACACACACUUCCGUUUAUUAUGCUUUGUGCUCUACUUUAGCAGUUUAUGAAUAAGGUAAUCUCGCGUCUAGAGCUAGGUGUGCAUAGCAUAUAAUAGCAGUCUGGGACCCUAAUCUCAGUGAUAUUGUAUUUACUCUUUCAUUAUUUACCGUGGGAGGUAUAAAGCCGCUCCUAUUUCUUGUGCAAAACUAGGGAAUACGUCCUAAAAACCAGCUAAGGAACUACCGAGCAGAAGCACUUAAGCCCUGACUUACAAAGAGUUAUCCAGAGGAGGAGACGCAGGAGCAGUUUCUUUAAAUCCAGUCAUUUCAGUUGAAUAUCCCGCUUCGCCAUAAGAAGAAGUUCAUGCUCUAUUGCAAAGUACUAAUUUUCAAAAAAGAAAGAAAUUGAUAGAAUUUCAAACUUAACGCUCCGAAUGAUUGAUGGUUCACUCAAUACACCCUCUCCUCUGUUAACUGACCGGCACUGAAAGCAAUGGCACUGAAAGCAAUAGUAAUUGAGCUCAAAGGCGCCGAUGCAAGUAAAAGAGGUCUGGUCAGGGAGAAUCAAUGGAAUAAACAGAGCUUUCUUAAGGUUUCUCAAGACUAUGUUUGAUGGUUUCUCAAGACUAUGUUAGGUGGGAAGUAGGAAGAAUUAGGUUUUCUCGUUGUUUAACAACUGUUAACUAAUCAAAUAGUUAAUUACUUAUUAAAGACCCCAUCAAACUUGAGCUAUUUAAACGUUAGGUAAGGGUCCUAUCCUUUUCUAGGAGUUCCUUACUUCUUUGACUUUUCUUUCAAUGGGUGAAUCAAUUCGGUCGACAUUUCGGACACAGUAAACACUUAGAGGAGCUAUGCGGGAAUCUCUCUUGCAAAGGUCGGGAAGUGAGUUUUGAAGCAUUAGUAAGGGGGAAGGAUCCCUUUCCUUUCUCAGGGCACUCUAAUAGAAGCCUGCGUGGUUCAACUCCUUAGUUUGGGACAUCUGCACAUAUGGGAUCGUGCCUCUGGGCUGCGCUGCGCACGAGAGGAUUCCUGCUAGUAUGUUCGUGUUCGUGCCUAGCGCCCGAGUUUCAAUGCUAAAUAAGAACAUACUUUUUGCUUCCUGCUCGUCUGAUUGUAAAGAGUGGUCACCUAACACGCGGUCGGCACGCGUUACUCUUUCGGGUGGAAGGAAUUUCAUCGUAUACCAAGAUUUCUUCAAGAUAAACUAUUAUUGAAAUAAGGAUUUCUUCACGUAAUCCAUCCAUAAACCCCCGGUUACCUUCGUCACCGUCACGACUCUUUCCAAAGGUUACCCGUCAUCUCAUCUCCAGUGGACUUCAAUCGCGAAUUCUCAGGUGGAAUCAUUUUAGGAAGGGCAAAUGAGACUGGCCUGAUCCUUUGAGUCCCUGGGGCUUUGACUUCUAAACGUCUUCGUUCGUGGUGCAUUCUUUCAGUCCCGAAAAAGGGGUUAGCCCUCCUGGAAUCCUUCUCCUUCUAUCUCUCUCUAAAGUUGAAACCCUAGCAUCUGACUCCGCGGUUACCUUGAUCCUCAAAGUAGUAACCAUCCUUUCUUACAAAAAAAGGUGCAAUUGUGGAAUCCCGAAGAUGCAAUUGUGGAAUCCCGAAGAAAGAAGAACUCCUUAUCGGGGGUUUGCUAAAGAUUUCUAUCAAAGUGGGGGCUAGGCUAACUCCUCGAGUGACAAACGAUUGCUUUAGCUUUCUUGGUUGACUAUUCCAGAGUACUUUCGGUGCCUGCUAACGUCCAAAUAGCAAAAUCACUCCACUUCCGACUUUUCCUUAGCCUUACUUAGGAGUCUCAAAUAACAGGCAUUACAUUAGAACAUUCGUUCCUAGUUUUUGAAUGGAAUAGUUUGAUCAAAUCUCCAAGAAUCAAAAGUAUAACUCGCUCGAAUGUGAUUCAAUUAGAAUUCUUAUAUCCCACUGACUUCCCCACCCAACUAACUCCCUUUGCUUUCAUUCCCUGGGCCAAGCAACUACGUGACUUCUCAAUCUCAUUUACCACUUCGUCUUGUGUUUCACUGGCUUUGAAGAAUCAUAAAGAUCCGGAUCUACUGCUGGGCGAGAGGGUAAACUUCACUAUGUCUUUACUCACUUCUAUAUUUGGUGCUUUAAACACAUUAUGGAAAUAUUCUUUGUGAAAUAUUCUUUGAUUUGACUUGUGUAUUAGCUGGAAUAGAGUCCUUGAAAGGAAACACUCUAACCUGCGAGCGGCGAGCUGGACAAUAAGACCUUUUCGCGUCUAUAUGCCUUUGUUCAACUCAACGUAGCUUAUGUCAUAUCUCCACAUUUAGACUCUGCUAUCGGCCCUGAUAAUUCACAUUUGAGCCUAGAAAGAUGGAUCACAUUCUAUUCCCCUGUUGUUUACCCUUACUUAAACAACGAUAAUGGGAAUUGAGCUGAGCAAGAAAAGAUUUCACUGACGCCACGUUAGCUUGUUAACUUGUUCUCGCUCGUGAAAACAAAAGAGACUCCACUGAAAUACUUAGCGCACCGGAAGUUAGGGCAAAUAAGGAUUGAACGCCAGAUAUAGAGAGUAGUUAACCAGAUUGAGAGUCCUUUCGGACCCGCUUCCUUCCUUAUUACUCUGAUUCUAUAUACGAUAACACUAGAACAAGCUAAUACUGGAAUUGCCGCCAAUAACGGAUCUAGCAGAGAAUGCCCGAACUCAUUCAAUAAGAAAGAUGUUUCUUGCGUUGCCCGAGCUCACUAGAGAACCCUAGCUAUAGUAAUUAUGAUAUAUUCUUAGACUUACGUAUCGGGUAACUGCACAUACUCCUUGUUCUUGCGAACGGCUUGUUUAAUUGCUGAACUAACUCCUAAGCGCUUAAUUCUACUAAGCUUAUUCUCUUGCACAUUGUAUAGAAAGAGUAAUCGAACUGCUUAAGUAGCAUAGUAUAGUAUAGAAUAAUAUAUGAAACAAAUAGUCAAGAAGAAGAUAUUAAGCAAACGGCUAUUACUUGAAAAUAAAGUGAGCCCACCUCCCUUGCUUUUAAAAGAAUGGAAAUUAGUGAACUUAGGAGCAGCGCAAACAAGCAAUGGCGCUAUUGUGUUUGGGUGCAACUUACUAUUAGUUUCCAGAACAAGUCCAUUAUUUUAGGCAAAGAUGCAUUUAUAGGACAUAGGCAUUAGGCACCCGCUUAAAGUCACCCCAAGUCUUGUGUUUUAGCUAAAGUGAAGUUAAUUGCGUGCGCGUUACGUUAUAAGAGUUAUCGUCGUUGAACAGAGGUUGACUACCCGUCAUAGCUCAUUCCAUUUCAGACCCGCUGAGGCUACUAACGCCGAGAUGUCGCAAAAGGUCUAAAUUCUCUUCUUAAAGCAAAGGUGCUGAAAGCCUGUUUGUUUACUCAAUCAUAAUCAUAUUAUAUUAAUUGUAUAUGCGAGAUAUCUUCUUUCAUUCAAGGUAGCGGAAAAGGCCCAGACUUCUUGUUAAUGGUUGCGAGAGCAGUUAAGUAGAAAGUGGAAUAGCCUGUUUAUUAUAUUAGAAGUCAUAAUGUGCUCUCUAUUGUAGAUGUAGAGGGUGCGCCUGCCUAUUUGUUCUUAAAGGAAGCAAUGUAGUGAAGAAGCAUCAAACUUAAAGGAAGCAAUGUAGUGAAGAAGCAUAAAAAGCAAUGGCAACAUCGCGUGUUAGAGAGUCCGUCCCAAGGUAUAAAUGCUCUUAUUCUUCACAGUUCAGUGAGUUGACGUUCUUCUAUCAUAUGAGGUGCAUACGAGUCAUUAUUAUCCGCCCGAUACAACUACGCAUACCAUACCAUACCUUCUUACCGACCUUUUAUUACACUUUGGUACCCGCUCGCUUUCGGCAGUGAGUAAGGGCAGUGAACAAACAACGGAACCUGUGCACUCCAUUCUCUUCUGCAGUCCGGUUACUUAAUUAUAGGAAUUGCAAGCUAUAUUCAUUUCUUCAAUUCGAACUUUUGAGUGGUACAAAGAGAGUUCCAUUCCCAUUUGACUUUACUCUGACUGAGCACUAUAAUCAAUGGUUCAGUUCAUUCUUUUGCUUGUGCGCUAGGAGCUCUUGUUGAGUUUGCCAAUCUUCUCAUUCUCUUCUCAAUAAUACAGGCUACGAAACGAGAAACGAGACUGGAACCUCUGUGGGGCCUGUCACUAGCUACCUAUGCGAAUUCACGUGAGCACUACUUGUUGCUUCCUUUCCUUACAAGCUCAUAUCGGCAAAGAAGAGGAACUCUACUCGUAACACAGCUUUGCUUCAGGCUUACAGCCCGGGGGGCGCCAAAAGAGAAGUAGUAACCUAACACUCCACUCGCUCAUGCACCUCUUAUGUCCAAAAGUAAUCUCACUGAAAACUCACUACUAUACAAAUGGCACAAGUCAAAGAACUGGCAAACAGGAAUAUUUCUUUCGAGCUAAAUAAGUGUAUAGGAAUCUUACCAAAAUCUAUACCCUCACGUGUUUUGUUCUCUUGAAAAAGACGGGUUGAGGCCUUGUUCCUCGAAAGCGAACUUUGCACUGAGACUUGAUACUCCAUAUAGAAGUACUUCUGACCUUUCACCUUGAUUAUUGCCUUCUCAACUAACACCCGAACUAUCCUUUCAAACGAGGAAAACUGUACUUCCGGGCAGCUACCUAUCGCCGACAAGAGGACUCGUUUUUUGUUCCUAACUCUCCCCUUGAAGACUUCCGGGCAGCUACCUAUCGCCGACAAGAGGACUCGUUUGUUGCUCCUAACUCUCCCCUGGAAGACUCCCAAUCAAUAACCUCUCUUUACGACUUCCCACUUGCAGGAUACCCUGAUCUGCGCACAGCUUUCUAUUCUACUCUGAUUAUCGAGUCUCCUUUCCUGGGCACUCACAGAAAUAUCAUAGUAAUCAGUAUACCUUGCUUCAAAACAAAAGUACAGGCAAAGAAGCGAGGUGUCGUCCAAGUGGCGUCAGGAGUUUUCAAAAGAAAAGAAUCAAAUCUUCACUGACUUCAGGAGAAUCUAUUAUACAACACUAAACACUGUAUUGCUUGAUUUCUUUCUUGCGCAGAGCUCUCAUUGCAUCUAAUAACCCAAACUCCAGACUGCUUGUUCUUUUCUUUCGCCCUUUUUUGAUACCUGAGACUAGAGACCCCCUUACCUUGCAUGUUCCGUUAGUGCAAGUCGCCAAGUAACUACGCCAAGCUACUACGUGAGGCUCUGAUUCUCUUUUGGACUGUACCCUCAUUUAGUAGAUUAGUGUUCGAAAUAGCAUUUCGCCCUAAUAACACCUUCUUAUUAUAUGGGAUAGGAUAACACCUUCUGAUUAUAGGAGAUAGGAGAUCCUGAUGUCAAUUUCGGGGUAGCAUGUAAUAUUGAUGAACGUGUCAUUUCAAACAACAAAGGGGGAAUACAGCUGCUAAAAAGAGGAAAUCAAGACUUAGAAAGAUGGAAGAAUCAAAGCAUAAUAACCUACUUUGUGAAGUUGACUGCGAAGGUGCUAAUUAUACGCCCAAAAAGGUUGAGUGAAAUACAAAUAAAUGAGAUUAAGGCAACCAAUCUGUUCCCGUGUUAUCGAUUAGAGGCUAAUCCAGAAAGAAAGGAUUUAUAUCAGUUGAAAAAGAGGUGUUAUCGCCCGCUGCCUAGGUUUGAUUUCUUGAGAUUGUAUGCGACAAUAAUGCAUAGAGCGAAAGCAAGCGUUAAAGAGGAAAUCCGCUAUGUUGAACCUUGCCCUAGCUUGUUUAUUCGCCGCGAAGCUGACUAUUUGAGUAAAAACAAACGGGCACUUCCCAUAGAGACUCUUACCAUUUGAAUAGAACUCCCAUAAUAAGCAAGGGAUCCACGGAAGGAUGCGGGAUUAGCAAUAACUCUGACCAAAGGGAAUUGGAUCUCUUUACUCUUUCCCUAAAACCUAAAUGAGGAGGAUUCCACAGCUGGCCCCGCUCUAUAGAAAGCAAGGGAAAGCCCAGUAACACACUUGAGAAUCUAGUAAAACACUUGAGAAUAGUUUAUAUAGGCAAGCUAAUACUCAAAAAGCGGGAACCCGGAACAAAAACAGGACUGGCUCUUGAUACUGCUACAGCUUCGGCUUACUCACCAGCUCUUGAAACGACUUCUUUAUAAGAAAAAGAGGCAGCUGGGCUCGGUUCCAAAGAGUUAACCUGUGUUCGGCGGUAGCGAGUUAAUAGCUUAAGUGUUUUCUUUCCUUAAUUUGAUUCCAACUUCACUGACUUUAUAUCAGUCCAUACAUGACCUAUAUUGGUAUGAUAAUACGAUGCACUUAACUAAUACUAUUGUAAUGAAGCAUGGGCUACUAUAUGAAACUAUCGGAAUGAAAUCAAUACUUAUAAUAAUUAACGAUCGGACACCAAGCCUUGCUCGCCGGGUAGUAAACCUUACUUGUAACCCCAACUCUCACUCUCUCCCCACUAGAUUAAGCUAUGCAGUUCACCUACGAGUCUCGUGCUCUUGUUUUUCAUUUGGUGGUUGUCCCUUUCAUCCCCGGAGUUUAGGUUUUCGUCUUAUACUCGUUACUUGCAUUCUCCAUCCCGAGUUAUCUGUCUUGUCAACCGACCCAGCUAAGUUUCCAUCAAAUAAUUAAUUGAACUUGUAAGUCCACGCCCUACUUGUGUUCACUUCAAACUAACACAUACCUCUGCUUUCUCUAAGCCCCGCUUGUUAGUGUCCAACAGGUAACUACUAAUAUUGGAAUGUCACCUAUCCCCCACAAUAGCAGACUCCACUUGCUAUACAAUAGAUUGAACUGCCGUUACUCGAUCUCAUUAUGUCGAUCCUGUCUCUCGUUCUCCAAACACUGCUAACAGGGCUCUACAGCUCGGAACCCAGGCUCUCACUUAUUGAUUUUACCAACCAGAGGUAUUCCUACUAUUUACCCGGAAUACGAACCUUGCUCUACCAGCGAUAACUCUUACUGCCCUUUUUCUCAUUCCUUUACUAAUUACUUCGAAGCUGUCUUUACUUUCUUUGACUCUUUAACUAAUGAUGGAGCUUUGACUCUUUUACUAAUGAUAGGGAGGCUUACUAUUCCUAUUUGCGUUCUGUAUUUACUUGCUUAUAUUCUGACAGUAUAUACAAUGGGCGCUGCCCCUACUACUUCAAAUACCAAAUCUAAGGUCUUGCUUUAUUCGCUUUGAAACUAUAUCUCCUCGCCUUAACUCUUUAACAGUAAUGCCUAUAAGCCUGUCUCUACUGUUUUUCAUUCGACUUAUUACUAGACCAGAGUUCGACUCACCAAGACACGGGUGUCGCGGUAGCGAGUUAACACCCCUAGCUCCUAUUCUCACUACACUGUCUUUGAUUCUAAGACCGCUGAUCCGGAUCCUGUCACUGUACCUUGGCUUCAAAGCAACCCUUCCUUUGUUUAAGUCCGAUUCCUCUACUUUCAGAAGAUACUAUAAUAAGAACGAACUAGUGGGGAGCGUAUCAAACUCGUGCUUCUAAGACCUGACCUUAACCUACAAAAAGGGAAUGACACUGCAAACUACCAGACCUGCCAUUACUGAACCCAACCCUUACAUGUUGGCACAGGGCUCCUUACUUCUUUCACUUGACUUGCUCAUAACUCGCCGCGCAACUACUGACGCUCCUAACUCCUAUUCUUACUAAAAAAUGGAUCAGUCUGUAGCUACUGAUACAGAUCCGGAUCCUUUCUCUUCUAAUAAGGAACUCAAUCAGCAAAAGCAAGACCGAAACAAUUAUUUCGAAUAUGAUAACUGGAACCCGGGAAUGAAACACAAAACUAAGAACUAAUCUACCAAUACACGAAUAUGGCUCCUAUAGAGUAAGAAUAGAAAUCCAGACUUGAACUCAACUCCUAAAGUCACAGGCAGGCUUCAACUUACAACUGGGGGAUCGAACUCAUUAGAUUAGUAUGGGAAUGGGGGUGCCACUACUGAAUGGAACUAAGUAGUAUGAGAUCUGUAGUAUAAGAUUGGAACUCCUUCCUUGCCACCCUUGCUUGUUAGGUUUAGUCUUAUAGUUGACUCUUGCAUUCCUCCCUUCCUGUCUUCAAUGCCUAGUUGAUAGUUUUGUUCUGACUUCUGUGGUUAAUGCCCUCCGCUUAGAGCCUUAGGUCUGCUACUCAAACACAACAGCCUAUGAGUCUUACUAUUCUGACUUUGACACUUAUACUAAAAGGUUUGAACUCAACAGACAGAAGAAAACUCAGCAGUAGUAGAAUCAAACAAGGAAAUAAAAGGCUUAAGAGUUCAUCUCAGAAAAAAGGAUUCACUCCGGCAUACCUAGCAACAAAACUCGAAACACAGGAUUGAACUAAUAAAUAGCGGAAUAAAACCUACUCUAGGCUAAUUGGUGCCCCUCUGGACUUAUACUAGGAACUCAGGCUUACCUUACCGUCCUCAAAGCCUGUAGCUAAUACCUGACACUGGGGAUUCGGCUAGUUGGCACCCAACCCAUACCUAUAAUUAUGAAAAAAGACCUCACCUACUCUGGCUACUUUCAUUCUGAUAUGCACCUGUUAGCCUGCCCCUAUUUCUAUUAUUUUGUACUUCUGGGCAAAUUGGUACCCUGACUUUAUGGUGGAAUUCUGGUUUCUGAGUUUUCAUCUUCUUAUUCCUAUUCUUUACUCGACUUCUUAUUCUUAUAACUACUGUUUGGAUUCUCUUUCUCUUCUUUCAUUCUCUUGUUUCUACUGUGAUCCUAUACUGAUUAUUCUUAUUAUUGGAUUUCAUAACUACUUACUGCCUUCCAUAACGAAAUUGAUUGUUCUCAGUCUCAACUCCCUGCCCUAAGCUCUCAGCUCGGAAUGGCUUAUAAGACUUCAACGAUAGGACCUGGAAGAAAACAACUACUUACUGUCCUUGCCCAAACUACUACUGACUUUCCUUGCCCUCAAGCUAACUCUCUUUCCGAACUCUUCUACCCGGAAUUACUUACCUUAUCUCUAUCUCUAUCCGGAAUUACUUACCUUAUUCUCUAUCUCUUACUGGGGGGCGAGGGCUUGUCUCCGCUCUGAUUCACCACCUGCAUAGUAUGUACUAGUAUAAAGAAAUAUCAUAUUGGUUUAUUGUUUUCACCGUUAUUAGUAAGAUGUAUAAAGAAAUAUCAUAUUGGUUUAUUGGUCUGUAUUGGUGGUAAGCUAAAGAAGAGAGCUUCUACGCGCUAAGAGAGAGAGAGAGGAAUAGAGCCGCUACGUUCAGUUCAGUCAAGUAACGAGGAAAAGCCAAAUGGAAUGAAUGUCUUACUUCUGAGUGAGAGCGCUAGUAAGAGCUAAUGCUUUGCUUUCUCAACACUUUUCACAUAGGAUGGCCCGGCCCGUGGUUUCUCUUGGGGCAUCCUAUGUUCUCGGAAGGGAGGCUAGACUUAUUGACUGAGCGAGACUCCAUCCUACUUUUAUGCAUCCAUCUAGCAAAGCCGCGUGAGUAAAGCACCCUAUACACUUAGUAGUCAAGCCGAAGCUACAUUGUAGACGUGACCGUUCUGUUCUAUUAAGCCUUCCCGCUUUUCCUAUAUCAAACUCAGUAAGAUAUUUACUUGACCUCAAGCUAUCACCUCGACGUUUUGAGAUAGCCUAUAUUUCUAGUUUUGAGCGUAUGCUGUAGCGGGCUUUUUCUUUCUUUUCUCUCCUUACCGGCGAGCCUAUGUGCGAUGCUUGUUUAGGAUUGGAGUCAGCAGGCAAUAGUAACAUCUUCAAACAGGGCAUAAUCGCCUUAUUUCAUUUGCGCGUCACACAAUCCAGCGUAUUUGUCAUGCAUAAACUCAACAGCAAGGUUAGACCUGCUACUGCUGCAACAAUAAGAUGGAAAGCACCUCUGUAGUAGGCUAUGAAGUCCGAUGUGCCGCCGCUUGUGACCCAAGCCUGAAGUAACUGACUCUAAUAAUAAAGUGUACGGAGUAUUGCUUUUCUUUCUUUUAUUUAACCAGCAAACAACGUCGCUCAAAAGAAAAACCCUCAUUUCCGCUUAUGAACCACACCUAUCUUCUCAAUUGCUAACUAAAGCUUGACAUCACCUUCCUUUAUAUGUAUAUAUAAUCUCAUAUUUCAUCUACUUUGUGCUAAAUGGAUAAUAUCAUAUUUCAUCUAUACAGAACCGAGACCUUAACCUCUUCCUAAUAUCUGGGUUCGGUUUUCCUCUUCGCUAGCCGGAGUAUACCACUAGUUCCAAACCCUUUGAAAGAUACAAGGGAAGGGAUCGAUGUCGUUAGGCGAGGUCAACUCUAUCAUAGCUUUCCCUUUGAUAAUCAAUAUAUAAAUAAGCAAGGCAAGUUUGGCUACUACUAUCCCAAUGCAGCAAAGCUAGGUUGUGCUCUUAUGACGGGGAAAGGGUCGACUCCGAAAGAUCAGAGAAAGAACAAUAACCACAUUUGAUCCACACUAAUUGCAAAGAGCCUUUGAGCUACUAUACUGGCAUUUGCUCUAACCGUAGCUUGAACCUUCGUAAUCCAUACUAUACUCUCCGUACCUUAGCUUGUGGUAACCAAUCAUCAAUACUCUCUCAUUUAAUUGUAGUUGAGUUCAGAUUCCGCUUAAGUGAGUUCCAGAAGAGAAGCCUAAAAGCAAUAAAUAAGAAGAACUAGCGUUAGCGAGUUAUUAGUAAGCGCGUUAGUUAGCCCUACUGCUCUCCAAAGUGUUAUAGAAAGUCUCAAGUCAGGUAUCAAUCAAGUGUCAAGUAUCCUUCAAUACUCGUAUAGAUGCGGGUGCCGAUAUUCAAUGGUUAGGUAAAACAAUUAGUCAGUUCCUACAGUCAGGUUACUUCAUUACAUAAUGGGUGCACUCAAUUCGUCACUUCAUCAUGCGCGCGUCGUGGUCCAAGUCACUUUUACGCACAGUCGACUCGGGUUCCUAUUGCGUUUGUACUUCUAGUAUAUUAUUAAGGGUAAUAGAGUUCGGGUCAAUAACUGAUAGGACAGACUUUCCGAGUUCGGGUCAAUAACAGAGUUUUGAAGCAAAGCAGCUUGUUACUAUUCCUCUCUUUUUGGAACGCUCAAUUCUCUUUAACAUUAGUCUAAUAUAAGUGUCGCUUACAGAGUUUACGGCAACCAAGGAUACUCUACUCAUAAAAAGCUACAAGAAAACACUGAACAACGCGCUUGCUGCUGACUUUAUACUUAACCGAACCGCUGAAGAAGGACAAAAAGAUAGACCAGAGAGUAUGACAUUGAUUCUUGCCCUCCCGCCUUACUGACAUUCGAACCUUACUGACAUUCUAACAAGUAAUGAGAAAUUAGCAAGCAACAGAACCCAUCUGACACUUGCACUCAAAGCAAAGAGACUCUAACACAAGCUAGCAACUAAGUAGAAUGUUGCUAAGCGCUAACGGAGGCCGCCCCUAUCUCUCUAGGUUUCACCUCUGGUCAACUCAUCUUAUGGCUAAUCUUUCUCGUGCUAUUGAAUUCACUCGCCCCCUUUAUUGCUAUUGAGUAAAGUACUUGAGCGCGGGUGCCAACAUCAUACAUCCUAUAUGAAAAGAGGUCACACACCUACUCAUAUAGCACAACUGAGGUCACACACCUACUUAUAUAGCAAAGAGGCAGCUGAAUCCAACACUCUCAAUUGGGUUAGGACAAAGGCGGAAGCCAUAGUCGGGAUUAUAAGCAUCAUUAUAAUCAGCAGUGCCAACGUCUUGCUUAGUUGCGGCGGAGUUGCUUGGCUCUUAUUCCUAUUCUCACUUUCUUUAUUACCCCCACACUUCUAUUCUUAAAUGCACUAGAUUACAUACUUGCUUUAAGUCUGACCUUCCAUUCAUAAAUUCAUACUUGAGAGUGGAGAGCGCCUAAUCCAAAUACAUAAAGGAACUGGCACCGAGGAAACAAAUACUUAAUGGAAUCUUUAGAGCUCUAAUGAACCCCCUUCUAUGCAAUACUCUAUUCCUUUCUGCUACAACAACUCUUGUUAUCACGGAGUCUUGCCCGAGUCAAGUCAAACAAUGAAUUUUGGAAUAUGACCCGAUCUAUGCCCAAAACCUUUAUAACUUGCAUUAGCCGAAAACAGCACUUUCACUUGCUUGCUCUGCUUGUGCACCAGUACAGGAUUUGAUCUUUAUGAUUUGAUUUAGCGCGUAGCUACGUAGGCAUUGUAUUCGAGAUUCUCUUCGGCUUCCCGCUUAUGGAUUUCUAAUUUAAGUACGAGUGCUUUCUUCGUAGGUAGGCUCAAUCCGAUUCUUCUUAAACCGAUGCAACUAUCUACUUAUAUACUCCCCCGCUUGCACCAGAAACCGGGACUUUUCACUUGUGCAGAAGCAUAAGAUUCUAGAGGAUGAUCGGAUUGCAGGAUAAGAUUUGAUCGCUUAAGUUCUCUUUGCUUGCUUUUCGAGCGCCAAGGAAAACGAUAAUGGAACUUUCUGAACUACUUGCUAUUGGACUUGAGAUUGGAUGAUGCCUCGAACAAUACUCCACUUGAAUAACCGAACUUGAAGAACCGCUUACCACUUCUAUGGCUUAUGAUCUGGAUCUGAAGCCGAAGUGAAGUAGGCUUUAGCUCCUUGUUAGAAUAUCUUUAUUUGUGCUAGUUAAGUACAGAAAGGAAAGUAUGCUGUUCGCCCGAGAUAAUGAAGAGUACAUAGUUUGUAUUUACCAAGAUUUCUCCACCUUGUGCAAGAAGUGCUCAAUAAGAGGAGAUAUUCCAAUUCAUAACUUGAAGCUGUAAUCGAUUCAUCAAGUCGAGAAGAUGUUGAAUCAGGGUAGAAAGCUGGAUCAGAGGAAACUUCAUCAUUAUUGUUCCCAACUUAGGUAUGAUAGAAUAAGGUCACUAACCAUGCGCUCUUAAAUUCAAUUAGAAUAUGAAUGUGCUAUAUCACGUACUAUGUGUUAAUAUUAAUCUAUAUCCGGAGAAGAGUCAAACUUCCCUUAGCCAUAUCCUUGCUCAUACUUUCUUAUUUGAUUCCUAUAGCUGCUACACCUAUACAGGAUUCCUCCCCAAACGUAACAACUUGAAGAUUCUUCGACGAAUAUGUAAGGGCAACUUUACUUGAAACUGGAUACUCUAUCUCUUGAUACAGCUUCGUUUUCUGAUCAAGCAUCACCUCUGUAAUUUCUUACUUGAUUAUAUAUAGAUAUAUAGUGGAUUACUUUAUUAUAUAUAGAUAUUGAGCCUCGCCCUUAUUCUUAUUCUCGGUUCGGCUCCUCUACCUCUGGCUCUAGUACUGUUUCUUGGCCCUUUCCUUUCUCUAACUCUUCUACUGAUUACUCGGAUUCUACUACUCUGGUCUCCCGGGCUUACUUACUGAUCGCAUAUCUGUGUAUUUCACCUUAGAAGCCAACUACUACUGAAAAGACCUUAACGACAACUAUUGGAAUUGAGCAAGCAAAGGGGAAUCCAACCGACGCUUCUAAGACUUCGACUACUCCUAUUGGAAUCAAUAAAGGAAUCCAGAGUGGAACCAACACUAGCAAGGGCGGAACUAGUGCUUUACAGGCUCGAACCAAUGCCAACAGGAAUUCAACGAGGACGCGGGAACCCACCUACAGCUAUUAAGAAUCGGCCUACAACUAAUGGGAACUUGACUAGUUCUCCUGCCUUUACUCGCUUCAAAGGCUUUCAGCACCUUUACUUUCUUUCUAUAACUACUGAACUCAAAGCUAACUUCCUCGAUCCUAUCCUUAGCAUCCUUACUUCUAUUCUUUGAUUUGUCAUUUCCGAACUAUACCUUAUCUUAUUUCUGGAUUUGCUUGUUUUGUUUGUUCAUUCUCUUAUUCGAAUCUAAUAAUUAAUUAGCUUAAUUAGAGCAUGUGUUUUCGUAUAGUAAUAUACUUAUUCUACUCGCUCAGAUGCCCUAGGCACAUAUAACAAGAAAACGAAACUCAUGUAAGAAUGGAGCUACUGACUUCAAUACUAUAGCUCAUAGUAUAGAAUCGAGCAGUGCCCUAACAGACUAUAUCCUCUGUUGGCGUCCUAACCUCCGGAAUAACUCAUAUGGCUAUCAUAAUGGAACUGGGGCUAAUCAGACUCAACCACAGCAACAGAGGAAUGAAAUGGGAAACAAGGGAACCGGCACUCCCUAUUAGUACACCUGGAGCUGGGGAGCGCUAACAGCUAUUCAGAUUCUUUAGAAGCAGAUUUCUAGCUUUACGCUCCUGACUUUCCGUAAGAAUCUUGUAAUAAGAAUGAGUAAGAGUAGUCGUCUCGUAUGAAGUAGACUGCGCUGAGGAAGAUCAUAAUCUAAGGCCAAGGGGCAUACCGUAAUCUAAGUCAAUUAAGGCAAAGGCCAUUAUCAUGGUAAGACCUCUGUUAACGUAGCCUACGGAGUGGUAAAGAACUGGAACUCAAUUAAGUACUUAGCGCACCCAAAACAGUAUUACUUGUUUCUUUCGCCACUAACCAAGAAAGUCAGUAUCAGCUACAGCAACUGGUACUAGGCCUGGGACUGGGCCUGGACCCGUACUGUCUGAUUCUCAAAAGUCAACAAAUCAUUUCAUCUAUCGAGCAAGAAAAUCCAUUUACCUAGAAACUCCGUUCCGUAAGCACUUAGUCUUAUUGCUUCACCCGGCCUUCUAGUAAUUCGCUAACAACAUGCCCCCUUCCCCCAAGCCCGGCCUUCUAGUAAUUCGCUAACAUUGUUUUCAAUUAAUAUAUCUCUUUUUGACCUUUUCGGCAUUCAUUCGUCUCAAAUGAAUCUAAUCUUGGGUGCGCCUACGGGUGAGAGAAGCAAUCCUCCCUCUAGGUCGUCUAAGAUCUAUUUCUUUCAUACCACCAGGAAGCCUAUUGACUUUCUUUCUCGGUGACUCAACUCAGAAAAUCCCACUUGAUUUUGCUAGCAAUUCUUUUUCACAGCUAUUCUGUAAUAGCCUAUCUUUUAUUAAGCCUGUACUCAAGCAGUUAACCAGAUGUGGGAUCUUUCCCAACAAUAUACUCUACGCCUACUUAUCUUCUCUUCCGAAUCCAAGACUUGGAAAAAACGAUUUCAAGGAGUCAACAGCACUGACCCGCUAUUCCAUAGAUAGCAUAGAGCUACAGCUCCUAAUAGGCUAGCUUUCACAAAAAAGGCUGGAUUUCUCCGUGGGAGAAGUGGAAUCGGAAUCGGUUUCAGAACAAAAGGAACUCAAAGCAGCGCUUUCCCUUUGACCCUUGAAUCUAUCUACUCCGGCUACAGAGCAUGAAUGUGCUCUCGGUGAACUCCCUUUAGAUUCAGAGAAGACUGUUCCUGAUCCAUCCAAAGAACACUUGAGCCUGGUACUCACAGCUAAAGCAUUUCCCUUGUGCCUGCUAUUCCCUCUUCCAGAAGUGAAUCCGGAUCCUCAUCCUCAUCUCUUUCACUCUGGGCUUAUUCAAGAAUAGCUGAUUCUACCCCAGGAUUCGUACAAAUAGAAAGAAGCUGUUAUGCCACCUUCGCCCUAGUACAGGGGGAACUCCUCUAUCUGUUCCGUUGUCAUACUAGAUUCUCUAUUCUACCCUAGAGUAACUCAUUCCCUUUCGAGCUAAUGAGAGCUAACUGGCAAGAAGCAAGAACAUUCUCAGCUAACCGCGAACAGAGCAGAGUUCCGAGUCGCUUAUUUGAAUAUGACACUUAGUAAGCAAGCAUUCCUAACCGAGAAUGAUUAUCUGAUAUUAAGAACGGAACAGUUCCGAACACCUAUCCAAGCCAAGCUCUUUGCCGACUCUAUACCCUAUCUGUUAAUGCUUUUGUUCUGAAAUCGAUUCCUAUUCUUUUGGGGUCCUUGCCCUCCAACCAAGAAAGAUCAGAGAAGCUGGGCGAAAUCCUCUGUGCGGGUAGGAUUGAGACUAUGAUUUAAGGUUACAUUAGCCAAGUUCCAGCAAAAAGCUAGUAGAACUAUAGCCUGCCUUGCGAGGUCUCUCGAGCCUACUGUUAACCAAAGCGCUGAUCUCUUCUUUCCUAGUGAGUAAUAUUCUCCUUAGUUUGUACGCUAUUCGAGUCUUCCCCUUUAUUGUCCUGUCUGCAUAAAGACAGCCUAUGGUUAGUUCUUCCACUCUGCAUAAGGACAGCCUAUGGUUAGCUCUUCCACUCAAGGCUAUGACAAUCUAAAAAGAUAGAGUAGCCACCCUUCCUCCAAGACAGGAAUCGGUCAUUUCUUUCCCUUUAGCCUGCCGCUCUGACUUCUCUUCGCCUGGACUGCAGAACUAUAUUAUAUUCAAUAGCUACUCCCCUCCCUAGAAUCAAUAAAGUAUAAAAGAUAUAAUGAAGGUAUUAAAGACUUCCGACACAAGCGCUGUAACAGGCAUACUUCUACCUAGACCGCGUUCAACCCAACCGAUUACUUGACUUGAUUCCUUAUGGGUUUGGUGUUUCCUAUUAUUGACUUUACUCAGUGUACAUAAUGACAUUCUACCUUGGUUGGUUUCUUAGACUGUUGCUUCUCCUUGAUUCGGAUGGAGCCUUAAACGAAUCCCGGUGAGCAGAAGAAGGAAUCCAUCAAAACCCUGCACCCAAAACCUGUACAUAAAACGACUCACGGCUAACAACAACCCCGUUCGAAAAGACCUUUGACUCUUUUCUUGAUAACUUCGAUUGCUUUCUCCUGAACCAGCGGGUGGUGCGUGCUGACUUGAUCCGAGGUAAGCGUAACUUUCACUUUCGACUUUCCCUUCCGAGUAAUAUAGGAAGAUCUCUAUGGCCAUCUGUGUCCCAUAACGCAUCUAUCCUUGCCACUCUAUCUAGCUUUAUUUAUUUAUUUAUAUUAAGCCCAUACAUCCGAUGAACGAACGCGGAAUGUUGAAAGCAAUGGUAGGCUCACUACGAGUUAAGUAAGCUUUUUGUUUCGCUUCCGGACAAGUAGAAAUAAGCUGUAAGCCACUUAGUAUAAGGAAGGGCUACUUAUAUACUGAGAUACGGCUUUGAACUCAUGAGUUGUUGCCCCCUUUCUAGUUGUGUACAGUAGUACGAUAAGGAAGAUGAUUAGUGAGGAAGUCUAUAAAUGAUGACUAUUCCUUAUCCGUCUUAAGCCCUUCUUUCUACCACAUCUGGACGGAACCUAGAAUCCACAUUGAUUUGAGACUUAUUCUGUAGAUGGACACGAUUUCCUUGACUCUUAUUCUUAUUAAGAUGAAGAUUGAACUGUGACUUAAGGUACUUGUCCGACAGAAACAUCCUUACCUAUCAGGGUGCUUCUUCUAUACCCUUUUCUGGCGCCCCCUCGGACCUAGAGACGUAACCGGAUGGUAUGGGCCUGAGUCCUUUCUUUCACUCGCCCUCACUGGCCUUACCCCGUAUGGCUGUGCUUUCGUCUUCCCCUUCUGGUAACGAAAUGGUUUUACUACUGGAUCGAGUACCUUCUGAGACAAGUAAGUCCGGUGGGGUAGUGGGCUAGGCCCACGAAGGAGGCCGGUAAGUGGGCUAAGAUGCUUGCUUUGGGGGAAUGAGAAAGAAAAAGGCAGCAUGAUAUGAUACUAAGGACAUACCAUUCCUUAUCCAUGGUCAACAACUCUACUAAAUGAGUACGAGUGCUUUGUUGAAUCAGAAUCACAGAACUAGCACAAAAGUAUUCCAACCAAAUCAAUGUUCAGAUGUUCGUCUUCCAACCUAAUCAAUGUUCAGAUGUGCGUCUGCCAACUCACGAGUAGUUACCCUAUCCCUAAUCUAUUACUAUGUUAGAGUAUUCAAGUGUAUAUUAUUCUAUCUGUGCAUAUUAUUCGAACUAAGCCCCGCGUGGCCCUCCCUUCUGCUCGGGAUCACUUCUGUUUCGUUCCCUAUUAGACGAUGGACGAGUUAGGGAGCUAUUACAAAAGAGUGGUGCAAGCAAGUCCUCCCACAACUUCUGAGUCAGUGAGGUGGCUAUGAACUCAAAGUUAUGUCAUAACAGCCUUUUCCUCUUUUUCGUAAGGAAAGAAAGAAAUAAGCAUACUACGUGAGGCCUCGCCAAUUGAUAGGGAGGACCCAUAUUCUUUCCCAGGCGCGGUAUAGUCAAGUCUUGGCGCCCUUUCGGGGUCUCUGGUGUCGAGUCGCUAGAAUAGGAGCAUUGGGCACAACGAAUAAGAUUACAAGAAUAUCCGACAGAGGGGGCAGAACCACCAUAUUGUUGAGAAGACCCACUAGGCCCAAUUCCGUUUCUUUAUAUUCAGAUUCUCUUGAGAUUCAUAUUAUAAGGGAGAUAAGGUGUUCUAUUCAUAUUAUAAGAGAUAAGGGGAUUAGUUUACCUCCAAUAAAAGUCGUCUGUCUUGUUACUAGGAACGCGAAAACAACGAGUGAGUCGAGCUGAGCUUACUUUCGUGGAGGACAACAAAUAGACAGGGUUAACGAACAAACCUAUAGCUUUUACUCCGGGGCUUUUCAUUCAUGUUAUUCAUUGAACGAUUGUUAUUCCUUUCUGUAGAACAUGGAGAGUUACAGGUCUUUUGAUUGAUAGAGACCUUCCUUUGAUUGAGAGAGCCAGAGCCCUUCCGUGGUACAAGGGUAUACAAUUUCCAAUGAGAGACGCACAGAGAAGAGAAGCUUUUAAGCAAAGAAUAAGUCCUUUGCCGGGGUUUUUCUAUCGAUGAAGCCCAGCAGAGUAUCCCGCCCAACUCAACUUACCUCUCCUACUAUAUAGAGGUGUGCGUGAAGCUCGAUAGUAAACAAAUCCAAUGCGGGAAUAGCUCCUCUGAUUACUAUUACUUAAAGCUCAUUUUAUUCAAUUCAAAACUCCGGACCCUGAUUUAUAAGCCCAAACCUGACUUUACAAGUUCUCAACCACACCAGCCUUUGUGAGUAGAAGGCUUUGAACCUGUGUUCCCAAGAAAAGAGCGGCUACACUCUCUUUCUCUUUAUAUGCAAGCACUUGGAUCUCCACGCUAGAAUCCUAAAAAGCACUUCCUAUUUCGUGGAUACUAUCUUUUAUCAGCGCAUGCGAAGGGACUUCCACUACUCACCUCUGGUCCGCAGAAAACACACUUCACCAUAUCCAUAUAAGGUUUAGUAGAUUGUAAGAACAGCAAAGGCAAAUCCGCUGAGCAAAAUAAUAUGGUAUAAGCAAUUCCGAAGCAAGUAAAGAGAGUCCAAUGGAUUUCAUGGCGGGAUGCAAAUUGGCCACUUAAUGCGAGGGGAUGAAAAGAUCGAGACAGCUCUAGCGUGGUGAGAAAACCAUCGAUCCCUAUUCAUUAUUUCAAAUAACAAAUGGGCGCGACUAAACACUGACCCAGGAACGCAGGUAGGUAAGGGUGAUUCAAGUUCCAGAGCCCUAUAAAAGGAUGAGGUAAGGGUGAUUCAAGUUCCAGAGCCCUAUAAAAGGAUGAGGUAAGGGUUUACUGUCUGCAAGCCAGAAUGCUGACUAGCAACACCAGCAGACGGUAGAUUACGAGAAGGAAUUCCAAUGGGUAUGGGAAACUUUCAUGUUAGACUCAAGCUUCUUUCACUACAGGAGAUUUCAUGUUAGACUCAAGCUUCUUCACUACAGGAGAACGGACAGCUUUCGGGAACUGAGAAAUAUAUUAACUGAGCCUUAUCCGCAAGAUUGUUUCAAAACUAAUCCGAGUGGAGACUUUGUAACCACCACUACCUGUUUCAUGGUUAGGAAAAAAGGGUACCUCUUUUCAAAUAGGAAACAUAACAAAGGGAUUUGAGGUAACUAGACAGGAGUCGAAUUCCAUAUUGAUUUGAACAGCAGCUCUUGCUAAUAGCAUAGUAAGCACUAGGGUUCCAAUCAAGACAGCAAUAGUUUUCACAGCUUCCAACUCUGGAAGCGUAUUUGUGUUCCUCCUUGCCUUUUCUGAACCCAAAAUGAGAUUAUAGCCCUUUACCUAUUCAUCUUCGAUCCCCCGCAAUUCCUUUUAAAAAGAGAUAGGAAAACGCUUCAUGAAUGCACUGGUAAGACUCCAUUCUAACCAUAUUAGAAACUCAAUCAUCUUAUCCAAUCCACACACAGCAUCGUUGUGAUAUGUGGCACUCGGCGUAUUUCUAUUGAGAAUAAUAUCCACCCUGGGUUAGAUGUAAGCCAAAGAGUCGACCCGAUACAUAAACCAAAUGUUACAACAUCCAUUUCAGCGAACGCGGAAGAAUAUAGACCCACAUCAGGCAUUAUGUGCAAUGUCUUACCCUUUAUAAGAGGCAAUAAGCUACCUUUAGGUGCCCAAAAACUCGUAAUCCUUCUAUUCCCUUCUCGUCUUCUUUUGAAUUCCUUAUUUAUUCCAUCUCUGUCCUUUGUGAAAUUCCAUUAUUCUCAGGUUUAGCUAAAAUCCCCUUACUAUAUUUAUUAGCAACAAUCGUUGCCAAGAUGGGUAGAGGCCUCCUCAUUACGAGUUGCUGCCUACUUAUCGAUACAACGGAGAAAGCUAGGUAAUGCGCAGACACGGAAUCAAAGACGGGAGGCACAAAGCAUGGGCGACGGACUGAAUAAGUGUUUCGAAUACCACGAGCGCACCUGUCAUAUUUGAUACUGGCACAUCGAGUAGGGAACCGGUGGGUUCGGGGCAACCGGCGUGCUCUCUCUUUUAGGACUAUCUGGCCUAUCUGAAGUAAACAAAUCAUCAGCCACUGUUACUGUGCUUUCGAGCGGAACUUGAACCAACUCCCUUUCCGCGGUCAACUUCCCUUCCAGCUUCAGAUCCUAAUUUCUGAUGCCGCAUAAAUACAAUCAGAUCAAUAAGGCAAUAAGAGUAGAGCUCGAUUCUCUUCGAGAGUGGAUUCGGCUUCGGUUGGUUUAAGAUCCCGUUUCGGCAUCCUCUUUUGUUCCUACUUAAGAUCUUGUAACUGCUGAUGCUGCAAAUCCAUUGGUACUAUAUUCUGCCCUGUACUCUACACUUUCUUACCGGCUUUGAUGCGAGUAGUUUUGAGCUGAGCUCCUGCCGCGCAACUUACGUAGUUGCUUGGCGGCUUUGAUGCUCUAAGUUCAUGAGAGAGUCUAGGUUCUUCUAGUUACGAGUAAGGAGUUAACGCUAGGUGUUCGAGUUGCAUCCUAAGUGAAAGAGAUAGGAGCCGCGGAGUGAUAGUUGCUUUUCUGUUCGUUUCAUUCUGGAAUUCCUUAUUCCAUUUAGUUCCUAUUUCGGUCUACUUUAAAAGGAAUGAUUUCGCAUCGCCAAGUCCUGUCUUCGUGGCGUAAGGAGUGAAUGAAAGUGCUCACCUGAAACCAGAGUUGAGGUCGGAAAAACGAAAUCCUAAGGUACUGGCUUUGAUGCCCUAGCCCUACCUAAGUCAAUCAUACGGGAGAGGUUAGAGUCGAGAAGUAGUUGGAGGUGAUCGGACAAAGUCGACCAGAUCAGAUGCCGAGGGUGAAGAAUCGAUUACUUUACCAGAGCCUGUAGUUUCUCAUUCCAUUCUCCAUUAGGAGAGAAAGAGCACAUCAACUUACUAGGUUUUGGCGAGAGGGCUAAAGCUGGACUUGGUAACAACGCAACUAGUUAUUUGAGUUCCUGUUGCCGCAAGUAUAGUAGUAGCUGGUUGGUUAAGAGCAAUAGACCCAUAGCGGAGUAGCUGGUUGGUUAAGAGCAAUAGACCCAUAGCUAGGAAGAGGUAAAGUCAGAAAAGAAGUAUCAAGUAAAGUUGUCGCGUAUCUACUUAAUUAAGUAAGUAUCUCGUUCCACCGUAAGCAAAGGGUAGACCUAAAGUGCUUGCGCGUAGAGUAUAAUUGGAAAUCCAGUCUCAAGUAGUAAAGCUAGAAUUUCACUCACUCGUCUUAUAGCUCAGCAGUCCGCAUCCUAUCCUAUCCCGUAUCAAGGUAAGAAAAAGAAGAAUGAACUAGGUAUGAGAUAGAUGUAGGUAACAAACCGCCAAGCCAAGCCCUCUUUAUCUAAGUUGAAGCAAAGAAUGCAACUAUCAACUCGAAACUUAGUCUUGCCUCUAUCUCCUCUUCGUGUGACCUCUGAAAGCCUAAAAUCAUUCCAUUUAAAGCGGGUUUGAUCUCUUCGUAGUCCUGCUCAAGGGAAAUGAAACUUCUUCUCGAGUUGACAGCUUACUUCUGGGCUUGUCCCUUUUGGCCUAUGAUAUACCAUUGAAUCUUUACUAACUGAAUUAGGCUCAUCUAACGGAAUUCUUAUACUAUACCUCUGGCUCUUGAUUACUCGUAUACUAGUUGGGGCAAGAGGAUAGUCUGUACGUAGCUUGGCGAGUGGAAUUACUUGUUUUCUUCCAAUACGAGGGUAGGCUCAGUAAACCUCGGAUCCUAUACCUAAUUGGCAGCCUCAGCUACUGAUGCAACAGGACUCCUACUUGAUAUUCCACUUUACCACUACACCACUAUAAGGGGCUGUAAACUUGAGUGGAAUUCUUAUAAUACAGUUAUUGCUCUGGACUAAUAUACUACCCGCUAGUGUUCGCGACUUCAUAUAAGGGCAACUUGACCAGACUAGCAUAGCACUUAGGUUCUCUUUCUCCUAACUCAGGUAUUCCUACUUAUCAGGUCUCAGGUAUUCCUACUUAUCUGGUAUAUAUACUUAGAAUUAGAAGCGGUCUUCCAUUCCACUCCGGACUCCUUUACUAGUGGUAGCUUGGCUCUUACUUGAAACAAGCACUCCCGGCUCAUAUACCUCUGGCAACUGAUACUUCUUUGAUCUCUCUAGCUCAUCUACUUGCCUCUAAAACAUCUACUAGCAAUCCUUAAAGGUAGGCUCACUUCAACUAGAGCACAAGAACGAUCACUCCUAUGCUCACCUAGUAACUGACUUCGGGGAAUUAUGACCUUAUGUACUUGGCCGGUAUGAAACUGGCAGCUGGAAACUCUUCACUUCAACGGAAACUUACCCUCCAACUCUGCCCCAACUCCCUAAGCACUGAGGAAACCAGUAAAACCUUGAAUGGAACUUUCACUUACAUCGGUUUCUGAUCCUGCAGACAAACAAGCAAGAAGUUCACUUUAAGUUGAGCCAACAAAGACAGAUGACUUGAGAACAGUACUAUUUUAUGCUGCUGACUUGCGCCUUAACAGCUUUACCGACACAGUGGAAAUCCAAUCUUCUUCAAGAAGAACUGUUUCUAUACGAGACUCAACAUCAUUUGCUUAUAAUCUAGCUUCGGAUCCUGAUCCUGAUCGCGCGGAUGAUUAAGAUUCAGCUCCUGCUUAUACUUAUAAUUUAGACUCCACCUCAGCCUCCGCAGUUUCUAAUUAUGUCUUCACAUUCUUUCCCUUUUCUGUCGAACUCAACUCUAACUGCUGCUGCACUGGCGAAGUAAACCCCUAAACUGACUGCUUUCAUUCAAGUAAACUAACUCAAGUGAGCUCUCUUAUUACGGAGUCUAUUCUGCCUUACGAACGCUACCUUCGGGUCAAGAUCAGAACUCGCUUGUUUUGAAUUGAGCUGACAUUAUUCUUAGACUUAUUGAAUUCACACUAACACUAACAAAGUCAAGGGAAAAAUCCAAUCAUGGAAUUUGAGAACUAACAGUGAGUAAGCCGACGAAGAAAAAACUCCCUAUGAAAGAAAGCUCGCGUAAGCACAAUGUAUUGUUGCGACUGUGGCAAGUAAAGGAAAACCUGUUAAUUGAAUUGACGCUGAACUGCUUGCAACAUGGAAUUUCUCAUUUCUAUCUAUAAUAGUGACUUGGCUCUUUAUCAGAUUCUUAUAGGAGAACUUCAACUCUUCCUCGAACAGGCAAGCAACUACGGUGACUUCUUUCUAUUAUACCCCCUAAGGCUAGGCACACCUAUAAGGCACCAGUGGAUCUGAACUCAACCCUGAACUGAAGCGGGAAGGAAAGAAUAUAGUCGAGUUGGGUUUUGUCUUAGAGAAUGAAGCCUUUGAUCUGAUUCUCUUUCUGUUCACCUAGGCCUAGUGCGCGUUAGCAGAGGAUGCCUCUAUUCGUUCAAGAGACAGUGUACAAACCAACCCGGAAAGCAUAUAUUUGUUUUGGUCGGGGCACAAGAUAGGUAGAUUAGCCAUUCAAUGAAUUUGAUUAGUUAACAGUCAAAACAAGGCGAUCAUAAAGAUUACCUAAGCUCCCUUAGCGCUAAACUCCAAUCUGUAUUUCUUCAUUAAAGCUUGAACCCCAAAAGAGAUUAUGAGACUUAUUAACUUACCGUACUUCGAGCGUAUUAACAAACCAAACAAAGUAGGGCAAUUAACUACUCAAUUCUGUGUGAAGUCAACAAAGAAUUAAUUGAAUCUAUAUCGCCUAGCAUAGAUAGAACUCUGAGUCAAAAGAACUCUCCAGGGCAGCACGCAUCUCUUCUUAACCGCUACACAGCUUCAGAUCGAGCCGACUCACCCGACCAAGCAAACCUGAGCUUAGUAGCCGAAAAGAACCACUUCAAUUCUAUCUUAUAAUAUAAUAGAACUAGAAUAUAGGAAGGUACAACAGGUACAUGAAUAGUUGGACCCGUGAUUGAGAUGGAAAGUGCCAAUGUACAAUCAAUGGAUUUCUUACUAAAAUCAAAAGAUGGGUUUCGAGCCCCAACCCCUUAAAGUAGUGGUCUAAGUAGGGUGGGUUCAGUGAGUUUGACGGUGAAGGAAGUAUCUACCUUAUCCAACUAACCGUGCCUCUUCCCAUGUCCCUUAAUAUAGGCUUCAUUAAUGUAGCACUGUCCCUUAAUAUAGGCUUCAUUAAUAUAGCAUAGGAUCCAUCCGCCUAAAUUCCAUUCUGACUCUAUGGGUGGAGUAAACCAUUUAUUUGAUUGAUAUAUAAAGAAUUGGGUAACCCAGGAGAGGAGAGGGCACUUCUUCAUUUGAAAGGGAACCCUCCAACUUGAACUUGAAUGACUCAUACUCACUCCUAACUCUGUAAGCGCAAGGACGAACUCAAAACUCGCUUGUGGAAUUCCAUUGAACUGAAUAACUCACUAACGUCAAUGAGGACAGGACUGGAACUAGACUUUCUGCGCACCCCAACCCGGAGACUUCUUUAUUGCUCGACGCACCUAAACUUGUUUCUUGAACUCUACUUGCAGAAGUGCACUAAACUUUACUUCCUUGCUUCAGAUCAGAGAACAGGAACAGCCCAUUCUCUAAGAUAUGAUGAAAGUCGAACAGAGAUUUCAGAACGAUUGUCUUUCUAAGCCCGAAAACGGAUUGAACUGCUCCUGUGUUUGCAACUUUCGGAAUGAGUUUAGAGCGAGCAGCAGAUCAAACUGUUCCUACUCUGCUUAAAGAAGGAGUGAAGAGAUAGAUUAUACAGCUCCUUAACGACUUUAGGAAUGAGUUGAAUCUAUUGCACCGAGGAAACCAUGAAUUGAAGUUAGUCCAUCAGAUUGCCAACUCACUUUGACCACUGAGUCUGCUCUUGAAACUGCUUACACAGAUGACUUUCUAACUGUCUAUUUUGCUGCGGACUUUUGCACUCCACUUUCGUACACAAACUUCGCUGAAAAGCCUUGGUAUUUACAUCUUCGCAAGGAGAGGAGAGCCUCCAUUUUCUGAUGAUUCUGCCCUUCCUUCACUACUACUUGGGGCUGUAAACCUAGAUUUCUCAUCUACAGACCUAUGUGAAAUUCAUUUGAUAGGGAAUACCCGAUUGCUGUUGACUUUCUAACAGGACAUUAUACAGCUGACUGGAGUUACUAUAUCUCUAUUAGGGAAUCAGAGUAAUGAGCUAGGGUCUGCUAGAAGAAUGGAAUGGAAUAAUAUAAUAGUAGAAGAAUGGAAUGGAAUAAGAUGAUAAUAGCCUAACUGGCAUUAGGAAGUCCGACAAGCAACGGCAAGUAGUAGAGACUCAACGGAACUUCCCGUUCCCGCUUCGCUUCAAUUGGACGACUACGUUUAAGUACUAGUUGGGGCAUUGAACAGUACUUGCUUAUGACUUGUACGGAAAAGGGAAAACUCUACUUAAGACUUAACUGCAACACCAACACCACCGCUUGCUACUGACCUAAUACUCUCUGAACCAACAACACCAGAAUCUCUCUGUUGCUUCACAUAUUUACUCCUACAGUUGCUCACAAGAACGGAGCCGCCCUUCUUUCAUUCUGUAGCAGUGGAUAUGAGAUACGAGAUAUAUAGGGUAUACAGUAAUAUAAUAAAACAAUGACUAUAACCAGAAUGGAACUACCAGAAAACGGACUAUAACUACAGUCUCUGAGACUUAAGACUCGUCUACCUUAAUUCUUCCAGUGGGGAGUUCACUCUCAGCCUGACUUGACUUUCUAUCAGCCUUAGUUCCCUUUCCUUAAAGUCUGCCUUCUUGGACUCGGAUUCUUUAACUAUCCCCUAUGGAGGUAUGUCUUUCUUUUCUCUUAAACUACUACUGCCUACCCUAAUUCUGAUUCUAUUGUUUCACUCUGUCUUUUCUGUCUCUAGGGCUCCCUCCCUUUAGUUGAAGUAUGAUUCCUCUGCUAAUAAGAAAUGCACCACUACAUAUGAGGAUGAAAACACUGCUAACAGGGAUGGAACUACCACGAACAGGAAUACACCAAAUACCGAAAGAAUGGAACUCGGGCAACAAACUCAGAUUCCUCUGCUAAUAAGAAUAGAGCUACUACUGAUGGGAACGAAACAAGUAAGUAAAAGAGUUUGAGCUGGGCAAUACUAUGACUCCUUCCUCUUGGCCUACCUCUCCUUCCUUUUAGUAGAGUUUAAGUAUCAGUGAACUAAGGCCCUAAUACAUAAUUAUCGUGCACCCAAGAAUGGAAUUGAGCAGUCGCAGAAUGUGGCUACUAAGAACAAUAAUAAAACAAAGAACUAAUGGAAGCACUCAGAAUUGAACUACUCACUACCAGAAUUGACCUCCUUCUUGACCAACCCUAUCUCUGUUUCUUGCCUACCUACCUAGUGCUGUUUCCUUCCAUUAAUAGCACUCUCACUAUAUAGCUGAGUAAGCCCAAGCCUUAUUCUCUAUGCCUAUGUCCAAGCCUUGCUCUUUUCCUUGUGGUUGAGUCAGCCUUUCCUGUCAGUAAGUGUCUUCACUAUGCUUUUCAUUCUGCAAUUGCUUAUUUCGGUAUUGUAUAUAAUAUUCUCUUAAUGUUGAUUAGGGAAAUUGGGUCUCAAAAAGGCGAGUGGUUUUCUAUUCCAUUGAGAACUGUUGUUUCGGGUGUUAAGUAAACAUCACUCUAGGAAUUAAAGACAGAAGCCGGGAUCCCACUAGUGUUUCUAAAGCUUUAACCCACUAGCAAGACUCCACGAUAUGCAGGCUUAACCACCGUGGCUCGGGUAGCUAACAGUGUGGAUGUAUGCUCUUGACUCUUUAGGUCAAGCUAUUCCUUUAGUUUGUUUAGAUACAACUGCUUAGAUUCGUAGGUUAGCUUAGUAUAUGCUUUAUUGUAGCUCUACCAUUGAAAAACCACUUCUCUGACUUGAAUUCAGUAGUUCGUUUUUUGUCUUGUAGCUACUAUCGAUAUGCUAUGUAAGUGAUAGAAGUGAUGCUAUUAAUUGGAAUUCCUUGCUAAGCACUCAGUGCGCUCAGGGCUUGUUAGACUCUUCGCAAUCGAGGCAGCUAUUACGGAAGAAGAUUUAGGGGUACCCAGGAGACAAAGAGUACUCUGUGCCGGCUUAGACCUGCAACUACUGCUUAUCCUUUGCUUGUGGUAGCUGUCCUCGUAUAAACACCGCUUCGUUCCUAACGAAGCCAUUACCUGUAACCACAUCAUCGAACCUCCUGUACCACAAGAAAGAGGGAGACUUAUUUGCCCAUACUAGCAAGGAUUUCUCCAAUCGACAAACCAACCUUGUUCUAUGAUCCUGCUAUGACCAUGAGGCUACUCUAUAUGGAUCUCCUCAAAUCAAUAUCCUGGAGCGGAAAGCAGUGCUGUCUUCACUCCGGUUUUGCUCUAAAUCAAGUGAUGCUGCUAGUUAGAUCAGAACCUUAAUAGUUUUUAGCUUCACUCAAGUGGUAGGGUCUCAGGAUGACUCGAGUGGACCUCCUAAGAGGCUCUGGCUCCUUAACAGUGGGAAACAAAAGACCCUUUAUUCGUACAGAGCUAGCAUAGGUUUUAUGCACAGGACAGAGCUAGCAUAGGUUUUAUGCACAGGGUUACAGGAGUAGCGAAAGACUGAGCUCGCUCAUGCUCUCAUGCUUCACACAAGCCCAGUAUAGAAAGCUUUUAUUUCCAACCAUAUCAUAUGUAUUCUCCGAUCAAAGAACUAAACAACAGGGAAGGCUUUCCAAGAUUGCUUCCAAGGCGAGGGCUCGGCACAAUUAACUAGUUUCUCGACUUACUUAAGAACUAACCUUACUUAAGAACUAACAAGCGUUCGCAUCGAUGCCCUAGCUUCGUGUGGAGGGCACAAGACAAGGUAAAGACUUCUUCUCUUGUUAGACGUAAUGUAAUAUUAAUUCAGAGUCGCCAGGCGGGCCUCAGGCUUCAACCCCAUUGAUAUAAAUAAAACAACUCCUCCCUUUUAGACUAUGGAUCUAGCUCCCAACGACGCUCCCCCGAAGAGGUUUCUUUCGAGUAAGCUUGUUGCAUCAAGGCAUGUUUUGACAUUUCGAAAAAGUCACAAGCUUCGUAUAAAGCUUUUAGGAGGUUCAAUUCUGUUAAGGUAGCAUGGAUAACUCAUCUGCUUGUCUGGUGUAAUACUAACUUGUAAAUAAGUGGUGUCAAUAGGAUACAAAUGGAUAAGCGCACGGUAAUGAGGUGGGCAAAGCAAUCCUGAAUGAGCGCACGGACGUACCAUAGCAUUAGGCGGUCAGUCAAUCUAUAUAAAUAGCCAAAUAUCAUUCAUUUCCUAUCCCUUUUUCCAAAGUGUCUUUCCAUUUCAUUAUCUGUUUCCGUAUACUUUUCCUCCACUGAUGAAUUAGCCCUUGCCUUGCCCUAGCUUCCAGAAAAAUAAGUAAACAGCAUCGCGAACUUUGGAUAUUCUGCCUUAAUCAAAUCCAACUCCAUUGAAGGGGAACGAACGCACAUACUAAACCCAUGAAAGCUUGAAACUAGUUGUAUUAUAUUUCCAGAAAAGCUUUCAAGUGAAAGGGCCCGAUGGCUUUCGAUUCUUUUUUGAUAUCUAUAGCCAAAAGAGACCGAAAAUGAGUGAUUUGAAACUGAUUACUUACAUACUGGUGAAACUCUACUGGUGUUUAUGCACAAUAAAUCGAAUUCCCGGAAUUCUCUGUAUCUGUAAGGGUGCACUGGGACUAGAUCCCUUCCUAACUGAACCACUCUCCCAAAAGAAGGGAUUCAAGUGGGGACUGCAAACAAAGGAAACUCGAAAAGGCUCUAGGAACUUCCAUUCAAUGGACCUAGCAAUAGCUGCCAGCAUAGGCUUGUGUUUUUCUUAAAGGAGAUCCGGCUGUAACAGACUCAACGAUGGAAUUAUCCCUUGGAAAGGCAGAGGAGAAUUCGAAAGCUUGAUCACUCGCUUGCGAACUUACUGCAUAAAGGAAUUAACAAGGAGCAACUAACCUUUCUGCGUUAUAACAUUAGGAACCUUACGCCCAUAUGAAAGAAAGCAGCCAAAACUGUAUAUAAGAUCAGAUGAAAGAAAGCAGCCAAAACUGUAUAUAAGAUCAGAGACGGGUUUAGCGAGAAAAGUCCUUAGCUCACACCUAUCUUUGAUCAAAUAAGCAAAAAAGCCAGCGAGUUUAGGUAUAAAGAACAGCCAGUGUCAGAGAGAUUACUUAUGUUUCACUCUUCCUUAUACAUGAAGGGAAUGAAUGCCUUAAUUGAAUGGAAUUCGGGAUCAAAGUGGAUUAGGUGAAGUUAAGGCAAGCAUGAGUUCAACCCUUUUCUCAUCUGGCCAGGAUCGAUAGCCGUUCGACCUGAGUGAAGUGCGGUCAGAUUCCGUAUCCCCAAUUUCUUGGUCUUUCUCAUACUCUAUUAGUUGUCAUAGUUGUCAGAUCAAUUCCCAUGCAUUCUUUAAUGGAAUCGGAAACGGGCAGAGCAGCGGCUAUCCGGAAUGGGGCCUAUGCCUCAACGACUAUCUAUGAAUGACCAGGAUCGGAAUGCCAAUCGACGGGAUGCGCCUACGACAGAUUGAAAGUUCCUACUAUGAUUACAGGCAUCCUCACUUACGCAACGAAAUGACGAAUCCACCGAUCAUAAUAGGAAAGUGAAAGGUUAGCCUCAUACCUUUUAUUGCGAGGUGAAACACUCACCAGGAUACAUGAUCCUAGGCGAAAACAUGAAAGAUGAGCCAAUCAUAUCAUAAGCGGCACCAUCAUUUCCUCCAUAACGCGAGAAACCAACAACUAAUGUUUCAAUGAAUAAACAGCUGAUGGACCACAUAGUUUCUUCUUACCAGCGGAACAGAAGGCUCUUCAAGAUAUUUCCCAAGCAUACCCUUUUAACCAAAGGAAAGGGAUGAGCCGGAAAUCAUAAACAUACCUUUCCAUCAACCCUACUUUUCUCUGGAAAUGACAUUGGCAUAUGCCUCUGUCCUCUGAGCCUUCUCGGAUCGGUAAAGAAAAAGCUGCUUUGUUAGAGUAUUAGGUAGGCACCCACUUUAGGCGCCAAGAUAAUGAGUUUGUUAACACCCAAUAAGUCAAAGUCAAACAGGUUGGAUUACUUUAGUGUCAAAAGGUUUCUCCCGGGGAUUAUAGACUAGACCUAUAUGCUCUGGCUAAGGCUCUAGGUCCACUGAUCAUUAGGUUAAGUCCCUGGUGAUCGAACCAUUACUAUAAGGUUAACUCUGUCCCUCUUUCUUACGAUACAGUUUAGUCCGUCCCUUUACACCAUUAUCAAGUUUGAGUCUUUACAAAGUGCUUCUCUUCUCGGGCUCGGGAAAGCUAUUCAGGCAAGUUCAUUUGCAAGCCUUUAGCCGAAUAAAGCUAUCAGCAAAACUGGCACCUCACCUUUUGUCUGGCCCAAAAGCAAGGAACAGGCAAUUCUCUAAGACAAACUGAUUCCACUCAAACAGACCAGCGGGCAACUCACUUUCCUGUCGGCUUCUGUCCCGGAUCCGGUUCCUAUUUCUGAUCUUGACUCGGAACUAGAAGAACCAGACAAGUCACUGCCUCUCUCGCCUGCUCUUCCUGUCUUUUAUUCUAUCUAUUUGAACAAGUAGCGGUUGGUUUAGGGCCUAUAUCGUGUACCUUACUUCUAUUAAUGCCGAGCUUUCUUCUUGUUAUCAUUGGUUUGAUUAUUUGACUUACUUGUUUCCAGCCUUUGGAUUCCCUGUUAGUAGCUUCAGUCUUAUAAGCAUUGGUUCUAUCCAUGCAGAGGGGUCUUAUAAAUAGUAGUUACAGCCCGAGAAGCAGUAGCGGAGUUCCUAGUUGAGUUCAAUGAACCCGGUAGACCAGAAAGAGAGUUAGGGUGAGGCUCAAGAGGUAAACCAGUGAGUGAAAUUCUUGGAUUCUAUUUAGCCAAACUAUCCUUUCCUCGUCCUGCACAUCUUGUCAAUUUACCUACUCCGGAAAGGAGAUACUUCCCUAAGACAUUCAGCUACUAAUGACUCGGUAAACGGGAAACUCCCCCUUUCCAUAAAACGGGUAAUGAUGUAAUGAUGUAAUGAGAACCCGAGCCCGCCUCAAAAGGAGUACUAGGUGCAGAGGAAACAAAUCAUUGAACCCUGUAUCGGAGUCAGAGAACGAAUUCUGAUUUAUUAACUGAAAGUCCUGUGUUCAUGACGGCUGUGAGUAAUAACUACUAACUGACUUUCUACAACACCAACACAACCACUUGAUACUGACACUUGGGCGUGAGGAGCUAUUGCUAACAAAAGUACUUUCUUUCUGCCCUUACUUACUUAUCUAAAGUACUUUCUUUCUGCCCUUAUUUACUUAUCUAGGGUUUGAUAAGGCCUAAUAUAUAAUUCGGGAAGGGCCAAGCAACAUAGUUAGUUGCGCGGCAGUAAGUCAUAGUUAUGUAGAAGUUAUUACAAUAGAUGUUUUCAUGGGAAAAAGAGCAGUGAAAUCAAUCUCUUUCGUUGCUUGGUUCCAUCCGUUGAUGUAUGGGUAUGGCUCCAUCGGUCCGGCCAUUGUAGCUCCCAUUCUUUCCUCCUAAACCCCACCCAUAACAUAAGGUGCUGACUUCUCUGCUAAUCAAACCCCUUUCACUAUCUCCAGCUGGAAUCUUAGCUCUGUCUUGGUAUUCUUCGCCAGGCCAUUUCCCAUCCUAAUGCCCCAACAUCCAUCAAUCACAGGAACCCAACAUAAAUCAAUCAAUGCUUAAAACAUCGAGAUAUAGGAUUUCGAAUGGCAGUAUAGUUGAAAAGAAAUGAGGCGCUGGUUGCUGCUCACUCAAGUAAGGGCAGUGUUACUAAAUUCUCAAAUAGGUAGGUGAACUCUCAAUUCCUCCAAAAUGGAUAUAUGAGAUGAACUUCUACUUUCGACUUUAGACUUCUCUUGCAUUAACUUGCGCUAACGUUUAUUGAGCAUAAGUGCGUUAGAAGGAGUUCCACAAUUCCAAGCGUUCUGUAAAGUAAUCAAAGAAUAUCAUAUAAGUGUGCACACAAUCCAAUCAUAUAACUGACAGAUUCUAUAAGUUAGUAACUUCCCUGCUGACAGCUUCCUUCAAAACUGACUUCAUUGUGCGAAACUCUAAACUUGUUUAAGGCCCUUACUUAAACUAACUCACUAACCGCUAUAGGGCUUUAUCACCUUUUACAUAUGAGAGAAGAACACCUACAAUGUACUUUUACAUAUGAGAGAAGAACGCCUACAAUGUAAUAGAAAGUAUAGUAACAAAGCGAACCUAGCACUAUAACACCCCGGUAACAAAGCGAACCUAGCACUAUAACACCCCGAAACUCACUCGAAUAAUCAAUAUAUACAUGCGCGCGCCCCGGUAGUGAGUCAGUGCCGCAGUAGCUCAAAGUCGUUCAGUGUAUAAAAUAAGAUAUAUGCUUCUUUUGGCUUUCUUUGUAUACGAGUGGAGUUACCAGGGUUCUAUAAUCUAAAUUGGAACAGUGAAUUUGAAUAGAGUCUAUCAGGUCUCAUUUCUAUAAGUAGUAGCUUUGCUUUGCUUGUUUAUUGGAAAUGCUAGAUAAUCUUCCAUGAUAAGGUUUUUCACCGAGAAUAGUUUGAUUUCACAUACGGGCGAGCUCUGUUAGCACAAGAUCGUCUUCUUCUCCUGGCCUGAAACCCACUACGGAAUGUGGAAACUUAUCUAAAUAAUAGCAAUACUUAGGACGCUUUAGAUCAGCUUUCUACUUAGGACGGCUUUAUAUCCGCUUUUCUUUUUGGGGUGAGAAAUCUAAUACUAAACGGUUCAAAAGGGGCCAAGGGCCAAGCUUAGUAGUUAGUUGGCACCUAGUUGUCUAGUAGUUGCUUGGUCAUUAGUAGUUACUUGUCUAGUCGUUGCUUGGCCGUUAUGACUGUCAUUUGGCUGACGCCGAAAACAGGACUUGGUUAUACUUUGUAAUAUCUAUUACCUUGGCUACCGCCCAACGUCUUGCUUAGCCUAAAACUCACUGCCGUUUCACUCAACUCCUACCGCUUUUCAGCUCGCUGACGCGACAGCGAACACAUAACUAGUAAUAACUGGGGAACUCUAGCGGCCCUGCCGCGCAACAUUAGUAGUUGCUUGGCCCUAUUGUUGUUACUGCCGCCGAAAACAUCUACGAAGACAGUUUAAAGCUCCUCCGCGACACAUUAGCAGUGUCUUGGCGGCUAUAGCUCCUGCCGUACAACGUCUUUCGCCGUUGCUUGGCCGUUAUAACUGGUUAUUUGCUGCCGCGUCACAUUAGCAGCUCAAUAACUCCUGCCGCGCAACGUUAGUAGUUGCUUGGCGGCCGGCUCACCGUUGCUUGGCGUCUAGUAGUUACUUGGCCCAGUCCUGUUGUUGGUGACGAGCGGUGCAAGGGUGCUUGCUAUAUAGGUAAGGGCUGAGUCCUGUCUUCAUGGGACAAGAGGUUUGACUACUCCCUAAAAUCAGAAUACAUAUUAGUUGGCUACGAGGGAGGUUAGAGUGUCGGUGCCCUAGCUAUUAAGUCGUAGAGAUCAGAAACGGGGCGGAGCAGACCACUUAAAGAAUGCAACAUAUACGCAUGAGCUGAGCAACUUUCUCAAGAGAAUAUAUAAGUGAUCAGGAGCUGAGCAACUUUCUCAAGAGAAUAUAUAAGUGAUAUAGAUAAUAAGUGAUCCAGCUUCUUGCCACAACUCGUGUAUACUCGGUUAAGCCUUACCUCUGUCAACUAAUUCAAUUACAAUAUCGGAAGAAACAGAAUCUUUAGCCGAGGCGGGGGGAUGUAAUAGACAUCUAAUCAGACUUUGGAUAAGGAGCUAACAAGCAGACACAAGUCUCAAGGACCAAGCGGACUCCUCAUUAAGUAGACCCUAGACAAUGGAAUUCUUUCCUUUAAGAAUAUAGUUUACUUACCGCCUAUAGGGCUCUCAAAAUACCCUUGCAAUAAUACAAGCGACUACUCUAGCAUGGGAAGCCGAAUCUACUCUUUUGAAUGCCUACUAUGCGCUCAAGGGAAUAACCACCAGUUCUUGGACGUAUUAUGGAGGCUUCUCUACUUCUACUCAAAAGUAUUCUACUAGAUACGAAUUCCACUCGCCCAGCAGAGCCAGCAGGGUUCACAGAGAAAUAGCAUUUGCAUCUUUGACUUUACUUGCAGCCGGGUAAUGAGUUAUAAGUGAGUCCUGCAUCCGCCCUUAAACUAGAUCAUACCUAUGCUUAGUAUUAAGAAAAGAAUGAGGAUUGAAGCGUUAGGUUGAGUUUUGAAUUAAGCCUUAGUGAGUGGUACGUAAGGCGGGACAGUCUGUUGACGACUUGGAUCACGACAGCGGGACAAUCCGUUUUAGUUUCGUCUCUUUAGGUGCUUGCUUGUUAGUGAGUUCGCCGUUGAAGACUUAUAUUCUUCCCCUAUUCUCAAGAAGCGAGGGCAAUAAGAGAAGGGAAUAGAGUUUCUCGGUAUAGAAAUUCUAUUGGUCAUUAGAUAGGUGAUUGUGCUCUCGUAUCAAAUCCAUAAUGGAAUGUUUCAUCGAAGGAAGGCGAAAGUAGAAAGGAUAAGUAAAGCUUGUCAGCAGCAAGGAAAGGGGAGUGGUCGUUAACUCAUUGAAACUAAUAAACUGGCCUGAGAAUGCAUUUGGAGUGUAUACCUUAACCAUCUUCCGUAUCAGCAGGAGCGAGAGAAGGCCUAAUAUAUAAUUAGGGAAGGAAUUCUAGUAUUGAGUGCUCUUAGUUGGAAUUGCAAGUAUUAAUUGCACCCUUAUUAUAAUCCGCAAGAGAAGAGUAGAGGGAUAGUUGCCUGAGUUGGAUGAGCCGGGAGUUAUAGUAGAAUAGAAAUUCUAUAAGAUGAAAUGAAGCAAGUCAUAAUGAAGUGUUUGUUGACAGAGCCCGAGUAGCCAGAGAAGAUAGAUUGGCAGUUGCCAUAGGUAGAUUAGCCUGAGUUCAAAGAGCCCGAGUGAGGUUGUUUUAGGGUCAAGAGUACAGAGCAAGAGUUUAGGUCGGAACAGAAUUAGCGACUGCUGAGGUUUAGUCUCCAGGCAAAGUAUAAAGAAUAGAGUAUCAUAUACAAGCUAGAGCAGUAGAAGAAAAAGUAUCAGAUGCCAAAGAUUGAGCUGGAUGAGAUGAUGCAGAAGAAGUCACCCAUAAAGUAAGAAUGGAAUUCGAUCUUGCCCCCUAGUCUAGUGCUCUUAACGGAAAUCCUAUUCGGGUAGGGCUCUGUGCAAGGAAACUCCAUUCUGGUAUUCGGGAUUCUAUAACUCCUUUAGCGCCAAAGGAACAGUGACUUAUUGGAGUAAUGAAGAUCUGAUUGCGUGGAGAAGACUUUGCUUGUUUAGUAGUAGCUUGGUGGAACUCACUGACGCUCACUCAAGGGUACCUCAUGAAUAUGAGUUCUGUUCUUGCGUCUUAUAUGGAGAGAAAUUACUGGUGUACAAGGCGCUCUUCAGAUUCAAUUAAUAGCGCUGGCAGGAUUCAAUUCAAUGAUGAACUUCAAUAAGUGGGUCAAUAACAGAUAGUGACUUUCCUUGUAGUAGAGUUCGGAUCAAGAAGGGAGUUUGCGGAACAAGUCUAUUUCUUGCUAGGAAAAUAUGAUCAGCUGCAAGAUAUGGGGAAGGAACUUCAUGUCCUGUUUUAUUCGUUGUUCUAGGCGUCAAUGCAUUAGUUGAGCCUGACGAGCGGUUCCAUUCAAAAGGUGAUCUCGCGUUAGGAGUGAAAACGCAAAACGGAGAAAGCGGAAGCCGUAUCAUCAGCAGUUCCAGUUUAGUACGGAGUUGAAUACUAUACAGAAGGUUAAGAUCAUCUCGAAUCGACAAGUAAAUAACCUUUCUUAUCACCUAUAUUUCUAUGCAAGACUAAAACUCACUAACUAGGACUUCUUCUGAUCCUAAACGGAACUAUCUUCUUGCCCGAACAAAACCGUGAAGGGAACUUUCAGCUUACUGAUUACUUUGGUACGGCAUCAGAUCUCGUCUCGUCGCCAACACCGAGAUACUAAAUGGCUUAUUCUCUCUACUCCUUAUGCUUGAACCGGGUUCUUCUCUUAUUCCUACUCCGGGUACAGCAAUAUUCUCUCUUGUUCCGUAUCCUUAUACCGUAUAAUAUGUAUUCUCUUUCCAAAUUCCCUAUUCCAUUAUUUCUUCUCUUAUUCCGACUCUUAUAAUAUUUCCGACUCUUAUAUAUCUUCUAUUAUAAUAUUUCCGACUCUUAUAUAUCUUCUAUUACUAGCCUACCGUACAGGAACGUAUCUUUCGAACGGAAAAGUAUAUCGGUGGCGCAAGUCCAAGUCAGAGUAGAAAGUGUCAGCAGCAAGGGCGCAAGAAGGAAAGUGGAGUUCCAGUUAUUGGCUCUAAGUCUCAAAGAUCCGGAUCUUUUCUUGGUUCUAAGUAAGUAUCUAAAGCGGGAGUAUCAUCUCUUUGUGUGCCAGUGUUGUCAGGUUGUGUGCCAGUGUUGUCAGGAAAGGAAGUUGAUAAAGCAGAUACAGCAAUAGAUGCUAAGUCGGGAAAGUAUGCCGAAUCAAUCUCUACGAGUAUGGUUCUUGUCGCAAGUGAAAGAUCAUUAGCAGGAUUAGGUACAGGCUUUGUUGCGAGGCCCAUAACCAUAAGAAAGCUAAGAAAAGUAUGACUCUUCUCCCGGGCAAUAAAGAGUGAAAGUAUUAUGAAAGUAUCAGACUUACUAGUAUGCGCAGCUAGUUUCGUUUGGGGUAAUUAACCACGAGUAUAGGAAUUAGCUUAGUGGAUGCACGUAAUCAGAACUAAACCCAGCUGUAUAAGAGUGGGCUUGGACCCUAAGGGGGGAGAAUCUCACUGAUGUGUGGUGUAGUUAAGGAAUGAAACUCAGAAGUAUAAGAAUGCAAACAGUAAGUCAAAGAGUGAAACACGGAAUACAGAUGCUACCCGGGCUCCAGUAAGAAUGAAAGAAAGCUGGUUAGGUUUUCCGGUGGCAAGUAAGAAUGAAAGACAGGAAUUGAGGAAUCGAACUCAUUAGUCAAAGAAUUCCACUAUUGGAAUUUCACUACUGAUAACAAGGCGCGAACUACGACUAACAAGGCUCGAACUACCACUAACGAGGCUAGCCUAAGGAAUUCCACUCAGUAGUCACAGAAUGGUUAAGUUACAUCAUAGGGAAGAAUCAAACUCAUUAGUCAAAGAAUUAGUAGUUAGUCUAGGAAUUAUGAGCAAGGAGGCAAGUCUCAAUUUGAAGCCUGUGAACCCGGGAAACACCACAAAUAGAGUAGAAAAACGAAUAGAGUAGAUAAUAUGUUCUAAUAUAGUACAGUACAAGACAAGACUUAGAGUAGUAAGUAUAAGAAUGAAAGUGGUAAAGUCAGAUAGAGUUAGUUGAUCCCUUAUUCUUAUGAGCUAGUAUAGUUAUCGGUCAUAUCGGUCAAGCAUUGCCUCUGCUACUUAUCUCUGGAAUUGGGCAAUACACUUAAUAAGGGCCUUAUAGUAAUUUGGGAGCGAAACUAUUAUUAUUAGUAGGAAUACCGAUCCUGUUCGGUUGUAGCUGGGCCUAUUGACUACCUCCUUCUUGAUAAGCCUGAGCGAGGUAUCGAUUCUAAGCCGGGUUGACCCUUACCCUUAAACAAGUAAUAGAGUAGUCCAGAGCCAUAACUGGAUUAGUUGCAAGAGGCGAGGAAGUAUUUGUUUAAAGAGGAGAUGCAAACUAGUGCCUUUAAGGAGAAGAGCCCUAGGUAUAGGAGCAGGAUAAGAGUCAGAUUAGGAAGGUAGAAAACGAAAGAAGAAAACCGGCUGGCUAUCUAUCCGGAGUUGUUGAAUACCGAGGGGGAGAGUCGCUCUAGUUUCAUGAGUUGUCGAUGUAGUCCUGUUUUCGGGAGCCAACUAGAGCUCAACAAAGUGUAUAUGUAUAUAGUAAGAGCUAUAAGCAAGUCUGCCUAGUAAGAGCUAUAAGCAAGUCCGCCAAGUAGCGUAUAAUGUGUAGCGGCAGGGCAGCUAGUUCGAACGGGCCAAGCAGACUUAAUAAGCAAGGGCGCUAAGAACAAUUAGGGAGCACAUACAUGAGAUGGUUAAGGUAUACACAAUAAAUGCAUUUAUUUAAAAGGGAAUAAAAGCAGAAAUCGGUUAAGGGAAUCAAAGCAGAAUACAGGCUUGCGGUUCAGUAUCUAGGUGUUGUAGGCAGUAGCUGCUUUUAAGUAGUAGUCUAUUUUCUAGUAGUAGUGUAGAGGUGGAUAGUAGUUUAUUUGAGUUCCAGUGUCAUUGUAGAGAGCAGAAAGAAUGCGAAGUCUCGAUUAUAUGCCGGAUCAUAACCAUAAGCAGGAGAAGUCUUUAGCCAGGUAUUAUAUAUAGAAGUAACCUCAGAGUUAUUAUAUAUAGAAGUAACCUCGGAUAGCUAAAGAAGUCACCUCGGAUAGCAGAAUGAAGUAAAGGAUCGGAAGAAACAGAUCGAAAUACAAAGAAUGCAACAAUAUAAGAGUAGUGAAAGAGUAAAUGGCUCUGUCUCUGCUCUACCUAUUACAGCUGGCUCAAACGCACCUCUGUGGCAGCUCCCCCGGCUUCCUCUCUUUAUUCCUACCACUAGAAUACCAAUACAUAUUCAAUUUGACUCUAAACAGCCUUACCUCCUCUUCACCUAUACACCUCUUCUUUGUAUGCUACCUAAACUUCAUUUCCAUCUUUCUUCUUUUCGAGCACCUGUGCCAACACCUGCUCCUGCGCCAGCACCCUACUUUCUAACUGGAUACUUUUUUCAAUAAAUUCAUAAAUGAAGUAGCGUCGACAGUAUAUGCUUGUCCCUUUAGCAUCUUAUGAUAGGAAUAAAGUAUAACCGUGGAAAUCUAUUUCUAACCUAGCUGUAAAGAGAGUUGGGCUGGGCCUGGACUCUAUGAAUCAUGAAUCUCCUCUCUCCAUCUUAUAGAAAUGCAGGUCAAUAACCUCCAUAUACUGAUGGAUUUAGCGCUGAACAAUACUUCAAUUUCUUAUUCCCCACACCCCGCGUAGCCAGUAAUUGAUUAUACUAUUCCUUUAUACCGUACUCGACUAGAGGGGAGCUACAGCCUUAGACACGAGUACAAGCAAUAACCUCUCUUCAUUAAUGUUGUGCCUGAUUGCUGACAUGUAAAUCUUUCUUUAUGCACUUUGCUUGCUUUGUCUGUAAAUAGGCGAAUGCUUGAUUUUCUUUUCUGUCUUCAAGAGAUAGAAGAGGGAUUUGUUUCACGAAUGAAUACGUACUUUCUUAGUGCUGGCUGGAGUUGGGAUUUCGCUUUGACCGAUUGGCUUUGCUUUGAGGAGGCGGCAUCCAUAGUAAUAUAAUAAUACAGCGUAACUUGCGCUUAGUCCCUUGUUGUUGGGCCCAAAAGAAUGCCUUAAUCAAUCCAAUUUAUAUCCCCGAGUAGGACAACCAUAAUAAGCUCCUACUUAGCGGCCUCGUAUUCAAUCAGUUAAGCGAGAGCUGGAAUGGAAGGAUCAAUUGCAAGCUCAGAGGGAUUAAUAAGUGGAAGAAAGUCAGUUGUUCACGAAUCCACUCUUCAAGAAUGCCUUCUCCUAUAUUUAGAAAUAAUCCCUAGCUAUUGAAUCCGGUCUUUUAUCUUGAUGCACAGAAUGCCUUGUUCCAGAUGUAGAGUAAGAGCUCUUGGAGGGAUCAAGGCUGGUGCCUCUAAUGGUAUAGGCUGUGUAUCCAUUUCAUCUGGUCUUUCGGAAUCGAAUGCCAUGGAACUUAAGGGGAAGGAAGGAUUUGACAUUGAAGGGGAGGAAGGAUUUGACAUUGAGGCGAGACCAUAUAUAUAAGAAGAAAGAAUCUGCCCAUUGACUAAGUACUCUGAUUCUAUGAUUGGAUAAUAAGAGCUCUUUCUUUGAACUUCGAUAAUAGGGGAAGAUGGUGAAUCUGUUGUCCACUUCGACGCGGUGCGGAGCCAACGGAUUUCUCCUUAUCCGAUUGGGGAUUUCCAGGUUCUCCAAUAAGCCUGAAAGUAGGGAUCGAUAAAGUGCUAAAAACACAAUUCCCAGCCCCUAUGGAUUCUAAACAAGUAGCCUUCCAACUCUUUUUUUUGAGAUUCUCUCGCAUAAAAGGAAGUAUUGGUAAGCUAUUUGGCGGUAAUUCCAAGAGAUAGAGGUCAUUCGAGAAGGAGGGACUAUGUGAAUCUUCUAUCUAUUAAGGCACUUUUGGACCCUACCCGACCAGAAUAAAGUCACGAACAAGUGGUAUAACAUUAAUAUAGGAAGUCAGAUCUAUAAAUAGAGGAAAUAAGAUCUAGAUUCCCUUAAAGGGUAAAGCAAGCAUUCUGUGGAGGAGCCCCAGUGAAGAUCAUCUCUUUCCUCUUUCUUCUGACCUUUUUACCUAUGACGAGGGAAGGGAGAAAAGGGGCAUUUCAACCAAUAAGUAGAAUGUGAGAAGGAGCAGACCCAUCUACGAAGAUGCUUUUCCAGAGGGAGCGACGGGCCCAGCUCUUUCUUUCGAACUUCUUUGGCGCAGAUUUCACAAGUCAAUUUUGCCCUGACUAUACUUGCUUCGGCAGAUCCAUUUUGCAGGUUAGCUUCGGGGUCCCCAUAAGGGAAGUAAACUCGUCCUUGAUAAGUAAAGCUUUGUCCCUAUUUAUUGGGCAUGAGCGGGGAUAGCAGUAAUGGUCCAUUUAUUGAUGGUCGAAGGACAGGGAUUGAAGCAGCGGAGAAGCGCAAUGCUUUCUUUGUCAAUUCUAUUGAGCUAAGUCUAGGAAAGUAGAAUCUAUGCUCUACUCUAUGUUUCCCCUUUGAAAAGUGGUUCUUGCGGCCCGGAGGCUCCACAUCAUCUUAGAAGUUCUUUAAGAAAGACCUAGCUGGGAAUCCGAGGAAGAACUAAUUGGUUGGAGCGCACUUCACACACACUAGAGUUUGACUCGUAGCGAUUAGGGGUUGAACCAUCGAUCCUAAAAGGUCAGUUGUUAGGUUGCUGGAGGGAUGCAAUAUAGUAUAGUAAUAAAGAGCGAAAUAAAAGGAGCGAAAGCUUAAGAGGGGAGGAGGGAUGUAAUUCACAGCUAUAACUAAAGAGGACUAUCAUAAAUAAGUUCUGAAGGAUGUAAUUAAGCUAUACUGAAAGUAAGGGGGCAAAGACUGAUGAGCAUAUUGACCUAUUGAUUGUUGGAGUGGAGAAAGUUAUGUCCCAGUUUCUGAGGUGGGCGCAUAAUCUAAUAUGAUGGAAGCGAAUACACUCGUACGGCUCUAUCUUGACAAAAGGUGUUUGGACUGUUUUCGGGCCCAGACUCCGGAGCCAUUCUAGUUCCUGAAUAAUGAGGAUAUCCGUAUCAGAGGCGCGUAAGGUUUCUUUUGGUGCUGUAGCUCCUAGUAGAUACGAGUUGGGGCAAGAAGAGAAGAGAGCCGAAUUCAGCAAGUCAGAAAUGAAUAGUAAUAGCAGAGGGUAUAAGAAUACAUCCACUUUACCGCAACUCAGCUACUCCUAUAGUAUAGUAUAGUUCCUAUAGUCAUGAGUUUUGUUACCACUCUUUGCCUUUGUAGUAUACGCUUGGUUAUUUAGUUUGCUGGGAAAUCAUUCAUUUCUCACUCUUGGCCUGAGUCUUGAUCCGAGGACCGAGGAAAACGGAAUUGAUUAUCGAUGUGCCAUAUUCAAGUAGGAAUUGGGCGGAGCAGGAAAAGGUUUGAGUCAUGAAGAUCUGAUCAGGGAAGAGAAGAUUGCACCAACCCAACCGUUGCUGAAUCCCUUAAGCCCCCUUACGCGUAGAAUGAGAUGGAACUGCUUCCACUCUUAACAACACUGCUACGUCGGCCUUAACUGCGGAUUCUCAAACUCCAGAUUCUCGCCCCGAUUCCGCUCCAUCUUCUGCCGAUGAUCUAGCUUCUUUACCAGAUCCAGUGAAUUCUCUCGUUGCACCAGAUCUAUCUUAUAAUCCUUAUCAUCUUACUGCUGGCACAAACUCACUAACGCUUGUCGGGCCCAACACAGAGACGAACAAGUCCCUCCUUUUUAGGCUUCAAUUCAUUUCCAUUUAUACAGUGGCAAGGGAUCUUCAAUGAGUGAGUCUUAAGGGGUGCGUGCCUAGCUUUUCCAUUCCUAAAGCUACUCUCGGCUCAAGCUUAAUCAAUAGUGGCAACAAGUAAGUUUCGGGGUGUGUUAGCCGUUGCGCAAGAAACCAGUCCAGUAGUUCGCAAAUCUGAUAAGUAUGACUUCCACCCACAGGCCUGUCUAUUGUAUAGAAAAGAAAUCUUAUUGGUAAUUGGAGAAUCAGAGCAUAGGUGAAGGUUCAGUCUCUAGUAAGUAGCGCUAGGCAAGAGCAGGGUACUCGAGUUUAGGGCGAGGUUGCCAAGCCAAUAAAGAGAAGAUGAUUUUCAACGAGUGUUAGGUGAUUUGGAGCAAGCAAGCUUCUGAUUCUUGUUUCGUGGUGCCCAAUAUUCUCACUUUAGAGAAGCAAGGGCUAUUAGUGGUUAUCUUUGAGUAUAGAGUCAUUUCCUUUCUUCUACUUACUGGCUUUGAAGCAGUGCGCAAGUCGGCAACAAGUGGUUCUGUUCUGUUCCACUAUUCUCUUAUGUUCUGUUCAACACUAUUGUCUUAUCAAAAGUCAAGAAAAAGAUAGAAACUGCCCACUAGGCUCCCGACAAAUAAGCUGUAUCGAGUAAGUAAGCAGCAAACGGAAAAGCAAAAGUAGACAGAUCAGAAGAAGGUAAAUCCGGGGGUAUUAAAGCCAACUGCUCUCAAUCUUGGUUUCCAGCCCCUUAUAGUAGUGGUGGAGAUAUCUGUUAUUCUUUUCUUGGCUCUCCGUCUGUAUAGGAGUGAGCGGUAUCAAGGGCUAAAGUCAGCAGCAAGCGGGUCGGAUUCCUUUCCAUUCUUAGAUUUUUCAGUGCGAGUGUUGUCGACGAAAUAAGGAUCAUCAGCAGCAGACUGGACAGUUUCCGUUAAGUAUCUUACUCCGAGAGAAGCAGAAGUUCAGGGAAAGUAUCCAGUAUCAAUCAAGUCGAGUUCUAGAAUAAGCUGGAUCCGGGUAUUAUAUGGAAAUAGUCAUUAUUUGGGAAGAGGUGUGGGUUUCUUCUUUUCUCCGUGGGCAUUAUCUGAGGCUUCUUCUCUGUCUUUAUAUUCUUAACUCACUUACUCCCUUGCUGGUUCCGUUGAUUGUUGAAUGGAAUUGAGAUAAGUCACACAUGGUAUAGAGCCAAGUAAAGAGGAUUAGUAAACAAGCCGACUUCCCUUACCUUAGGUAUUCCAAAUAUUAGAUACUAUAUAUGGCUUCCUUGCCUUGACUUUAUUCUUCCUCGACUUCAACUUAUAGGCUCUUUGAACUCCCACUACUCUACCUUAAUUAUGACUUGCGGAAUUCAUAACUCUUGAUUGCUCCUCCACCUCUAUCUGUUCUGUUACUAAGAUAUAGUCAAUAACUCCGGAUAGUAAUGAAUUCUUUGGUUUUCGAGUCUAGUCAAGAAGGAGCCAAUGGGGUAGAUCAGAUCCCGCCUACUUAUUAGAAUCCUUUCCAGUGCUUUCUUCGUCAGCGAGUCGUGGAGGAAUCAAUUGCAGGGGAGAUAUCAGUUCAUCCGCUCAAAAGGAGUUGCUAAGGUUAGCUUGCCUUAACGCAAAUAGUUUGAUGCGAGGUAUCUGAUAGCUUCCGUAACGAACCAUAGCCUCUUUUCUUCAAUUCAAUUAGUUUAUCAUCUGUGUUUCUCAAUUCUUAAAGGAAGGAGUGCUAGGGAAGGAAAUCAAGCCUUAAUAAGUAAGGGCGAGUUGAGUCUACAGGUGUUGAGUCUACAGGUGAGGAAGAAAGAGCUUUGUUUAAUUUCAUGGAAUUUGUUUACUACGGUAUCGGAGCAAUAGAAGGAUCCGAGCGGGCACUAAAAGACUCAGUGUGUUAGUUAGCCUUAUGAGCAAGUCCUGUGUUCGGGCGCAAUAAGGUAAUCGAUUGGGGAAUCAAUAUGGGUCUUGUCCUGGCAUCUGUUUAUUCACCAUCUGUUAAUGAAUUACUUCCCCAGCAAGAUCUUCCUUCCAUUCCCUUGAAUAUGUUGACUUGAGAGUUCCCCCUUUCUAUUUAAAGCUGUUCAUUACUUGCUUGGAAUGCAGCAUAGGCGCUUCGGUCUCAAUUAGUGCGGUUGAUUCCUUUAGAAAGCCACCGGCCUUGUCAGCUCAUCAGUAAGGGUCGAGCAGUCUUCUCUGAUGGUAAUGCGAAUCUCGAAUCUCUUUAGCUAGUCAAUCUCUUGCAAGUGGUCUAUGGCAAAGGCUCAUCUGUCCAAUCGGAAUCGGUCCACGAAUGAGUUCUUUCUAAGAGUCAGUGCUUAUUCUCUGCACUUUUAGACGGAAGCUUUAUACAUGUUACUUCGACGGCAAUCCCAUGUCCUCAGGCAAGGUAUAUUGGUUAGCUAUCCUAUGGAAUUGAAGCUUUUUCUUCGCCGGGUAUGAACGAGAUGGAAGAACCGAUGUAAGAUAGACAGACCGGAUUCCUGUGUCCCCUACGAGCGAAGGAAAAGAAAUGCUUUUCUUCAAGCAGGAAGAAACUCAACUGCUGGGUAAGGCUAGCGGGUAAUAGUAUAGGACUUUCAAGCAAGGGUAGCAAGUCAAGUGUGUUUUCGUAUCGGCAUUAGACUGCUAUGCUCACGAAUUGGAUGAGAACCAAUGACUCUAUUGUAUGAAAGCGAGACUCUAACCGCUCAGAGAAAAUAGACCCCAGAAGAGAAAGCCGGGAAACCAGAGUGACCCUUACGAGAGGGGCGGAGCGCUAAGAGCGUGAUAACUAUACGAAAUGAAGCAGCGGCUAGCACGCUAAGAUAAACCACUUGGUUGGGGAGAACGUGAAGCCUUUCUUUCUCGGUAAUUUAAGUGGAUUCCUUUUCAUGCGGUCGUUCUCUGCUGCAUUGGUGUUUUCACUCCCCACUCUAUACCAUAACGAAAAGUGUCCUCUCAGGAGUUGUAAAAGGAAGUACUCAGGAGUAGGAAAUCACUAAGAAGUAGGGCACAAUGGAUCAAUUCAUUCAACAAGAUCCCUUCGGACCAGGAUGAAUGGGAUUGAUAUUACCUCUCGCUUCGAUCUAAGACUCCCACCGCCGGACAUCUGUCAGAAGAUUCAACUGAGUUAUGCAUUUCUCUAGGAAGGUAAGUUGGGUGAGUUGGCGAAGGAGGGGCUUUAGGAAAGGAGUUGCAUUCAGCAGGAACCGGGAAAGUAGCCAUACCUUUAUUUGUAGCAUAGAUAGCUGUGGGAGACCAAACGAAUCUGUCAAGCGUAAAGUCAAACUAAAGCAGAUGAAGCAUCGGGUAUAGUAAAUCUGAUAAAAGAGCACAGCAGCUAAACCAUGUAUGUGCGCGUGAUUGCUCGUUCGCUUGCAAAUACUUAUCCUCUCGCCCAGGCCCUGGCUCUUUCCAGAAAAGGCCUAAACUCUAUUUGCCUAAGCAUCUUUAACGCCAUGGAGCUUGCCGGUUAUAAUCAAUGAAAGCUAGAUUACCAUAUUCCCGGUGAUAAUCAAUGAAAGCUAGAUUACCAUAUUCUUAUGCUAUGGCUUGGCUUAGCAGGAGGUCAGCUAGAUAGUCGAAUAGGACCCUUUGGAGAGCCGGCUCAUUUAGGCCUUUCUUCCUUUCCAAUUGACAUGCCCCAGAUGCAAAGCUAUAUAUUAAUACACUGACCUAGUUCGCUUAACCGCAUUGACUCACUCGAAGCAUGAGAACAAAAGACGGAUUGAAAACAACUAGUAGUAGAGUAGGAAAUAAAGAAGGAGGAGGUGAGUCCCAAGCCGGGGUAGAAAUAGGAUGAAUAGCUUUUCGACCUAUGGUGGAUUCAACCAAUUUCCUAUCCAUGCUAGCAUUCAAGUUUAGCAAAACCAAGGCAAAUAACUAUGUUAGGGGGAAUUCUCCUACUUAGGCUCAAAGUAGUCUACAUCGCUAGGACCAAGCAAAUCCUUGAAUCAAAAUCCAGACAUGCUCAGGAUGAACGGGAAAGGAAGGGCGUAAGACCUGCCGAGGGAUCUAAAUAGGGAGAUAAGCACGAGUUGUGGUUCGCCAAAAGCUAUGUAAGGCUGCAGAUUGUUUCUCUUCUGCAUUGCCCUUUUAUAGAGAAGAGACCUAGGAGCGAGUUUACGAGCCGGCUUUCUGUCUCUUCAAGCCAAUUCCCUUAUAUCAGAAAUGGUCAUAUUCCCCUUAUAUAGGUAAUAUUCCCCUUAUAUCGGAAAUGGUCAUAUAAUAAAUGGAACUUGUCUAGCCCUCAGGCUGCCGCGCAACAAACUACUAAGCUUGGCCCCGCUUCAUCUCCAACUAACAUGGAUUUCCGUCGAACAGGAGGAAAACAAGUCAUUUAACUUGCUUGCUCUGCGCGCGCACCAACCAGUACUUGAUUCCUCCCCAAACCCCUCACUUUCGAUUCUGAUCCUUAAGAAAACAAACCUCCACGAUACCUUGCUUCAAAGCCAGUAAGAGAAAGAUGGUCUGCCCUGAACGCUGCUUCUGCUUUAGAUCUUUAUUCCUUACCUGCGCUAAGAUCUUCUCCCCUCAAUGAAAUUCUGAACUUCUAGUAUAGGCAGUAUCUAUUUUCAUAGGUCAUUUAGUAACUAUAAGGAAAUAGUAUUCAUUCAAUAGAGAGUAUAACUCACAAAAGUCGUAUAAGUUCGAGCAGUAGGAUAAAGACCUGAAAGCAAGGUUGAAAUCAUCAGUGAAUUCUUUUCCUGCAAGAAGAUCCUCUAGACUCACUUAUGCCCUAGAAAGAUCUAUAUUUGGAGAAUCUAGUCCUGUUAUCGGUUCAGAACAGAAUAUCUUAUUGGCUAGGAAGCUCCCUUUUAAGUAAGCGAGGCAUUCCAUAAUAUAGUAAUAAAUAAGAAAAGUAUAAGUCAGCGAGUAGGGUCGCCCAUAUAGAAUUAAUCAGCAGCAGUAAGAGCAGGUGCAAUCGGGUGAGAGUCGAGUGAGGGCGCUAAGAUGGUUUACCGGCGAAAUCCAAGAGUCAGGGUUGGUUUCAAGCAAGUAGUUAUUCAUUGAAAGAAGAGGUUGUCAAAGUAUUGGAAUAAGAAUAGAAAACCAUAACAUAUGAGUUCAUUGCCAAGAAAAGAGAAUUCUAAGGAUCAGAGAAAGAAUAUGAAUAAAAGUCAGUGGUGAAAAGCGGUGAAGAAUAGGAUUGAGCCCCAAGUAAGUGGUGAAAAGCCUAGUAGUUACUUGUCUGGUUGCUCCUUCCUUUAAGUAAUAAGAAUUGAAGAAUAGAAGAUACUGUACCAGGGGAGUAGUAGUACCCUAAUAUGAAUUCUGUAAUUCCAUUCUUUAAGUAGUCUCAACUCAAUUAAGAAAUGGAAUGUUGGAACUGGUACUACUAUACUAAGAAUAGAAAAAACUGGGUCAGAAUUGAACAAGGAAAGAAAGGGUCAAAUGGAGUUAGUGUAUUUGUAGAGGCUUUCAGCACCUAGUUAUCCUUCCUUGAAUAAUUGAAGUUUACCUGCCCACUGAGACUAUCUACGAAAAAGCAAGGUAUCUGAAGGCACCCGAGGCGACUGUGCGUAAAAGUACUAGUGAAAAAGAAAACGGGCUCCCGCUAGUGUUUCGAAGAAUGAAACAAGUCAUAAUGAAGCCGGAUAUAUGGUAUUGAAUGAAACUCCUUAACAAAGGUGCCUGUAUUGAUUAUGGAUUUUCACUCCUUUAGGUUCAGCUACCUCUGAUUCUCUAUACUCGGCUUGCUCUUGGACAGGACAGGUGAGACUUUCCAGUUUCAAGUAGAUGUAUUCGGCAGUUAGCGAGUCUAGCCCCAACUACCUGGUCACAGCUAAGGAACUGGGCUCCUUAAGAUAGAAGACAGGACUCUACUCGAUAAGAACGUAACAAUAACAUGGAUUAUUUGUUAUUGCUGCUGUUUUUGUCGUCGUUGCUUGUCGAGUUUGGUUCUAUAUGUGCUAUGAGCCGUUCUCUUCUUGUUAUAUUACUGUUACUGUUGUUCUCUUAUUGUUAUUACUACUAUUCUAUAUGCCUAUAAGAGACCAUACCAUACUUAUACUUAUUGGUUUGAUUCACUGAGUUGUAUGUUAGUUCCUCAGAGGUGGGGUAGCAGUCAAGUCUAUUAAUAAGUGAAGUAAGACUGACCAGUUAGAGGGAUAUGCCUAAGCGGGUCAAGUUCCAUUCUUUCAUUGGUAGUUUGAUUCCAAUAAGUCAUAGACGGUUUCUCUAUUCCUAGUCGAGUUCUUCACUCGGAGCUGCCCUGUCACUGCUUGGUUAAAGUAUCCCGCUACUGCCUUAAGCCUUCAAUGCCAUAUCUCAAUUCCGUAGUUCACCUAUUCUUCUUCCACUUAUAAGUUGUAUGCCCUAAGUUCUCAUUGUUACUAGUCCAUGCCCUAAGUUCUCAUUGUUACUAGUCCAUUCCUCUACUACUUUCUUCGCUAAUCUAUUCUUUGAUUUACGUUACCGAUCGAGUUAUGAAAAUCAAUCGCUUGUAUCAAUAUAACAUAGGUGGUAUCAAUAACAGAGCAGAAGAGAGUUUCCUCCGUGCCAAGUCUAUUCUUAUAAUAUCUUAUACAGUUUCCGUAUACGCGAAAAGAAUAAUCAAUAUUAUAAUCAUCUAAAAUAACGUAGUAAGUAAUUGCACAGUGAAAUGAACAAGACAAGACUGCUUUAGAUGUAGAUGCAAGCGAUAUAGUCUAAGGUACUACCAGUAAAGUCAAACUCAAAAGGGGUAGGCUCAUUCUCAUACUGCCUUGGCUUCAUUAGAAUAAGUCGUUUUUCAGUCGUUAGACAGUGAAUGAAAUAAAGUGCCCCUGUUCCUAGCUCAAGUAUGAGAAGCACCGGUUCCACUCUGAGAUAUAGUAAAGCAAGAUGAAAAGGAAGGGCCAAGCAUAUACUACUAAAGAAGAGAGAGGGAAAUUGUUAAUCCUCAGACCAAUUCUUAUACUUAUUAGUUUGUUUAUUUCUUGAUUUUCAGUGGAGAGCGCAGGGUAGGCGAGAAAGACAAAGACAGGACUUGCUCGGGCUUAAGAGAUUCAAUGAAUUAGUGAAAACCAAGGCUAGUUCCGGAGAACCCUCGGCAGGAAGUCAAGAUGGAUUUCGCCAGUCAAGAAGGGGCCAGAAGACUUCCAAAUGCAAGCGCGUCUUCAGAUACUGAGCCUAUUGCAAUGCAGGAAUGAAUGCUAAAUGGAAUCUGAUGGCAUAGGAGAGGGCGGGGAGAGUAUCCAAGCACGCUCUUUCUGAACCCCGAGAGGAGUCACAAAACUAUCCCAAUAAAGAAAGAUGGAAUGUCACACUAUAUAUACUAAACCUCCAGCCACUGAGUAAGCGGACUCUUUCUUCCAAAAUACAGGAGGGUACUUCAACCGAGAGGAACACUGGCUCGGAAUUCGCGAGCUCACGGACUAGACGUAGGACGACAUUACUUGGAUCCUUGUCCUAGCUUGAUGCAAUGAGGCAACCAGUCAGCGGUAAAAGCCUUGCUUGCUCAUCAACUGCUUCAGCUCGGAUUGGCAUCAUUUCGUUGUUGAGCGCUCCAUCCGCAGAAGAGGUUUGGGGCGUCCCAUAUACUAUAUGAGUAUUCCUUCAAGCGAAAGCACCAAUCUAAGGAAAGGAGCAGGAAAUAGCAGUAAGGUAACAACCGGACAUGGGAAAACAGGCAUGUCAUCUCAUAAGAUCCUUUCAAUUGGCUAUCAUCCCUGACUUGCCUUUCAAUUGGCUAUCAUCCCUUACUUUAACCAAAAUAGAGCCACGAUUUCUUCCAGGAAAUCCCAAGAAAAAGAAACAAACAAACACUUUUCCUAUAUUUCUGUCAAUGCCUCAUUGGUUGCCUGCUGCUCUAAAAGUGCUAGGCUAAGCGGAAGUCACCCAUGCCAUACUCCCAGGAAAAGCUCGAUAAGAGUGAGUCUCUCUUUCCUAAGAGCUGAUGGAAACCCGAGCUCGAAGUGGUGAAUCAGCGGACUUCCUCGGACGAGGCCCCAGUUUACGUGAGCACAUUAUGAUGAUGCUUAAGAGGGCUACUUUUGGCGCUGGUUCAUAAAACGAUGAUUCCUUCUUAUUCCUUUUUGAAGCAGAAAGGUAGAUCAGGAUCAACAAGCUCUCUGUCUGUCAUAGGAAAGUACUUUUGGGCUACUGAAGCUGCUAGCUUUCCCUUUCCCAUACAAGCCCGCAAGUCCACACCGUAUAGAGCCAUCUUAUAAACCCCAACACACACGCCAAUCAGUACUGCACCCGGGUUUCCCGAACUUCUAUUUUGACUACAGGCACUACCGGGCAACCACGGCAAUAUCGGCUCCAAACCGAUUGAUUGACCAAUGCCGCCGUCUUGUCACCGCUGUUCCCGAUCUUGUAGCAGCAUCCUAGAGAGGUGGAGCUAACCUGAACUUAGGAAUAGGUGUACAUCGGGUCCUCUAAUCUCAAGCAUAAAACCACAGCCCGCCGCUCCCUAUAAGCCGUUACACUGACGCCUUGUGAUCCUCACAGUCUUUUUGUUGCGUUGCCAUAAUGAGAAAGGCUUAAUUGGUUAUUAGAUCACUCCAGGAUUAGAGGUCGAUGCCACCUAAACAGACUUCUCGAACAUCACUUAAUGAAAUAUGCUCGAGGAUUAGCUUUUUGAUUGAAACUUCCUCUUGAGUUCUUGAGUGACAUUCUUUUUAGUUCAAGUAAUAGAAAAGAAUUGAUAGUAAUCUAUACUUCUUUCUUGGCCUCGGUAAGGUUUAGGCUUUUUAAGACAGACCUCUAGAAUGGGUAGUGCCUUCCUCGUAGUUGCCAUAGGUAUGUAGAGUAGCCGAGCCUCAUUCAAUUCAAUUAGCACUUUUGUUUGUUGCCAGUUGCCCUAGUAUUAUAGAGUUUGAGUACACCACCAGUAGGAAAGGAAUAAGGUCACUAACCACCCGAGUCUAGUGCUAGUGCUCCUUCCUUUCUGAAUAGAGUAUAAGUGGAAAAGUCAGAAAUCAACUCUACAGUGGGAAAGUCAGAAGUCAUCCAUUAAUUCAGAAUUGACCUCAUACCGCCUACCAUGUGCUCUUGAUUUAAAGAAUGAAACUAGAAAGUAGGAAAGCAAGAAGUCACCACAAAAGUGAGAAUGAAACCAAGAAGUCAAAUAGGCAAGCUACUCCUAAUGGACAAGUAACUGCUUUACAAACAAUGGCUACAAAUACUUCUUUCAACAAGCAGCUGGCUCCGCCAAGCACCGUAUACAAAGGCAAAAGAAGCUUCAAUUUCCAGUGACGUUAUAGUUUAAAGAUCCUUAGUAGGAACAGGCGAGUAAGUCAAAAGGUAUCCAGUUUCAAGUAGAGUUAGGAAAUUCAUCCAUUCCUGCUUCGUUCGCUUACUGCUUACUUUGACUUAGCGCUUCAAAGCCAGUACUGUACUUUCUUCUUCCUCGAACAGUACUACCUGGAUUCAGACUAUCAUUGCGGCGUGUGACUGAUUUCUUAGGCAGAGGAGAGGUAUGCCUAAUUCAGUUAAUAGUUCCGAUGGCAAGGAAGCACGUAAGGGUGUUGCAAUACAAGAUCAGAGGGAUAGAGGUGCCGAGAUGAAGCAGUUAUCCUUUCGAAAGAUAAGAUAGGCCAAUAGUAGGGAUAUGAUAGGCCAAGCAAGCAACUCCGACGAAGGGGCAAGCGGACAUACCUGAGUGCAAUUCCAAAUUGAGUGAAUAGUUUGAGUAGCCAGCUGCAGGGCUUGUUUGAUUCUCCGUUAGUGCUGAGGAAGCUAGUCCUUCUUUUGGUGUUCGAGUUUGUGUAGUUCGGCUUGUCUGCUUUCCUGCUUGUCUGCUUGGCCGGUCGUUAUUCGUUGCUUGUUUAGUGGUGCCUCAAUUCGUUCUUCAGCCGUAAGCAAAGCAAUGUCAUCGUAUCCCCAGAAGCGUUGAUUAAGUGGAAAGUGAGCUAGCUCCACGAUAGAGUAUCAUUGUUUGCGAGUUGCCUUGCUUAUUCAUAGGAACGACAACUAAAGUCAUAGGACCGACAACUAAAGCACAGAACCUUACUCAGGAACUCACGUUAGCACUUCAGAAGAACAAAGAAGAGAAUUGAGGUGCGUAUAUAACUGUAAGCAAGUAAACUAACAGCUUUUCCUCCUUUCAAGACAAGACUCAGCUACGCUAAUGCACCAGCACCCUGGAAAGUAACAAAGACAUGUUUGCUCGAAGGGAAGAAUCACACUCACUAUAUCCGCGAACCGAGAAAAACUGGAACUAACAUAACUCCGUUAGCUAUAAGUCACUCGCGUUAGCGCAACUGCUUCCAGCUUUCAUGGUCCUCUCUUUAUGCCCUUGUUGACUUUCUUUUAUUCUUUGCCUGUUUCAAAUAAUCUACCUAGCAACUACAAUAUGGAUCUACCUAACAAAACGGAACUGCCAACUCUGCGGUAACCAAACGGAAACCAUAGUGAAUUGCUUCAAAUCAAACAAUCGUUAGCUUCAGUCUUAUAUGAUAUAGAUAAGUGUGGAAUCUCACUCCUGUGUGGAAUCCUAACUCCCGACUGCUUACUUAACUUAGCGGUAACCUCAGUCUAAACUAACUUAUUGCUUUGCUUCCUUUAGAACUAAGGCUUUCGAUCCACCCCCCCUUGCCUUGUUUGUUUGACUUGGUUAGAAACUAAGUUAGCACCCCGCUCGCUCCGUGGGUAAAUAAGCUAAUGCGCCUUGCUUGUUUCAUUUUGAUAUGAAUGCAAAGAUUCCUGACUAAUAUACUACGCCUCACUGCUUGUUGAAACCUAACUCCUUAAGCACGCACAACACUUUAAGCAAACUUGUUCCCUAGCUUGUUCAGCUAUCUACCUAUUGCUUGUUUAAUCAAAUAUGCACAUCCUAAUAUAGAAUCAAGUCACUUUACAGCCUAUUAGAUAAUGGACUCUCUGAAGAAUAAGGAAUUGGAUCUAGCUAUCCACAAUCAUAUGAUUUUAUGAAAGUGGAGAGUUUAGAGAAGAGAUAUGAGUAUAAUCAACAGACGCAUCAGAACGGAAAUGGAGAAAAUGUUAGUUAUGACUUGACUCAGGACGUAUAGGAAGCAAUAAUGGAUUAACAGAACCCCGUACUAUUCUCUUUCAAUGGCAAAGCCCGUUUUUUGCUAGGGGAUAGAAGCCAAGCUUGGUGGACGAAGCCCCCAUGUAGGGAUCGAUCAUUCUGGGCAAAUAUCUGAGGGAUCGAUCAUUCUGGGCUAAUAUAUUAUAAGAGAUAUUCGGCAUUCCAUACACAAUGUAUUAAUGCCCUAGUUGGAUUGAUUUCAUGAUUCAAAACCUGGGCUUCUUUCUUUUUCGUAUACCGAUAGUAAUCUUUUUCCGAAGCCCUAUAUUACCCCCUAGAUUAUUAAUGUCAAGCGAUUAUUAAUGUCAAGCGCGAAGAGGACAGGACCUACCUCAUUCUAAAGUUCACCAUUAUAAGAGGACAGGACCUACCUCAUUCUAAAGUUCACCAUUAUAUAUAUGUCAUUGAUCUUCUCUUUAGUUAAUCUGGAAGAAGGGCUCAUUCAUGUACAAUCCAGAGCGAGAAGGCAAGAAUAACAUCUCUUUUUUCACAUGGUAUUUCUAGGAAUAAGUAACUUCCACGAUCUUUGAGGAAAGGGUUGUAAUCUCUUCUUUAGAGUUGAAGCGAAUGAGUUUAAUGAUGAGGAAGAAUCUGUCUUCACGCAAAAAGCCUAUACUGUAGGUCGAGAGUGUUUUCCCUACCUCUCCCAUAGGUCGACUCCCGUUAGCACCCCAAGAAAUAAGCUCAAAGCGGUAGUGCGCCGAGCAAAGGCCAUUUUCAUAGUUCAUAUUUCUCCCUUUGGUUUUCCAAAGAGUCUUGCCUAAAGCAGGCCAUUCUCCUCGUUUCCGAGAGAUAGGAAGUACUAGCUUACAUGGACCCUCAAGUUCUCUUUCACUACUUUAGCUCAACAAUCGAAUAAGCACUAACGAGAACUCUAUAUGCUCAUACCAAGGCGCCGUGGUCUUUCUAAUGUCAAGAAUCAAUCAAAUCACAGAUCAUGAGAACUCUUUUUUCCACACAACGACUAAUCCUGAAAGACGACUCUUUCGUUUAAGGAGAAUUCCAAAAUACAGAAAUUGGAUUCGGAGAAAAUGAGGAUACCUGAAACACAAGGCCCGAUGGAAUUGAGCUUCUGCUGUCCCUACUAGUUCCGAUUGCUUUCUUGACUUCUGGAGAAGCAGCUCCUGUACUAAUCAAUUCUUCGGCGGUAAGGAAUAAAAUGCAAUAGAAUGCUUUUCUCAUAGAUAUUUGGACUCCUCUACUACUAUCAACCUUUCUUUCUCUAUAUACUUAUAGAUAGAUCUCUAUAUACUUAUAGAUAGACACAUGCAAUUAAGCUUAUAGAUAGACACAUGCAAUUAAGUUCUGCAAGAAUCAAGUCAUUGUGGAAUAAGACCAGUCUGAACUGUAUUUCUAUUUUGAUAUGAGAAAUUGUAUAGGUGAGUUGUACCUUUCGAAGCCCUAGGAGGUUCAUUGGAUCUAGUUUCCCGGUUUUCUUUGUUCUUCCUUUCUUUGUUUUGCAUGCGGCGUAGUUAAGGGUAGAAAAGAAAAGAUGUUGUUCAAGCAGGGUUCAGGAGAGAAUAACCAGUGAGAAAGUAAUCUACGAGAGGAGAGAGGUCAAUAGUGGAACAGAGCUUAAAGGACUUUCAAGCAAAAGUAGGUUCAAUAACAAUUGCUUAAAGUCAAUCUUUAGUGGGUUCAAUAACAAUUGCUUAAAGUCAAUCUUUCCCAGGGCGCGUAGCGUAGUAAGGCUUUAUUAAAGAUUUGCUUUUCGAUGGUUAUCCCCAUCCUCCCUAUCUUGUGCAGCUUAUCCAUUUCGGCUUUCAGAGUAUAAUAUUUGAUGUGUCAGGGCUAUAAUGGAGUUUCUAAUGGUCCCUAUUGCUAUUGGUAAAGGCUAGUAUCUAAUAAUGUGGAUAAGGGCUCAUUCAUGUAAAAUCCAUAGAUAGUGGGAAGGAAAGAAGAAGCUUGAUUACAAUCCAUAGCUGGAAGGAAAGAAUCCAGUGUUUUUUAGUCCCUAUUGCUAACAACGUAUAUCGGGAUCCCGGUGCCUAAAUGAUCUUCCUUAGAGUCCAAAGUCCGGUCCCUAUUGCUAACAACGUAUAUUGGUCUUUACUCUUCUUUCUAUUCAAAGAACUCAAUAAGAAUGUUAGUUUCUUCAGUUGUGCUAACGGAGCUCAUUAAGGCUUGCUUACCGGAGCUGCCAGAUACUCUACUUGUUGACUUUUUGCAGUUAAAGUGCAGAGGGAUUCUGGCCCUGUCCCUGUGCCUAGGUACGAUAGACUAAAAAGCAAUAGGCAACUUAUUUGAAUCAUAUGUAUUUCGCCCGACGCCGAUAUAUUCCAUUCAGAUAGUUUUUAGUGCUGUGUUUUUACGUUGUUUCUAUGAUAUAUGGGUAUAGCUCUCGUCCGGAUAGGCAAAUAUACGGGUAUAGCUCUGUUCCGGCUAAUAUAUGGGUAUAGCUCUGUUCUGGUCUUGACUCAAUCAUUUUCAUAGCACCUAUCUUGACUCAAUCAUUUUCAUAGCACCUAUGAGAUAAGAGAAGUCGGAUACUAACCUUAACACUGCUCGCAGAAGUGCACAUAAUAAAAUAAAUAGAAAUGCACCUAUAAGAGAAGUCGGAUACUAACCUAACACAGCUAUUAUAUUACUUAAGUAAGAGUGGAAUGGAAUUGAGCGACCACAUAGUCAGUAUAGAAUUUCUGAAAGACAAGAGCAUUGCUUCAAACCUAAUAGAGGAAUUAAUAUGGGCAUAGAACAAUAAAUAGAGGAGCGUAGCGACAUAGAACAAUAAAUAGAGGCGCGUAGCUAAAUAGAAAAUGAGUUGUUAUGUUAGGUUAGUGAGUGAUCGGUAUAGAAUGGAUUGGUAAUAUGACUAAGAUAUCUAUGCUCAUGUUGUUUGUUUCUUUUUGAUUGAGCUGUUCUGCUCCUAAAACUUAGUAAGAUUCUUUAUUCAAGCUCGUUAUUUCCUUUUCUCGAUCAUCAUCCCCUUCUAUAAAGGAAUAGGUCGAUAUUAGAAGCUAUAAUAACUCGGUCCAAUCUACUUAGUAGUCCUUCUAUUCCAGUGGCUCCUCUCCUCAAAGUGAAAUCUCUUUUUGCUUGCUUUUUCAUAGCUAUGUUUCGUACCUUUGUGAUUCUACUUUCCUUCUUCUGGAAAUGACGAAUGUAAGGAUGGCCUAUAUAUGGCUAGCAGCAAUUUCCCUACUUACUCAUCAAACCCGCCUAUCGGCUAAGCCGCCUUUCCCAACUCAAAUGGGUUCUGCCUUUCCCUACAAUCUCUUUUGUUGGCCUAUCCGCCGGCCGGAUGUUCGGACAGAUGAUAAAGAUUCCCUGCCUCCCACUUACGCAAUUGGUCUGUUUAGCAUUCCCUAUUCAUCUAGGUGACUUUUAGAAGUCCGUAAAGAGAUAAGUCUGUAAAGAAUCUAUGUUCAAGUGUUAUUACCGAGUGCAAGCAUCUUUCUGGGAAGGGUUCGCUUACGGGAAAUCUAGAAAAGGAGUGAGAGUUACCUUUCCAUUCACCUCACUUAACCGACCAUGUAAAGGCCCUUGAUAAGGCUUCUUUAACGUCGUUUAACAUGGGUUACACUCAGAACAGAAGCUUCCACCCAUUUCGACUCGCCAAGCAACCACUAGUUAUCGGUACUAGAUCAUACCAGUACUAAUACCAUUCAUAUACUUACCAAUACAGAUACAAAUCUCCUGAAUCCGCUAAGCUUGAUCUGAGGCACAAGAAGUCGCUGGCUAAGAAUCUUAAGCUACUGGCUUUGAUGCGGGAAUAUCCGUUUUCUCAUCAGCGGGAAGUAUUGUCACUCACUACUAUAUGUCUUAUUGGAAUGUUUUCUUUCGAUCCAUCUUAUAGAAGCUUAUAUAAUAAUACUGAAAAGCCCUUCUUCUUCUCCCUUGGCAACUAUCCACCUGUCACUGCUACCCCGCUUCUUCUCUUGAAACUCAAUCACCUUUACCCCCGGCUCCCUCUAAUGCUUCAUUUACUUACUUUGAAUCCAGAGUUCACCUUUCUUUUAUGCCAGGACCACUACUAGUUUCAGAGCGGCCGAAAGCAUCUACGAAGACGAGCAAUAAUCUAGUAGGGGAGCGCAUCAACAAGAGAAGAUAACUCCGUUAGCACAACUGACUACUAAGCUUGGUGGUUUCAAACCUUAACCUUGCCUUGAUACUUGCCUUCGAGCGCAACAGGUUUUGGGCGAGUGUGAAGUAAGUUAAGUAAAUAAAUAAUGGAAAUGAAGUGCACGACAACGAAACUCAUAUAAGGAAGUAACCUAACAAAGAAAACCGUUUGUUCUUGCGCACCACGAACCCUUUCCUUUCCUUUAAUAAGCCUAAGCCAGCCUCAUUAUUUAGUCAAAGUGAAAAGAUAGCUUUUCUUUCCGUAAGCCAACACCGCGGACUCAUCCAUAUCAGGACUAAGAUCCAUAUACUGCUCCAGCGGGAUAAGAAGCAAGUCCUGUUUAGUUACUACGCAGGGAUGGGAUAGUGAGUUUUGAAGUGAAUAAGUAUAGGUUCGGUGUCUAGGUUCUUGGCGCUUUACCUUAGUGGACGACUUCAUAUUUAAGUGAAGAUCAAUCAUCUCUAAGCGAAGGAAGGCGUUCAAGCCCUCUUUUGAGUCGUUUAACCUAUGUUACACUAUGCUAAUAGCAAAUCCUACAUUAAGAUACUCUAUCAGCAGUUUGAAAUGCUUUUUUGCCAAAUAAGAUAGACUGAUUAACUCCCUAUGAAUUUUACUUGAAAGUUGAAGCCGAGAGCCGAGAAGAGGCAUCAGAGGGUUGUCGACAACAGACAGAAGAAGCCAGAUCAGGAUCGGAGGCUGGGUCAUCAACAAACUAGGAUGAAACUUGGGAUUCCACUAGGGAAGAAACUACUGCACCAAACGAAACUUCCCUGUCCACUCUAGUAUACGCUUGCCUGGUGCCUGGUGAACUGAUUGUAUGCCGCUGCUUGGCGAGUUUCAUCCCAAACCUGUAUACGAGUAGGCCAGUAGUAAGCCCACCGAUUCCCCAAGGAAGUUACUAGGCCUGCAUCUAGGGCAACUCAGUAGUAACAGAAUGCAACUAGCGACUCUAAACAAAGUCAGAUAUAAUAAUAAGAUAUAAUAUAAUAAGAGAGCCUCAUUCAGUUAGUAAAAGGGGCGGGUAUCUCGGUCGAAAGGAAUCAAAUAUGGAGUUUUCAAUGAGCCAAGCUACGUAUAAUCCUAGAGCUCCUAGAGCAUAUUAAGUAACUCCACUCACUACUACUAAGAUAAUAAGUGCAACCACUCACAAACUAAUAAGAAUUAGACCACCACUAAUAAGAUUGGAGCUGUUAGGGGGAAUACCGGAGUCUGCCCUGAACCCAGCUUCCUCACCCGAUCCAGCGGAUUAUCUUGAAACUGAAGAAUUCCACCAUUGAGUCAAAGAAUGAAAGUGAGCCUCUCCUCUUGGAGGUCAGGAAGUAGAGAAUAGCUGCCAGUUGACAAAGGUAAGUAGAUAAGUCUCAUUCAGUGAGCAGUGCGGGUGCUAGGGCAGGUGGAGUUGACCGGGCAGUCAGAAGUGUACGAGUGGAAUCCGUCUUUGGUUAAGGUUCAGAAGAUCGGAUUGCAGCUGGCUCUGUAGUAGCGGCGGAGAACUUUCUUGCCUAGUUGCUAAGGGGUUAAGCUAUAUACUGAGUUGCCAUAUAAGCAUAAUGGCUUGUUUCAUUCUUUGCUCCGUACUCAACAAAAGCGUACCUCACUUCAUGGAAUUAGUUGACUACGGCUAUGAAGGUAUCAAACAUGAGAACAAGAGCAGUUCCAGUAGUAAGAAAAGAUUCCAGAGCUGUUUACGUUCUCAUUAGUUCAAUUCCAAUACGCCGGGUAGGUUUAGAGAGAGAGAGCACCACUACACUAAGUUGGCAAGAGAGGGGAGGUCGGCAAGCAACUCUUACUUUCAAACUUCCACCCUUCUACUAAUUUUACUACUAGUUAGGUCAAGAAGAAGAAUAUAGUAGAGUAACCAAGCUUAGGCAGAGCAAUAGAAUCCGCAGUAAGAGAAUCCACAUCCGCAGUGCUGGGAAAUGUUGUUUAUGUUUUCUUGCACUAGGGAUAGAAUUAAUAAGAUAUAAUAUAAUAAGAUAUUAGCUUCAAAAUCACUAGAACAGCCAAUAGUUACCUUCAUUUAAUAUUGUAUAUUAUAGCGACCAUACACCUACUCGUUCUUUUAGUUGCACCAUUCAUUUCUUUGUGAGCGGAAAGGUAUGCUCCGUCUUCGGUCGGCAUCCCGCACUCUUAACUUGUCUCCCGGGAAGCCAGUGUUUUUGUAGCACCGUUCAUUCUUUGUGAGCGGAAAGGCAUGCUCAGUCUUCGUUCGCUGGUGCACCUACUCAUUCUGUGCUAUGGCCCAAGCACUCUGUCUUCGGGCAAUGUCGUUCAUGCAUCAAAGGGUGAUUGUCUAUGGGGUAAUAUCACCUACUCUGUGAGCAAUCAUCGGACCAAUCAUUCAAUUCAGUGAGCGGACCUCCUCGUAGAAUAAGAUAUAUCAUUCAUUCUUUUAUCGGUGGUCAGUCUUUUCUUUGUUCGUUCGUUCCAGGACUCAUUAUUCAAAUAAGAUAACGCAUUCUAUGAGCUAGCAUUCACUCGUUCAUUGUUCGGUAUCUAAUAUUCCAACAAACAAGGAGCAUAAUCAUAAUAAUCAUCGGCAGGAGUUAGGAGAGGCGAUAGGCUAGAGAGUUCGGGCACUACGUUCAACAAGUAUUGUCGAUUCUGAAAGUGGAGUUUCUAGUUUCAUCUUUGUUUGUUGGUGAUGAGUCUACUUCUGUGCUAGUGUCAUUGUAAACAAGACCUGUUGCUGUAUCAGUAGUUGGAGCAGGGGUCAGAAGCAAUAGAGGAAGCCGUUUCUUCCCUUCAAUACGAGGGCAGUUAAGUAAGUAGAGUAGUUUCAUCGGCUUUAGUUCCUUAACCACUGCAUCGGAUCUUUAUCUACUAUACCUUAGCCUCUAUCCCUUUUUUCUCACAGCCUCUAUCCCUUGACUUUAAGUAAAGUCUACCUUUCCUUUAUCCAAGCUUGGCUCUGCCUCCCCUUUACCUUAUUCUUAUUUUCCUUACCACAAUAGGGCUUAGGCUCCUGCCUUAACUGCUAGUUUCAAACUACCGCCCGGACAUACAAAUAUGAAUUCCCUUUCUCAGGACUAAGCUCCCCACUCCCAAUCUAAGACUUUGGACUUCCAUGCUUUAGUUCGCCCUUGCAUUCCUAUGUGCGAGUAACAUAAGUGAAAGAAUGCCAACUAAGAAGUAGGGAAUGAAACCAAUACUACUACUAAUAGUGGAAAUAGCAACUCGGAAUUAGACAAUCGGGGCCAACCCUAUUAAUGAAACUUCAACUACUAGGGAUCGAACUACGAAUAAGGAAUCCCACAAAUGCUUAGCAAACUCAAACAGGGGCAUGGGAAUCCACUAUUGGAAUGAAACUGCUGCUAACAAGGCUAACUACCUCACACCUGACUCUCCUUGGGUUAAGUCUCCCAUUUCUUCAUAUCAUUCUCUAAUUCCAGGAACGCCCCUCUCUCUGCUAGCUCCCGGGCUUACUACCUAUUCCUGGAGCCUCCCUUUCCUGUCUAUUAGCUUUAUUACUCUAUUCCAUACUACGCUAUAGGGGAUUAAACAGUGUCUAUAGGACUUAUGCCCUAACACUAAGACUUAUUUUACUGAACUGGGACCUUGCCUUACCGUCUAUUAGCCUUGCCUUACUUACAUCAUUCUUACAGUGCUUACUCUAUUAGCCUUGCCCCUUACUUACAUCAUUCUUACAGUCUUUGCUUUCGUUCCAACACCGCUUACUUGAUUUCUGGAACUAUGUAUGGGAUGAGAUUUGGAUCCUCGCUUCUUAAGAUGUAGUCUCCUAUUCCGGGCUAUCAAAUUGUAUCUCAGCUUUCAACCUACUACCACUAGGUUCAAUCCUGAUCGACAACCCGGGCUAACAAGAAAGAAUCCACGACGAAACUAAGGAACGGAACUACUAUACUACAAAUAAGAAGGAAAAACGAAUAAACAGGAACAGAACUACUAUACUCCAAAUAAUACUUAACUUUUGGGGAGCGUCUCAAACUAGUGCUAACAGGAAUUGAGCUGCUGGCAACCAAGCUAUAACACUGUAUUCACUAGACGAGAACUCAAAACUUGGGAUCUAACUACAGGUACCGAGACCUUCACUAUACUGCUUCUCAGAAUGCACUACUGCCACAUUAGAUUAGACCUGCCCACUGCUUGUAUUAGAAGUCAACUACUACACCCAUCAUAUGGAUAUUAGAAAAAAUGAAUUGCCUAUCCUAUGAAAAGAUCAGCCUCGCCUGUAGUAAUAAGAGUCUGAUCGGUACUAGUAAAAGCUUAAAGGCGAAUAAGCAAGCAUUAGAUUCAGUAGUUCACUGAGUUAACCUCGUGAUAGGUAUUGAAGGAACAAAUAUGAGAAUGAGAUCUAGUAGUGGAAGAGUGUAAGUUAGUUUGUAAGAAUGCGCUCGGUGGGUUUAUUGUAGACAUCCUUUGGAUCCGCGCUAUUCCACUUUAGAGUUAGGCAAAUCCGACUUAAAGAUAGUAGUAGCAGAGUGCAAGGCAGGCUUGAGGCAUGGAGUGGUAGAGCCAAAGCAGAGAGAGAUCCGGAUCAUUAGAUAAAGAGUAGAAGAUAGGCGUGUCAGGCCCAAGUAAAGGAUGGAAGUAGGACAGGGGCCAGCUACGAAAUGAAAGCAAUCCUCAGUACAUGCCUCCCCUAUAUUAGUCUGAUAAUACUGCCUAUUGGUUUGACUUGACUUUCUUUUCUUGUUCCACCGUUCUCAUAUACUGUAUUUCAAGUAUUGAUUCAGUGUCAUUUAUAUGAGAUUCUACCGAUCCGGAGCCUUACUUUACUAACGGAAAGGCUUGAACUACAAAUACAGAAGUUGACUCACCUGCCCAAGACUGCCCGGCAAACGGUACUAUCUACCUUACUUUCUUUUACUGCUGACUUUGAUUCUGAAAUUGAUUAGUUGCUUUCUUUGCUUCUUACUCUCUUGCUUAGAUGGAGCCUUGCUUACAAGGGUAUUUCUUAUUAUUAUCAUAUAGUAGAGUAGUUCACAUCACUAGUAGCAGACCAGUGUAGUAGUAGUAGUCAGUUCCCCAGGUAGUGUGUAUUAGAUUCGUUCCCCUACUCGCCACUCCCACUCCCUUGUUUCAGUCCGACUCCUCUUGGGUUAAGUUUUACUCCUCCGCUAAUAGGAAAUGAACUGCUGGCAAACAGGGCCUGAUUCUCAUCUUUGUUCUCAACCUGACAUCACUGCUUUUCGCUCCCUAACUACUGAAUCGGAUCCCUGCUACCUUGACACUUAGCCUGGGGCUUACCCUACUACCUUACAUACCUAACUACUGGAUUUGGAUUAUUACUACCUUUGCUUCCAUUCCAUUGCUCUUGUUCUUGCUUGCCCCUGUUGGGUCUUGUUGUGGACAUCUCUUCCUUGUUCGCUUUCCACCCUUUUGUCUUGUCCCUUUCUGGAGUUUGGAUUCCUUCUUUGUUUCCUUCCCCACAUUGGGCUCUUUAGUCUUGUUUCUGCUCGUCUUCUCUCCGCGUUAUUGUUCUGCCUCUCUUGCUCCUUUCCUCUGACUGUCAACACUUACUGUACGUUGCUUCCGGCUUGUUCUCAGCUAUUCCGUUCAGCUGCCCAGACUCUCCUAGGAUCUAAAUAGAAGAUAUUGGAACCCGCUUAAGUACCUCGGGAAUUCAUAGCAUAGUGUUUCAUAGCUCAUUCAUUGAGGUACGAUUAACUGGUCUAGUUUUUUGUGUAUUUAAACGUUAUUCUAUAUUAGAUUCUCUUCCAUCUUAUUUAGGGAAUUCUACUAAGAAACACCAAGUUCUUUUACGAUUUUGAUAAGGGCAUACUAAACCAAGUGAGUGAGCCUCCGAGUUCCGAGCUAGGGUUUUAUAAGCUGUAGGAGCAGGCGAGGGAGUUCGGCUCUGCCACUGCUUUAUUGCUACCUUAGUUUAGUGCUCGAUCUUGCAUUCUGUCUUGUUCAUUUCAUGAUGAAAUUAAGUACUCUGGUCUCCUAUUAAUAAUCCUUUGAAUAUAUCUAUCUGAAUUCUGAAACUAAUAGCUCUGGGCCUUGUGUUCCUAUUGCGCUAGUCCGCCCUGGCUUACUUUACUUCUUUGGCUAAUGACCUAAAAGCUGACCUUCCUUCCUACUAGUCUACCUAUACUUUGUUUGAGUUUGGCUUUACUGCCUACGCGAGCACAGCUACUAUACUACUAUGGGAAUACCACUUAUGAGAAUCAAAGACGGGUAACAAGGAUGAAGAGCGUUAGCCAAGCAACGUAUAACUCUAAGUCGGCCACAACCCCCCUUGAUCUUAUUCUUUUAGUUGGCCCUCGCUCUUUCUUUUAUUAAUCUUCCGCUAGCUCUGUCUAUAAGGCUGCCUCUCCUUUAUUUCAAACUCAAAUCACCGCUUCUAAUACUUUAUAUUAGAUCGGACCACUGCUUCCAAGGCUGCCCUAUUGCCAAAGCACCCUUUACCGACUAUCGGGCUAUCCGUGUUUUCAAACUGUAACUACUGCCUUACGCUUUUAGUUAACCUUCUAUUGCAAUGUUUUAGUAUCAAUGGGCUAGGUUAUGAUCUAGCAUAGUAUCCGAUUUAGAUCAGGAAUACAGGAUGUGGGUGUUGAGUCUCGUAGGCAGAUUGUAGCUAGCAGCAAUAGUAGAGAUCAAUCCAAGAAGACAGAAUGGAACUAACCAGUAAAAGAAUCAGGGGUGAAAUCGAGUUUUAAAGAGAGCAGUGCCAGGCCCGGAGCUAGCUUAAGGGUUAAAGCCCGUGGGGGGCAGACCAGCAAUCGAGCUAUGCAGAACAAAAGAGAGGAAAGGUCGCCUGAGAUGUAGCAAAGUAAGCCCGAGAGGCAGGUUAGUUAGGUGUAUCGAAAGUAUUGGAAGGGUUGUAGUUGGGAGUGACAUACUCGUUACUCGGCUCGGACAGCGAUACCAAAGAGUCAGUUUCAAAGCAAAGAUAGUGAGAGUUGGAGCAAGCAAAGAAAGGCUUGGCUCCUGGGGGAGAUAGGUCCGUUUUCUAUUGCUGAUAGUAAGGCUUGGGCUACUACAGUGCAUUCUGAUUAGUCAUAGUAUAAUUAAGUGCCAGACAAAUAAGGAUCAAAACCAGCAGCUAAAGAACUCAAGUCAUCAGUUGAGGAAUAAUAUGCAGUAAGUAAGAAUGAGGUUUAAGCUAAAGAAAGCAAGUAAGUAGCGGGAGGGUUUGAUUGAAGUAAAGAGUUAAGGCGGUAGGGCUGUUGAUACUGGUCCUGUUCAUGUGCUACUGAGUCCAAUUCUAAUAGUCAAUAGUCAAGUUCUGGUAGCAGCAAGUGGAAUUCAAAGGUGAAAUACAACUUUGAAGCAGGGGCGUAAGAGUGAGAUCAGGAGAUAAAGAAUUGAGCGUGGGAAGGGAGUUCGGAGUGCCGGGGCAGUAAGUAAGGCUUGGCAUGUACCUAGAUAAGUAGAUAAGUAAGGUUCUAACUCAACCAUAAGAAUAAGAUAAAGUCAAGUAAGCCUAGAUCCCAAGCUAAAGAAUUCCAAUAAGUAGUCAGAGUUUUCAAGCGUAGAUGCUGUUUUCGAUCAAGAGGUAUUAGACUAAACCAAAUACUAAUAGGAAUGGAAGGGAGAAAACUGUACUAGCUCAUAGCUCAUUAAUAUAUAUGGAAUUAGUUACUUACUCUCUAUGCCUUCGGGUGCUGAAAGCCUUAAAGACGGGUGAGGUAGUCUUAGAUAAAGUCAGAAAAGCAAGGCUAUUUGCCAGUAGCCCUUUUCUUGUUAGUAGCGGUAUCAGAACGGAGAAGCGAGAAGGAAAGCAAGGCCCUAACUCGAACUACGGAACGAUAUAAAGUAGUUUCGGACUAAAGAGAAGCUAGGCAUUUGUGUUGAAGGCGGGAGUGCCGGAGUGAGCCCAGUAAGUAAAAGAGUCAAAGUCAGUAACUAAGGAAUGAGUUCCGAGCCGAGGUCUCAUAAGUAGGGUUUCGUUUCGUACUGAUAGCCGGGAAAAGGGCGGGCCCAUAGGUGAAAUACAGAAUUGAGUCGCUAAGUCAAAGAAUCCAAAUAAGUAGUUCGACCCGGUAGAUAGUAAAUAAAGUAUGAGUUCCGAGUUCUCUUCUUAUAGUUACUUGGCUGAGUGUCUUGUAGUUACUUGCCUAGUGCCUUGGCGGUCGAACAAAGGACUUGUAGGCCUGAAGCUAACUGCCGCACAACUAAGACUCCCCACGGGUAGGAGAGUCGUUCGAAUAGCUUUCAAACUCACAUAGCUUGUUGCUUCUGUAACUCCUUACGCUCUGGACUCGGGCUUGUAUUCAAGGAGCAAAGGCCUUACUCUAUUCCCCAAUCCUUUCUCCCCAGUUCCGCACCUGUCUUUGGUACGAGAAGAGCUAGUCUCUCUUUUCUUUCCUAUUCUAUAAUAGAGUCGAGUAAAGUAGACUUCUUAUUUGACUCUUUACUGGCUCACUUAGCUUAGCAAGACAGACAACGAAAUUGAGACUUCACCCAAUAAUCUAAACUCACAGCAGCAUUGGCUUCCUAAAUAACUCUCUGACUUCAAUUGAUCAUAAGAUUCAGAAAUACAGGAAAGGUGAGCUUACGAAACGAAAAGCGCUGCUGACUCCUUACUUUACUCGGGGCAGGGAGACGUAAUUGGAAUCUCGGGCCCGGCAAAUAGUUAUCUUGGCUUUUUCUCUCAUGUAACUCUUUCGUCCCUCGCUUCUUCGACUUGAUAUGUGACGAGAGACUUCCACUUUAUAUGUAUAGUCACUUCUUUUAGGAGUUUCGGAUUUGAAGCAAGACUUUGUUAACCAGAUUCCAUAGCUACGGAUUCUUUCCACCCAUACUAACAAACGAACCUAAAACCGAUGCUGGAAGAAUUGGAACUAAUUGUGCCACAGUCGAGCGUUUCUGUCCUGCGUGGAGGCUUCACCUCUAUUCCGUAUUGAAAGUCUGUAUUGAAAGCUCCAGCACAACUCACUCUUAGCUUCCUUAGUAAUUAAGAUUGCUUGUUCUCUCUAUAAUAGAUCUAAGUUCUUAAUCUGAAUUGUUCUCUUUUGCAUAAAACAUAUAAGCAUAGCAUAGGAAAGUGACUUCUUCUUAUACUCCACUCUACUUAAGAAAAGAAUCCUAUUAUACCCAACUACACUGAAGAAAAGAAUAUAAGUCAAAUUGAGCCCUUGUUUGCUUGGAGAUACCUUCUACUUUAUACCUACCCUAGCGAGAGCCCUUCAAGAUGUUAACAAAUAAGAUGUUCUAGAGGAGGAUGUGCGUCAUGGAAAGUGAAAGAAUUGAUUGAAUCUCACUCGCUAAUAUAGCCUUAUUACCUUAACCCCCUUAUAUACUCAACGAGCUUCUUGAUAUGAUACAACACCUUUCUACUGGACCUCGACCAGAAACAUCAUUUCCUGCGGAAGACGAGCCCCGGUAUAUAAAGAAGUAAACACACUGCAACAUGAAACUGCCCCCGCGGAGUCUGUCUUGCCUAAAGCAUUUGUUUCUUGUUCCGAGUCAAACAGUCAAGUCAUCUUUCGAGCAUCGCAUUAACCCUAGCUGUAAAGACUGUUGAUCCGAAGUCAAUUCCUAUUAUUCUGAACUCGAUGCUCUACGCGGAAUGUCCACUUCCGACAGCGCUAAGUCUUGAGCAACAGCCAAAUAUAUUAAUUAUAUAAGAGAGAAAUACUCAAUAUGCAGAGUAGGCGUACCCUAUUCUAAUAUGAAUCAUUGGCAACAGGAUCAGAAACAGAAUCAUCAGCCUUAUAAGUAUCUUCAGCGGGAAGUAAAGGAGAAGUCGGAAAAAGGUCAUCAUCUAUUCAUUAUUAAGCGUUAAGUCAUGCCAGGCCAAAACCCAGAAGCAGUGGCGCCAGGGAGAGUUGUUGAAUGAGGGGAAGCUGUUCCAGUAUUGCAUUUGGUAAUAAGAGAGGAAGAGGUUAAGGCGAGUCAUAAUAGGUGUGAUAAUCAGAGGAAGAGGUUAAGGCGCUUGAUCUUAGACGCUUUACGUCGGUAUAGAGAGAUGAUUGGCUGAGCGAGUUACGUCUAGGUCCGGUUAUUGGCUUGACUUGAAUCCUCUCGGUUAUUGGUUUGACUUGAAUCCUAUAUAAAUCGAAAUGAAUGAUCAUCUCAACUGCGCCCUGAGUUAAGGAAAGGAAUAGUCUAAAGGAAGCAGCAAGCCCUAAGUAACGUUCGAGCACAACUUCUCUAACACGCUUCAUUAGUAUUGUUUGGCGACGAAAGAGGUUAUUGGCAGAGCGGGGAUAGUGUUAUCAACUCGAAUUGCCUGGCCUGAUUCUUAGUGCCCUACUGUAUCCUUUGACAGCUAGAGGAGGUCUAAGAACCGGGUAAGUGCAAUUCCAUUCAUAACUUCAAGUCGAGGUCGGGGUCGGGCGUUAAGCAAGAUAAGAGAGAUAUUCCGCAAUUCGAGUGCUACUUCAUUAAUACGAUUGGCUUUCCCGAGUUUAGUAGUGAGCGGUUCAGAACAUAAAGUAACGUUCGAGCAUUGUCAGCAGUGAGAUCCGUUAUUGGCUCUAACACUAAGUCCAGAGUUCUGGUUUGUGAACUUGGAGAAUUGCCUUAUUGUCCCCACCGCUCAAGAGAAAUAGAAAAAGCUUCCUUGCUUCCCUAUAGAUCCAUCUUAUCUCUCAGGUAUCCAUAGGAAUAAGUCCAGGUUCAAAUAGAGAAAAAGGUGUUAUUGAAUUCCAUACGCGUAAAAAUAGAUGAAAAGGUGUUAUUGAAUUCCAUACAAGCAGUGGGCUCUCCAAUUCCAUACUUAUAUGACAUGCGAUAAGAUCCCGAUCCUGUUUCAUAUCCAUCUCCGGAUCCAGUUUAUACAGUUGGUGUUCCGCUACCCUUCUCAUCUAUCGCGGUCAGAUCAACUCCCAUUGCUUAGUACGCAGGCAAAAGAAAAGCCAUUAUUCAUAAAGUUAUUGGAGUAAAGAGAAGCAAGCAGUGAGUUUCUAGUUCGCCACACUAAGGGCGUUAGGGUUGCUGGAACAAGCCCUUGUUAUCGUUGUUCGAGACGGGACGCUUACGGCUUAUUGACUUGUGCAUUAGCUUAUAGGUUUGAUGGGUGUGCAUUAGCUUAUAGGUUUGAUGGGCGCUAUAUCUGUUUCGGGGCGCAUUAGAUUGACGGCUUGCUUGGACCACAACUAGGUAUUGGCUGUAACCUCUAUCUACGAGAUCACUCGCACCAAAAUAGACUCUACUGAUUGACUUACAAAUAGACUCUACUGAUUGACUUACAAAUAGACUCUCUCGAUUCACUUAGGUGUUUAUAAGCUGAAGACUUGACCGCUACACCUGCCCUGCUUUGCUUACCGCAGCACAAUCACCUCUAUCUACGACAAGGGAAGGAGCUGAGCUGGACAAUCUGUUUACUACUUUGACACUGAAUCAUCACUUACCGACACUAAAACCCAAAGAAACUCCACUUGAACUUGAAUACGAAACUAGAAACUGAGUAUUGCCAAGAGCGGAACCUCUCUAGACGACAAAGACAAGAACGGAAAGAGACUCCAGGCCAGAAGCGCAGCGUGAGCUUGAUGGUUAAGAAGAGAGGAUUGCUGUCAUUGAACUUGCACCGAGUCACCCAUGAAACCAAGGAAUCUAUCUUGCGCCAAUCGAGCACAAAGCUCCUCACGCGCAAAGUAUCGUCGGUGGCAAUAUGACCCCCUACUCUAUAUGAUCUGGCAAUACCUCUGAUUCUGAAAACGAUGAAGCAUACCCGCUUGCAACAACAGAACUCUAUGAGUAGUUUGAUGCUUACUUUCUUUCUACGGCCUCCUCUUCUCCCGCUGAUGCGGAUUCUCUGUCUUCCCUUGCAUAGCUUGUUGAGCUCGAGCAUCAAAGUCAUAGUGCCGUUGCUUGUUCCGUAGCUGGUUGACUCGCUUCACUCAUAUAGAUAUCUUUCUGGAUUUAUCAUAUAGAUAUAUUUGUUGAUUUAUUAAGUACUUAGCACUCCUUCCCUGACCGCUACGUGGGCAUGAGAUAAUAACCCAAACCUCUCUUUACGCUCUACAAAACCUCUCUCGUAGACGCCAAGAACUAUACGAAACUACUAUGACCGCACCAAACAAGCAACUCCGGACUCUAGCCUUUCCCUAACAAAACAUAUGACAGCUGGCUCUAAUGAAUUGAAUGGAACUGACUAAGAAAGCAGAACCUAUUCGUAUUCGUAGGUGUAGAAGGGGUAUAAGAGCGAGCGUAUAUGUUGGUGCGCAGGUGAGUGAAGUAAUAUUUUAUGGUGCGCCACUCAAUCAGUUACUAUAUGUUUGUGUUCUAAAGUCAAAAGGUGUUUGGUGCCUCUUGCUUAAGUACUGGGUUGAACAAAGUAAUCAAUUCAUGUAAAGUGCAAACAAGGGUAUAACAAAACAAACAAACUGCAGUUUGCCUCUUCCUAUCAUAUUGAGUGUAUUCCUAUCAUAUUGAGUGUAUAGGGUGCUAACUCGAAUGACUAUAAGGUAGGCAGUCUUGGUUCUUAUUUGAGUUUCGGAGUUUAACUUAAAUGCAAUUGAACUCUGCUUUAAGAAAAUAUCACUGACACCUUACUUAUAGAAAUUAGUAACAAAACAAAUCAUUGCUUCAAAACAGAACUCCGUAAGUGCUACUUCUAUUAGACUAAGUAAGCUUGUAAGCGUAAGCUUGUUUGCUUGUUGGCGAAGAGAGCGCUCAUCGUAUAGAAUUGAAGUGAAAACCAUAGCAUAGCUCUUGUUCUAUAAUAUGAAUAGAUAGCAUAGCUCUUGUUCUAUAAUAUGAAUAGAUAUAAGUGCUCUAACUGACAUCUUUUAGAGUGCUCUAAACAAACUGGAAAUCUUGAAGAACGAAUGUAGGCACCCGCUUCUAUACUUGACUAUUGAAUGGAAUUCACCUAUACCUAAAGGAUUCCGACUAGGAGAUGAUCUUCCAUUAUCAUAGAACUACCGGUACCCUAAUGGAGACAUACAUUAUUUAUGCUAGGCACCCAAUAGUAUCAAAUAAGAAUUGGAUAAAGAAGAGAAGAUAGUGCGGCACACCUAUUAGAGAAGAGAGUAACCCACUAGAACACUAUGUAUUUUGAAACUCACUGAACUAAACUCACUAGUACAUAUAAGUGAAAUAGUCACCAUUAUUCUACUCAACUAUCUUAUGCUUAUGGACUUCCCGCUCUGGUCAGGUAACUUUUAAUAGGAAGAGGAAAUCGUACUUACAGCCUACAUAGAAAGGUAGUAAAGGGGCAAGUGGGUCAAGGGGCAGCUAGCUCGACUCCAUCCCUACCAAGGCCUAAGCCCUUUUCUUUUCUUUUGGUGGACGGUCUUCAAUAAGUCACGCGUUCGCCUAUCCCGUAUACCGAGCGAGGAGACGAAAGAGAUAGACCGAAAUCUCCCUUCACGUUCGGCAGUAGGCAGAAAGCAGUAACUAGCAGGGGUAAGUUCCCCUUGGCAUAAUGCAUUCCAUCUGUCCUGAGUUUCCUUGUGAUCCAGCCAUUCCGCUAGAAAAAGAGAAAGAAAGCGAGUGGCGCUAGCGAGGAGAGACUUGGAUUUCGCCCGGAGCCCAUUCAUGUGGCAGUCCCUGUUUAAAGUAGCCAUAGGGUUACCGUAUCAGGCCAUUGAUAAGAGUCUCCACAACAGGAAUUGCUCCCGAGCACAUAGCAAGUAAUAAAUCAAUUCGAACAGCACAGGAACUAGCGGCCCCUUUUUUCACUCGCUACCGUUUAGCUCACUUCCUACCGCCCAGAACACAUCUAUUGUAAUAAAAAGAGUGGAGCGGCAGGAGUUCUCCCGCACAAAGGCUUGGUUUACUCCACAGAAAAUCCAUAAUGGAAUGGAAUUAUUAUAAUGAUCAAAAAAGAUGAGAAUUGACACUCUACUUCUUCCUAUUAGUUUAUAUCGGUGUAGUAAUAAGGAAAGUCAGCCUAACAAUCAAGCAAGCAAGGCUCUAAGGGUAACAUUCCAUAAAAUAUUUCAUAAUUCCAAACAGUAGUACCGGGAACAAGUACAGACCUUUCCGCGAGGAGAAAGAUUUGAUCCCCCGCGUUUUAGUUUGAAAGCCAGGUUCGAGAUAGAGUGAGCGUAACAAGUAAGAUUGACUACCUGCUUCGAGAUAGAGUGAGCGUAACAAGUAAGAUUGACUACCUGCCCUGGUAUUCUAUAUAAAUCACCCAUCAGUACAGAAUGACAGAGGUAAUUAUAACACUAGCAUGGACCCCACGGGCGUUGCGGGGACAACUAGAGAUAUUAGAUCGGGAGCGGAAGAGCUUGAACUCAGUCUAAAAGUGGGGAUCAACGAGUGAGCGGAAAGAAAACCUAAGACGGUAGAAACUAAGCCCCGCCCAAUGGCAUUGAUGAAGUGCCCCGCCCGGUGGCAUUGAUGAAGUGCUUCUCUUCUCCCCGGGCAUCGAAUGUACCUCGGGCAAUAUCGUUAAGUUAAUGAAUUGGGCCAACGUGCUGCAUUGGGACAACGUGGUCUUGCUUGGUCGACGUACUCACCACAUAACCGAGGCGGAAACAAAGCAAAAGGCGACACAGAGGUAUUUCUUGUCAAGGUCUAGUCGAAACUUAGGACGUAGUGGAUCAUUAACCUAUUCAAUGAAGGUCGGUCCCCAGGCCAUGCUACGAUGGUCCCACCACCAGGCAUAGAAUGUACCUAGCGCAUCCCCAUUAAUAGAACCUCGGGGCAUCCCAUCCGCAUCUGUUUAUUGGGGUGUUCCUGUAUUGGUUUCCUCUCAUUACCGACCCAUACCCAUACCUAUAAACUGACCUUCUCCUUACCGAACUAUACCUAUUCUUCCCAAACUCCACCUUGAAUUCUCUUGAUUGAUACUACCUUUCAUUCCUAUUUGUCAUUUACAACCGGGUGGCGUGCUCCCCACUAUACUCUAAUCCUGAAAUCAGAUUUCUCCCACUCCUAGGGCCCUUGUAGCGUUGGUGAAAUGGUAGCUUAUAGCUCUGCCCUUCCUUAUGAAGCGGAAAGAGGUCGAGAUGCGGUGUCUACUCAUGAACAUCGGCGAGGAGACGCUGUGCAUACUUUCACCCUUGUCAUUUCUCUAUAUCUAUAUGAUUCCAGUCAAGAGGUGUGGGCCUUGCCAUGCAUAUAAGUAGGCAGGGAAAGGGGAAGGUUGGCGGUUGGGUCCCCUUAUUAUAUUCUAAACGAAAGCACUACCGUGUAGUCCAAUUAAGAUUCUUAAAUGAAGUGCAACCUAUAAGAGAACGACAGAAUCAUAGUCCAUCACAAAGCCAGGAAAGGAAAGACUACUGCCAAUACGACUAUUCCAGCUUUCUUUCCGGCUUGACUAUUCUAUUCCAUACAUACGUGUGACCGUAGGAGAAUUUCACCUGUUGACUUUGGCCAGAGCAUAAGAGCUAAUAGACCAGAGCGGUGCUUUCCCGAUUUCGAUAGCUAAUACGACGAGAAGGCUCUGACAAGACCAUAACCCCAUUAAAUAUUAAGAGAAGGAAGAAAAGCAAUCCGCCCAGGGAGACUCUGUAGACCGUUAGACUCGUGCUUCUGUUGGCUGUUGGGAAGUACUGCGUUUCACUUAUCAAAACAGAGGAGAGAAACCUGUUACCGUAGGAGGCUUUCAGCACCUUGACCUUGUUGAAGUUAUGAAUUCCCUAUCUUGUCCGAACUAUAGUUGAAUAAGAAUAAUAGAAUGCUGUUUAAGAGUUGAAGACCGCUCCCUUGUAGAGAAUUCGAAUACCUUAGUUGAAGACCGGAUAGCAGGGUGUCAGAGAUUCCAAAGUCAGUAAAGUGUCUUUCCCUACUCUUUUAGUCUAGUCGUUGCUUGGCCUUUUGCUUUUCCUACUUUGAGUGCUUUCUCAGAAUACUGGAAUAGUUAAUAUACAUACUGAUACGCCUAUAUCUUUGACUCAUCUUGUCCUACUCUGCUCUGUAAAUAGAGUGCCUUACUCUAGGACUAAUAAUAGACUUUCCAUAUACCUCUUAAGGGAAUUAGGAUCCGUGGGGCAUCUUCCGUAACAUAAUUCUUUUUCAAUGUUAGGUAUUUUCUUGAUUCUCUUUUAAAAGAUGAUUAUCUCGCCGGUGAACCAAGAAUCAAGUUGGAAGUUAUUAUUUUCAUACAGUCUUAUACGGCUUUCACAGGCUUGGUAGUUUGGAAGGAACUAUUGAAAUUCCCAAGGUUGCUAUACGAUCAAAGCAUACAUUCGAGGAAGAAGAGAAAGAUAGUAACUUGUAAUAUUCACUUAACUUGAAGAGACUGAGAUAAAGAUGAGAGUACACAGUAAGUAAACUCGGAUUCGAAACAAGGCAAAUAAACUAUCUCUUGCUCCUAAAGCGCCGGAAGGCUUGGUAGAUAUUAUAGGCUUGGCGAUGCCGUCGAUGGCGAUGAAAGAGGAAGGAAAGAAACCUCCCUAGUUGCAUAGAUUUGACUUUCUACUAACAAAGGGAUUAGAAUCCGCAUAAGAAAAAGGAAGCAUAUAAUAUAGUGUUUGUUAGAUAGUAAGGUAACAAGUAAACCAAUAAUCUAGUAGGCUAGUAAGGUAACAAGUAAACCCAUGACUAUUUCAAUUCUGACCAUAAUGGGAAUGGUUCGGUUGCCCCGCUUAAUACGCCCUGAGGAAUUCCUACCAGCAGACUUCCCUGUACUCAAAGUUCAUUGUCUAAGUGCUAUCCGGCUUUGUCUCAUUGUCUAUCUCGUAAUCAUUCGAUUCCGUAUCAGUACGAAUUAGCUCCUCUUACUCCUCUGUUGGUCCUUUUUUGAACAUUCAUCAUCCUAUUGGGCCUAGGUUCUUUCAGUUCACAUUGGAUUUCUUACUAAUUACUAAUAAGUGAAUCGAUUCGUAGCACUUUCUAAAGGUUAAUCGCUUAGCUAAAGACAUGGUUUUUUACAGGUUUGUUUUUUUCAAAGGUUAUGAGUGGAGGUUUCAUUCUUUUUCUGAGGUGUCCUAUUCUUUUUUUACAUAAAGGAUUCUCUUACAAAUCUAAGAAAAAGCGAUAAGAAGGGAAAAUCCAGCUACUAGACCAACAAUCGAGAACCGAUUAAGCUGACCGAACCUAUGAAUACAAAUACUGAGGGGAUGAUAAUAUGGAAAUAACCAAAGAAAAGAGAUACUCGUUCAGGGGCAUGUCCCAGGUAAAAGCAAUUAAUCCAAUCGGUGAAAGCAUGUAAGCGCUACAAGCUGGCAGGAAAUCGUUUUGGUCAUACCGUACGUAGUAGAUGGCACUUAUCGACUUGGUGAAAUGCAUUUGACCGACCGCAUGGACUAUCUUUAAAGGAUUGAUUUUCUCCUUUAUGAAAUUAUUGAGCGCUACCUUACCUCUUCCAGUAAGGGGCAACAGCAUCGGCUACUAAGGGGCGGGCAAAUCGUUUCUAUGGGGCCUAUCUUUCCGGUUCUAGCUUUUCUCAUCGGAAUAACUAGAUCUGCCUUUCGAUCAAAGAGGUGCUGUAGAUGUAACACCAACCAAAUCUCCAUUCCUAACAUCCUAGCAAAAAAGCCAUAAAGAAACUAGCAUACCAAUAGAAAUACUACCUUUCAUAUAGCUUAGCAAUCCAUACUUCUAUUUUCCAUUUAUAGUUACAGUUACAGGGAUAAAUGACUCUACAAUCAAUCCAAUCAGUCUCUCUUUAUCCAGCAAGAAAAAGCGAGAGUACUCAGGCCCGGUGAGUCCAAGUGAGUCCAACUUCCCAGAUCGGAUUAGCUCUCGUUCAAGAAGCCUAGCCUUCUUUCGUCAAGGCUGUUGAGGUUCAGCUUUCCAGCGAAUAGAGAAGUUUGGCAUGUACCGAACCUGGCCUCUUUUCCUAAGUGAAGUCGACGAGGGAGAAGCUUUGAAGUUGAUUGGCAAUCCCACUUAUGAGAGGUACCUAAGCCCCCAUUGUCUUUUAUAUUAGUAGUGCCCUUCCUCCUUAGCAGCUUACAUGUGUCCAAUGCUCUUCCUCCGUGUCUAGUAGGAAGUCGCGACCCUGCCCUUUCUUUUAUAGAUAGAGGAAUCUCCAAGUGAUCCGAUUUGGAGAGGAAUCUCCAAGUGAUCCGAUUUUCCGGUUCAAUAAGGAAAUCAGAGCCGUGUUUUCAUAAAUAGGCUAUACAAGUUCGAAAGUGAAGAUGCCAAAGAAGCUAACCACUAUAAUCCUAGAAAAGGGAGCCUAAAUGCAGCUGAUCCGCUUUUAGAGUCAUUAUCCUUUUUUAUUGAAUGGACCCGGAUGAUCCCUCUUUAUUAUAACUCCCAGUUCGUUUCUCAUUUAAGUCUCAAACUUGGUCGUAUCAUCGAUGGAAGAGAACACAUCAUCUUAUCUUUGCCCUCUUUUUAAGGUUUCUUUUCAGUAGUAUUCGGGUAUACUGCUUCUCUUUUUUGAAUGAAGGGCGCAGUAGGACGGACUAGGCCUUCUUUGGCAGUUCCAGCGGCUACAAGGGCUAAAGGAGUACUGGACGGAGUGGAAAGCACAGACAGCCUAUAAAAAGCAAGUCAAGUCGACAAGAGAAGGUGAAAGGCCAAUCGAAAGAGUGGCUGGACCACACAUGUGUUGUGGAUAAGGAGUGGGUCUUAUGUGAGUCUAGGCAGAAGCUCAAACUCCAAUCGGUCCCGUCAGUCCUGUCUAAUUCCUUCCAUUCCAUGGGUCCUAUCGAACAAGGGUUUCUGGAAUUACUUACUUUUAGGAGAGGAGCGGAAAGGAUAGAUUCUGGGAUCACUCAAUGCUUGGAUGGCUAAAGAAGCAAAGGAAUAAGGUGGCAACUCCACAAUAAAAGGUAGAGGAAAUGCGCGGGGACUUCCCUUAUGCAGAAGCAGAUUAGAGCCAAUGGAGACAUGGCAGUAAUAAAAGGCUUUGGCUAGAUAGACCGGAAACCCUGACCUAUAGAAUGAUAAUGGAAAAAAGGAUGGUAGGGAGCUAGAGCUGGAUAACCGGGCUGCUAGAGCGCUGAGGCCACAAAGGAAGCUAAAAGAUCAAGAGCAGAGGUCAAAAGAGAAGAGAAGAAGAACUGCCACUAUGUAAAACAAAGAGACUGCUAGGUUAUUGACCGAGCCUGAUCCUGAGUUGUUGUGGUUGGUAUGCGGCAUUGUCUUAGGCUGUUGCUUACCGAUUAGCCCGGCCUACGCCUGAUCUACGACCACCCUUUACCUACCAGAGUCAACACUCCGGAAAUAAGUCAAAUCAAAUGUGUUGAGCAUAUAGCUAUAGCUAACGUUUCUGCUUUCUUUGCUUGGACGGAAGAUAUUAUUAUUUCCUAUGCUCCCCAGCUAUAGAGUCUGUAUUCAGUAUAGUAUUGGUCUAAAGUUGAUGUGUAAGAGGGAAGCCCCCUACUAAGAUGAUAUGGAAAUAGGCGCCAAUAUACCGUGCUCGACCGGAAAGUGCAUUCCCUUUCUCGACUUAAAUAACUUACCAACAGAAUUAGAGAGAUAGUAAUUCCGAACUCAUGGGGGACUUAGAAAGUUCCUAAAGAAAGAGAACGCUUUCAGCACCUUAGACAAUAAAGCCUUACUUAGUAUUAUUUGGUUUCCCCGAGAAGCUAGGCCCCCAAAGGCUAAGUGUAAGUUCUUCUAGUAAGGAAUGGAAUAAUGUACUUUUCGAAGCAAGCCAUUGCGGAUCAUCUUGUUUGUUUUUCUUUUAUCUGAUUGACAACCCUGUGUUCGACUGAUGCCAUAGAUAGAAUAUGCACCUCCGUAUGCUUUCCUUCCCACUCACUGGAUAUAUAAUGUAUAGUUCCAUAAUGUAGAGUUCUAUAAUGUAUAGUUAAUAAGAGAAGAAAGAUCCAUUGAUCACGUUAAGUGCACAGAGCUAUACCCCGGUUGGUAGCUUUUCGCCCUACCUCUUUUCGCAAAGACCCUUUUAUUGUCCCUAGAUAGAGCACGUUUAUGAACCUAUCAUAGACUAUAGAUAUAGCAUGUUUAUGAACCUCUCAUAGAUAUGCGUGUGAUCAAAGCCUUAACCUCUCAUAGAUAUGUGUGUGAUCAAAGCCUUUCGGGCGGAAUAAUCUAUUACACCGGAGUAAGGUAGGGUAGCUAACGAUUGGAAUGCUAAUUCCCUAUUUGCUACUAGAUUGAAUUAGUAGUAAGCCGCGUCAGUCACCCCGAGUCAGUAAGUUGAGACAUAAGUUCUCCCUUUCUGGUUUGAUUACUCUAUUCCAUUUAUUUCAGAAAGAGAGGUAAGGGUACGAGUUCCUUACAAGUAUUGUAGCGAGUAGAAUAGAGCUAUAGAGGUAGAAUCGAUGUCAUUUAGACCGAAGGGAUCGUUUUUUAGGCUUCGCGAUAAGUCCGUUUUGCUUCUAUCGCACUGGUUUGGGAAGGGGAUAAUAUUGAAUAACCUAAACCUUUACCUUUGCUGCGCAGACAUUGUAUAUUUUAGUUAGACUGGAGUGAAAGGAAUCUGAAUUGGAGUUAGUGAAAUCAGUCGACAGCACCUAUUCCACAUAGAAGGAUUUUAUGGCGGACUUAACAUAGCCUAUCAGAUAUAGAUCAGUAUACUAAAGCCUUAACUAUGUGUGAAGCAAGUGACUUUUCCAGCCAGUAUCCGUAUUAGAAAGCGAGUCAAAGCGGAGCUUACCUGUGAAGAAAGCCAUUUUCUUUUUAGCCUGUUGCUGUCCUUCUAGUUUCUUGGAUUUUCCGCCCUGUCGGCUUUGGAUUCUUCUAUUUUCCCCUUGGUGUAGGAGAGGAGGACUUUUCUAUGGUCUAUGGAAUGAUGUAUAGGUGGCAUAUAGCGUAGUAGAAUAUGGCCUGAGGCUUGAAUACUCAACCUUUCCACUGUGCCUUUGAAGGAGCGUAAACUCUAGGGCCGAUCCUUACUAGCGACAAGUAAACUCUGGGGCAUAUCCUUACUAGCUAAAAUAAGGAGCUGUCAAAAAGCUAGCUAAAAUAAGGAGCUGUCAAAAAGCUGUGUCUUUACAAACGACUUCUAUACACCAUGUGCUCGAGAGAUGAAAUAAGUAGAAUUCUACUAGAAUACCCAUUUCCAAUUAGAUCUUAUAGGCGCAAAAGAAAGAGAGAGAUUCCAUUCAAAUGAAACAAGGCGAGCAAAAGAUUAAGCGCGAGGCUCCGCAAUAAGAUCUUAUACCUAAACUUAUGCUUCAGAAAACAGGACUAGCUUAUGACUCAGAAAACAGGACUAGCUUAUGACUCUUACUAUAUGUUUAGUGGAGCUCCUAACGCCAAUACAAAAUCUUUACUUGUUAGUCAUUAUGCACAUUAUGCGUACCUUAUUAUUAAUAUGAAGGUAUUUCCACUACGCAUACAACAUGGAAUUGAAAACUCCCUAUUGCCUUGCCUCAAACCAGGCCGUAAAUGAGUACUUCGAGAAACUUCUUCCAGAAAUGACCAAUAGAUAUAAACGAGAAACGGAACGAAUAUAGGAGUAAUAGAGGCUGUGAAACCAUACUUUGCUACAGUUAACAAGGUUGGUACCUAUGUUAGCGAAAGGACAAAUCGAGAGGCUGAUAGAGUUUGAUUAGAGAUACACCAGUCCUUGUCAGGCGGUACCGAUGGCAAAACUAGUGUCCAGAGAAGUCACCCUGGAGCCCAUAGUUCCUAAGCACAAUGAGACUCACCAAGCAAGCCGGGGUUAGCGAGAUCAAAAGAGUAGCCUCGAAUGCAGGCCAGAGAUCUUAUUUAUAAAGGAAUAGAAUGACCUCCUGCUCUCCUCUCAUUGAUGCUGUAAACCGAAGGAAGUAUUACUGGCCUAUGCGGGGGAGAGUUCCGAUGUUCAUUCGCCAAGUCCANNNNNNNNNNNNNNNNNNNNNNNNNNNNNNNNNNNNNNNNNNNNNNNNNNNNNNNNNNNNNNNNNNNNNNNNNNNNNNNNNNNNNNNNNNNNNNNNNNNNNNNNNNNNNNNNNNNNNNNNNNNNNNNNNNNNNNNNNNNNNNNNNNNNNNNNNNNNNNNNNNNNNNNNNNNNNNNNNNNNNNNNNNNNNNNNNNNNNNNNNNNNNNNNNNNNNNNNNNNNNNNNNNNNNNNNNNNNNNNNNNNNNNNNNNNNNNNNNNNNNNNNNNNNNNNNNNNNNNNNNNNNNNNNNNNNNNNNNNNNNNNNNNNNNNNNNNNNNNNNNNNNNNNNNNNNNNNNNNNNNNNNNNNNNNNNNNNNNNNNNNNNNNNNNNNNNNNNNNNNNNNNNNNNNNNNNNNNNNNNNNNNNNNNNNNNNNNNNNNNNNNNNNNNNNNNNNNNNNNNNNNNNNCUGACCUUGCUGUUAUAGCAAUUGAAGAGGCAGCUACUGGUUUUCUCAGGAAACUUAUACUCCCCCAUGGGAAGCACUCACCACUCCAACAAAUGGCUCCGGCUGGAAAGAAACUAGAAUUCAAAGCCACGAGGAGAUAGAAGGAUUGGAACUUAAGGGGUUAUCAUUCGAAAUGCAAUAGGGUCAUCGAUAGAUGAAGGGUAUAUGGGUUGGUUAGGAAACACUUUCGAGUAAGAGACAAGGGCGGAUACUUACAUAUUAAGUUAGUCCAGUCCUUCUCUUUCACCCUCGGUAUCUUAUCUAGUUCGAGAAGCAUUUGAAGUGAAGCAAAAAGAUGUACACUAUUGGAAACUUUCUUAUGCUAUUAUAGAAUUACCAUUUCGAAAAUUCCAUAUCUGCCCUUCUUCCCUAAGGGGACUGCCUACAAGGGAUAAGUAGGGGAAGAAAGUAGAACUUCUAACUCCAUAUAAUAUAAGCAAACUUGGUUUACAAGAAAGUAGCAAUGGAAAAACACUAUGAUAAUAAGAACUCGUAUAGUCAUAUUAUAGAAUACAUAGAAAUAUAAUAAGUGAAGAGGAAUGCUUCAUUGCCAACUCUNNNNNNNNNNNNNNNNNNNNAACGUUCGACUUCUUUGAAAGGAGAAGGGCUGUUGUUCUUCUACGGUUUAGAGAGCAUUACCAAUUAGCUCCUAGUAGCUCUUAGUGGAUAGCCGGUAUACUUUCCCAACAACUUUCCAUGGAAUCGUUCCCAGCCUUGAGAAAUGAAGAAGGAGAGAUCCCCACCGGAGAAGCCAUAAAGCCUUCAUUCGAUCGACGCAUCAUCAAAAAACGAAUUAUACCUCCUUUCGUUUCACCCUGCCCAUUCUGCCCACGAGGUGUUGCGAAGAGGCCAGGCUUCUUCUAUCACUUGAUAUCGUUAUCGGUUCGCGCUCCGUUGGAGAGCUCCCAUGGCUCACUCCUACACCGUUCGGGAGCUAUGUGUAUAGUUCUCUCACUCCGCGAAAGCAAAGAAUACAGAAAGCGGCUCUUUUCCUUAUUCUACUACAAGUAAAGGAGAAAUCUCCAACUUUAUAGGUUGCCCGCUAUCCAACAGCCAAGAGCAAGCGAAUAGAAGCUCUCUAAGAAACAAAGGAACUACUGGGAGACUCGCCAAGAAGACAGCUAAUAGCUACUCAAAGGCACAGACAGAGUCAAAGGGAUUGAUUUCGAACGCCUUUAACAACGUGACGAUAUCCAAUGCUUGUAUACCGUGAAUUCCAGUAUCAAAAUGAGGAGAUCAACGAUUGACCUGCGUGUAGGCGCCAUCUAUGAUGUGAGAAGGCUUUCAGCACCCGAACACAGGACCACUGACUUAAGGCUUAUACCCAAUAGCUCACCUCUCUACUACUUAGGUCUAAUUCACCAAGGCACUCGGGCCAAGGAACUACUAAUGUUCUGCGGCAGGAGCUCCCCUAUUUGCUAUGAAAAAACACGGGCCAAGUAACUACUAAUGUUACGCGGCAGGAGUUCCCGUGAAAAGACAGAUCCUUUUGACCUCGCUAGGAGGGAAAAUGCCAGUGCGUCUAUUUUUCCCGUGUUUCGUCAACUUUUCAUUACUUUUUCUCUGUCUAUUAAGCAAAAUGACCUUGCUAUCAAAAAAGCCGGGUUUCGUGAAGUGGAAUUCUGUAUUUGUUUAGGUCGGGUCGGGUAGUUCACUCACUUAGUUGACUUACUUUGCGGGGUAGUUUACUUACUUGUUUUGGUGGUGGACUGACUUAGUUGACUGAGGGUCGGUUGGUUUACUUCCUUAGUUUACUUAAUUGCUAGUUAGGGUGUGGGUAGGGCUUGGCUUGUGUUAAGCAAAGAAUACAAGAUAUAAUUGUGUGGCUCUGAUCUCUACUUGGCCUAUACUAAAUUAGAUCUUCUGCUUAUAUAUGAAACCACUAAAUCCAAGAAUCAAACUCACCCCAAUCAGACUUCAAGCAAGGGGAGCUAGCUCCGACUGAUGCCUAACAACCAGACCGAAACCAGUGCUUCCAAGGCUCCAAUUGGUGCUGCUAAGCCUGAUGCUAAGUAUUUAUCGUAUCGGACUGAUGCGGUGCCCACUGAUUCCCUAUUACCAGAAGUACCACUCAGUAGUUACAGGCUUAAUGCACCGAUAGCUGUUAUUGAAUGGAGCUAAGCAGUCACAGAGUGGAGCUAAGGAGUAACAGAAUUGAACAAGCAAGUAGAAGCCUGAAACCAGUGCCAUAGCUACUCAGUUACAGAAUUGAACUAGCGCCCCGGCAACCCAACUACUGCUUUAUUUAAUGCUUUAGCCUAUUAUUAAGUAAUUGAACUCCAGGUGCGAUACAGCACCAGGUUAGUGACUUUUCUCCAGUAGACCCUUCUGGCAAAUGACCUAGGAAGAGAUCCAAGAGAUGAGAUGCGCCUGAGGUAGUAACUUGUCUAGUUGCUUGUCUGGCUUUCUACUUGGCCCCUAGUUGCAUCUGUGUUUGUUGCGCAAGAGGUGAGAUGAGAUAAUAGAAUUCUCAAAAAAUAGAAUAUAUGUGAUAGAACUGAUUGAACUCGAUUCUUCACCCCCGGCCAUCUAUCUCUCUUAUUAACCCCCUAAUUAUGAUCCAGUUGAGGAAUAUGCUUAGCGCAACCCUUCCUUGCCAGCUGUAUUCUGUAUUUCAUGUUUCAAGAAGUAUUUGUUUACUUACAGAGUAUGAUGAGAUGGAUAACCAACUGUAGUUUCUUGUAUGCUCGGAUGCUCUUCUAUAUUAUAUUAUAUUAUAGGAGACUAGAUGAUUGUAUUAUAGGAGCCUACCAGAGUGAGGUUAGUUUACAGAGCCAUGGAGGGAUAUCUAAGUUACUUUCGAGGAUAGGUCGAUGAGCCGGAUUAAGGUAUCGUUGCCCGAGGUAUAUGGAUAAGAAGUAGAAUCUCUUUAAUCCCAACAAGCGGACAAGAGGAUUUAGCUAUAGGUAUCAUAGACAGAAGUCACCCUAAUACAGUACAGGACUCCUGAAGACAGUACAGUUAUAGUAGUUGGCAAAGGAUCUGAACAAGUGUAGUAUGCCAGCGGAAGGAGUUAAAGAGUUACCGAAGCUGUUGAAGCAGUUUGUGAUCCAGGGUAAGAAACAUCUGAAUGAGCGGGGCAUGAUAGGCAUUGUCAACUGGUAACAUCUCUUUGUUCUUCACCCUUGCCGACCCAUCCUCUGUCACCAAAACCAUUCUUAUCAGAGUAGCUUUCCUAUUAUACUAAGCUUGUUCCAGAUGGCCGAGUAAACACCGAGUAUUAGGCUUGAAACACCACCAAGUCAGUAAGUGACCAGUAAGUAAGAAAGAAACUCGCCAAUAAACCUAGUGCUCCGGCUCGCAAACGAGUGACUCAUCAUUUCACCCCGCUGGCUGGCUCUGCUGGGCUUGUUUCAUUCAGUUACUCAGGUAGUUGUUGAGCGAGUGAAAAGAGCGGCAGGAGCCUUACCGUUUGCCUUAUUGCCCUUAAACGAACAGAACAACUCUUAUUGCCUGUUCGAGUCUAUAUGUUCUCGUAUAUCAAUAAGAUAGAACUGUAGAUUCAGCUCCUAGUUGCUCAAGUAAAGUAGUUAUUCAGAGUCAUAAACCAAGUCCUUCCUCAUUUUGGUAUUUGUUUCUUGGAUUUCUGUUUGGAAGAAGCGUACCCGGAACAAACUUGUAAGUCAAUCUGGCAGAGGAAAGAGUGUUGUAGCGUUGCUGUGAGGGCGGGGUGCGAAAGAAGGGUGUGUGUUUAGCCUUAACCGAGUAGUGGUUAGGAUGUAGGCGCUUUCGCUUAAAGUAGUUUAGUACGGUGGAAAGAGGUUAACGCGCAAGUCAAGGUUUCAUCAUCUGUCUAUGUUUAUGUUGGUGACAAGAAUCCUAUGUCACUGGAAUGAAUAAGAAAAAGAAAGAUCCACUGCUGAAGCUAGUUACGAAGUUAGACUUUAAUCAUAUCUUAGAGAGAAUGAGAAUGGACUGUUCGUUCUUCCUGUUGAGUGUUGUUCGGUGUUGGGAAUCAAAUCAUAUCUUACUCGGAAGCGCAAAGCUCAGUUCCACUUUCAUACGGUUGUCUUAUAGAAUGUCCUGUGAUUCCCCUUCGCCCAAGGUGUCUUAGAGAAUGGCCGGGUUUCGUCUUAAAGUAGAGGUAGGGUGUUGUCGACGUCC
rnacentral:lncRNA from 1 species